UUUUUUUAUUUUUUUUGAAUUUCAAAUUUCUGAAUUAUUUUAACUUCUAAUCUCUAAUCACCCCUCAUCACUGCUCAAUUUAACCUUUAAUCUCUAAUCACCCCUCAUCAUUCCAAAUCAUCUAACUUCCCGAACAGUCACCCAUCCUCUCACUACUCCAGCCUAAGCACGCUUAACUUCCGGGUUCUAUUCUUCCUCGUUUCCAAGUCUGCACUUAUUGUUUUCCUGACAAUAGUAAGAUGUCAACCCUAUUAACCCUCAGGAUUUAGCUUGAGCAUGAAGUCACACAUUUCACUGUUUGAGUUUGAAACUAUUGUUUUAAAAAACAAUAAUUAUUUAGCAACACUAAUAUUUCUUGAAUAAGUAGUUUGACCAUAGUUUGACCCUAGUUUGACCACAGUUUGACCAUAGUUUGACCAAAAUUCAAAAAAAUUGAAAUAAUUAUUUAGUAACACUAAUAUUUCUUGAAUAAGUAGUUUGACCAUUGUUUGACCAUAGUUUGACCAUAUUUGACCAAAAUUCAAAAAAACUGAAAUAAUUAUUUAGUAACACUAAUAUUCUUGAAUAAUUAUUUAGUAACACUAAUACUUCUUGAAUAAGUAGUUUGACCAGAUUUAAUAAAAAUUAAAAAAAACUAAAAUUUGAGCAUAACUUUUUUUCCUUUUAGAAUUUGAGGAUUCUAAAAAUUUGCAAACAGGCUGUAGGCUGUCAAAAUCGGAAUCGGAUUUUCGUUCUGAACAUUUUGAUAUAUUAUACGUUUUUUUGCGACAUUGUAUGCAAAAGUUAUAGCCGUUUUACAUUUUCCAUAUAUUUUUUUGCAAAACAUGUCCAAAUUUAAGUUUUUAAAUUUUCCUAACUAGUAGAUGUAGUAAUAUAACUACCUCUCGAAGGAUUUUAUUUUUUGAAGUUUUUAUCAUUUUCGAAACAAAAAAGGAGAUCCACGAGGGGGGGGGGGGUAGAGUUUGAAAAUGGGACCUUUAGUCCCGGUUUGAGACACAAACCGGGACUAAAGGGCAUUGCACCCUUUAGUCUCGGUUUGUGUCUCAAACCACUAAAGGUCUAAAUCUUUAGUCCCGGUUUGAGACACGAACCGAGACUGAAGGGCAUCGCACCCUUUAGUCUCGGUUUGUGCCUCAAACCGGGACUAAAGGGCUCAGCUGAACCGGGACUAAUGCCUUAGCCGCACGAACCGGGACCAAUGCUCACAUUAGUCCCGGUUUGUGACUGAACCGGGACUAAUGGGCUGACCCGGCCUAGACCUUUGCCCCCUUUUCUACUAGUGAGAAGUGGUUUGGGAAGGAGCGGUGGGCACAUAGAGAGGCUACGACGAUGGCAUGGCCGCAAGCUACAUGGAGCAAUACGGUGUGGCAUCAACGCGAAGUAGUUUGGCAAUGAGCGGUAGGCACGUAGAGAGGCUACGACGAUGGCAUGGCCGCAAGCUACGUGGAGCAAUACAGUGUGGCAUCAAUGCGAAGUAGUUUGGCAAUGAGCGGUAGGCACAUAGAGAGGCUACGACGAUGGCAUGGCUGCGUACAACACCAUCGUCACCCAUAGAUGCAUACGUACAUUAUAUCACAAUGUUUUGCGAUACAUAAUGAUUCUUCACUUGAACUCUUCUCUUGUAAUCAUCUUCUCGGGAUCUUGAUCCUUCAUGACUUAACUCACAAGCUAGAGCAAAACAACCUUUGAGUCACACACAAGGACUCCAUCUUCUUUUAUUUUCCUCUCCUUUCAACCUUGAAUCCAACAUAUGGUCUUCAAGCAUUGCCUAUGGAUAAACCUUAAAGUAUAAUUCAAUACAAACACUAGUCCAUAAGGAUUGUCCUUACUUACCAAAAAAACACACAUGGGGGCACUGUUGGAAAUAUGCCCUAGAGGCAAUAAUAAAUUGAUUAUUAUUAUAUUUCCUUGUUCAUGAUAAUCGUUUAUUAUCCAUGCUGUAAUUGUAUUGAUAGGAAACUCAGAUACAUGUGUGGAUACAUAGACAACACCAUGUCCCUAGUAAGCCUCUAGUUGACUAGCUCGUUGAUCAAUAGAUGGUUAAGGUUUCCUGACCAUGGACAUUGGAUGUCAUUGAUAACGGGAUCACAUCAUUAGGAGAAUGAUGUGAUGGACAAGACCCAAUCCUAAGCAUAGCACUAGAUCGUGUAGUUCGUAUGCUAAAGCUUUUCUAAUGUCAAGUAUCAUUUCCUUAGACCAUGAGAUUGUGCAACUCCCGGAUACCGUAGGAGUGCUUUGGGUGUACCAAACGUCACAACAUAACUGGGUGACUAUAAAGGUGCACUACGGGUAUCUCCGAAAGUGUCUGUUGGGUUGGCACGAAUCGAGACUGGGAUUUGUCACUCCGUGUAAACGGAGAGGUAUCUCUGGGCCCACUCGGUAGGACAUCAUCAUAAUGUGCACAAUGUGAUCAAGGAGUUGAUCACGGGAUGAUGUGUUACGGAACGAGUAAAGAGACUUGCCGGUAACGAGAUUGAACAAGGUAUCGGGAUACCGACGAUCGAAUCUCGGGCAAGUGUCGUACCGAUAGACAAAGGGAAUUGUAUACGGGAUUGAUUAAGUCCUUGACAUCGUGGUUCAUCCGAUGAGAUCAUCGUGGAACAUGUGGGAGCCAACAUGGGUAUCCAGAUCCCGUUGUUGGUUAUUGACCGGAGAGUCAUCUCGGUCAUGUCUGCAUGUCUCCCGAACCCGUAGGGUCUACACACUUAAGGUUCGGUGACGCUAGGGUUAUUGAGAUAUUAGUAUGCGGUAACCCGAAAGUUGUUCGGAGUCCCGGAUGAGAUCCCGGACGUCACGAGGAGUUCCGUAAUGGUCCGGAGGUAAAUAAUUAUAUAUAGGAAGUGCUAUUUCGGCCAUCGGGACAAGUUUCGGGGUCACCGGUAUUGUACCGGGACCACCGGAAGGGUCCCGGGGGUCCACCGGGUGGGGCCACCUGCCCCAGGGGGCCACAUGGGCUGUAGGGGGUGCGCCUUGGCCUAUAUGGGCCAAGGGCACCAGCCCCAAGAGGCCCAUGCGCCAAGAGAAGAGGAAAAGGAAGAGUCCUAAAGGGGGAAGGCACCUCCAAGGUGCCUUGGGGAGGAGGGACUCCUCCCUGGCCGCACCCUUCCUUGGAGGAAGGGCCAAGGCUGCUCCCCCCUCUCCCUUGGCCCUAUAUAUAGUGGGGGAAAGGGAGGGCAACCUAACCUAAGCCCUGGCGCCUCCCUCUCCCUCCCAUGACACAUCUCCCUCCUCCCGCAGCGCUUGGCGAAGCCCUGUUGGAAUCCCGCUACUUUCACCAUCACGCCCUCGUGCUGCUGGAUCUCCAUCAACCUCUCCUUCCCCCUUGCUGGAUCAAGAAGGAGGAGACGUCACUGCUCCGUACGUGUGUUGAACGCGGAGGUGCCGUCCGUUCGGCGCUAGGAUCAUCGGUGAUUUGGAUCACGACGAGUACGACUCCAUCAACCCCGUUCUCUUGAACGCUUCCGCGCGCGAUCUAUAAGGGUAUGUAGAUCCACUCCUCCCUCGUUGCUAGAUGACUCCAUGGACAGAUCUUGGUGAUACAUAGGAAAAAUUUGAAUUUAUGCUACGUUCCCCAACAGGCACCAUGCAGUUUCAUGUUGAAACCUGCUGUCUUCGGAUUGGAGGAAGAAGUGAGACAGAAUGAUUGAGAACCAAAUUUGUGGUGGAGGCUCAAGGAGAAGAAUGUGAGCCCGAGGAACUUCAUGAUUACCAACACCUCUUCAAUGGUGAUUAGGUUUCUUAUCAGGAAGUAAACAUCGAGAUAAAUCUUCAUCUCCUCAUAUCUCGAUUAUCCAACUUAUCUACCCAUUAGGUGGCAUUACAUCAAGUGUUGCUGUGGGAUGAAAAAAUUCACAAAAAAACCGUAGCGCGCUGGUGGGGAAUUGACCUGGUAACGAGCCGUUGGUGAAUGUGUGUUCCUAGCCACUGGAGCUGACUAGCAUUAUUGAUUGUAAGGCAGCACAUAUCUUAUCGAACCAACCGGAGCCACAUGAUCAAACUGCGCCAUUAUAGAAAACCGAAAUCAAUCACUGUAGCGAAUUAGACCAUGCCAAUGUAGCGAACCGGAAUGAGUUACUGCAGCGGUGUAACACCCCAGAUAUGUUUUCCCAAUAUGUAAUCCAACUCUUGCCGUUUCCGGCGUUAAGUUAUUUUAUUUUCUCGGGUUCGGGUUUUUGUCUCCGUGUGUUGUUGUCGUUGUCAUGCAUCUCAUAUCAUGUCAUCAUGUGCAUUGUAUUUGCAUACGUGUUCAUCUCAUGCAUUCGAGCAUUUUCCCCGUUGUCCGUUUUGCAUUCCGGCGCUCCAUUCUCCUCCGGUGGUCAUUUCUACCUUUCUUUCAUGUGUGGGGAUUAAACAUUUCCGGAUUGGACCGAGACUUGCCAAGCGGCCUUGGUUUACUACCGGUAGACCGCCUGUCAAGUUUCGUACCAUUUGGACUUCGUUUGAUGCUCCAACGGUUAACCGAGGGACUGGAAAGGCCUCAUGUGUGUUGCAGCCCAACACCCCUCCAAGUUGGCCCAAAACCCACCAAAACCCUCUUCAUCAUCUAGAGCGUUCGAUCACGAUCGCGUGGCCAAAAACCGCACCUCAUUUGGACUCUCCUAGCUCCUCCUAUGCCUAUUUAAAGCCCCCUCCGAAAUCCUCCCCCCCCCGAAAACCCUAGAUCCGUCUCCAACCGCCGCCCGCCGGACAUUUUCCCGCCGACGGACGUGUCCGCCCGACGUGUCCGCCGCCACGUGGAGUCACCAGAUUCGCUCCACCAGGCGCCCACAUCGCCGCGCCGCCGAAGCCCGCGGUGGCCCGUGGCCGGCCCGCCCGNNNNNNNNNNNNNNNNNNNNNNNNNNNNNNNNNNNNNNNNNNNNNNNNNNNNNNNNNNNNNNNNNNNNNNNNNNNNNNNNNNNNNNNNNNNNNNNNNNNNNNNNNNNNNNNNNNNNNNNNNNNNNNNNNNNNNNNNNNNNNNNNNNNNNNNNNNNNNNNNNNNNNNNNNNNNNNNNNNNNNNNNNNNNNNNNNNNNNNNNNNNNNNNNNNNNNNNNNNNNNNNNNNNNNNNNNNNNNNNNNNNNNNNNNNNNNNNNNNNNNNNNNNNNNNNNNNNNNNNNNNNNNNNNNNNNNNNNNNNCGCCGACAUCGCCGCCCCGUUCCGGUCGCCGCCCGCGCCGGCGAGGGCCGCCCCGCUCCGGCCACUCCGUCCCGGUCUCCUUCCUCUACUCCGGCGAUCUUCCUCCCUCUGGUGAACAGUGAUCUUGGCGAUCCUCGUAAAGUGUGCCGGCCGGAUCUAGAUCUGGGAUUUAUCUCGGGUUGACUUUUCUGCCCGAAACCCUAAUUAUUUGCUCAUGUUCAUCAUGUCGUAACUCCUCAUCCAUAGCUCCGUUUUGGGCAUAUAGCAUAUCAAAAUGUUCGUCUCAGAGAGCACAUCAUUUCGUCUCAUUGCAUCAUUUUCAUUUGAGUUCAUAUUGAUGCCAGAAAUACUGUUAGAAGAAUGCUAUUUGAGAUAAUUGUCAGAUCUGCUGCUCCAUUUAGAUAUUUGUCAUUUUUGCCAUGAUUAAUAUGUGCAUGAUAUGCCCCUGAACUCUUCAUGAGUUUUGUUAUAUAUUUUUCCAUAUAUUCAGAGGUGCAACCCAUGUAUUUUUGUGAUGUGUGUGGUGACUAGCACAAGCUUGCAAAGUGGAGCCUUCGUUAAUGCUUAUUUCAGGGACUUAGCUUUCCACUAAGUUCUUGGACUGUUUAUUUCAAUAUGCCAUAUGUUCAUGGUGUUUCCUAGUGAUCCGUGCCUCUUUUGAGGAUGAUCAGUAAGGAUGUUUUGUUAACCUUGUAGUGCUCUAUCCAUCCAUGUCUUUUUUGCAAUUAUGGAGCACCCUAGCUUGAGUAAAUCGAGCUCUACUUUUGUCAUUUCGUGAAUCUGGGCAGAUUGUCUACUUGUUAGCGAUUUUGCCGAGGAUGUUGUAGUUGAUCCGUGCAUGCUAUGUUAUUGUUCUUGCCAUGUCUAGCUUGUAUUUUGUGUAUUCUUGAUGGGUGUAUGCUUAGCUUGUCAUGACUUGCUCUGUAGUGAGUGCAUCGAGCUCGUAAACAUGCCUACUUGAUAUUUGUUUCAGCAUGCUCCAGUUUUCACUAAGUCUGUGAUCUGAUUAUGUUUUUGCCAUGUUCACAUGCUUGCAAUUGUAUUUUAUGAUCCCUUUUGGAUCAAGGUCACUAAGGAAUUUUUGUUAAGCUCUUUAAGUAGCUCCAUGACAUGCUUUACUUUGCCAUGUUCAGGUCCUGUAGCAUAUUGUUUUCAUGCUCCAAAGAGUGCUAUCUGAUCUGAAAUUCCAGACAAGUGUUAAUUUCACUAAGUCUGAGAUCUGUUUACCAAACGCAUUUUUGCCAUGCUUGUUUGAACCUAUUAAUGGAUGAGUUGGCCGUAGCUCAGUGCUAGUCUUUUGUUAAGCAUCAUGAAUGGAUCCCUGCCAUGUAUUUGGAUGCCAUGUUUGGGUGUUGUAGCAUAUUCAUCUUAUUGCAUUUAGAUGGCUACUUGCUGUAAAUCGCAGAACGUGGUCAUAUUUGAAUUGCUUGCCAUUUCCAAACCGUAACUCCGAUUCCGGCGAUCUUUAUAUCGUUUUCAAGCGAUUUCAUCUCAUCUUUCCAGUGGCACACUUGGAUUUCCAAGAAGAUGCCAGGUUCAUGCAUUCCUUGUCAAAUCUUGCAUAUGCAUCACAUAUUGCAUCCCACAUAUCAUACCCUCUUUGCAUCAUGUUGUUUGAGCCUUGCACGUGGUUGAUUGUGUCCUUGUUGCUUGUUUGUCUUGUUUGGGUAGAGACGGGAGACGAGUUCGCUAACGAGGAUCCCGUUGAGUUUGCUUUCGAGGAUCCAGUCAACUCUGACAACUUUGCAGGCAAGAUGAUCAUACCCUCGAAAUCACUACUAUCUUUGCUAUGCUAGAUGCUCGCUCUUUUGCUAUGCCUAUGCUACGAUACCUACCACUUGCUUAUCAUGCCUCCCCAAAUUGCCAUGUCAAACCUCUAACCCACCAUGUCCUAGCAAACCCUUGAUUGGCUAUGUUACCGCUUUUGCUCAGCCCCUCUUAUAGCGUUGCUAGUUGCAGGUGAAGAUUGGAGACCGUUCCUUGUUGGAACAUUAUUUACUUGUUGGGAUAUCAUUAUAUUUCCAUGUUAUCUUAAUGCAUCUAUACACUUGGUAAAGGAUGGAAGGCUCGGCCUCUCGCCUAGUGUUUUGUUCCACUCUUGCCGCCCUAGUUUCCCUCAUAUCGGUGUUAUGUUCCCGGAUUUUGCGUUCCUUACGCGGUUGGGUUAUAAUGGGAACCCCUUGAUAGUUCACCUUGAUUAAAGCCUUUUCAGCAAUGCCCAACCUUGGUUUUACCAUUUGCCACCUAGCCUCUUUUUCCCUUGGGUUUCCGGAGCCCGAGGGUCAUCUUAUUUAACCCCCUGGACUAGUGCUCCUCUGAGUGUUGGUCCACCUUGUCAGCCGCCGGUGGCCACCAGGGGCAACUCUGGGCUGGCCUACCGGAAGUUUGGACAAUCUGAGUGUGCCUUGAGAACGAGAUAUGUGCAGCUCCUAUCGGGAUUUGUCGGCACAUUCGGGCGGUGUUGCUGGAUUUGUUUUAACUUGUCGAAGUGUCUUGAAGAACCGGGAUACCGAGUCUGAUCGGAAUGUCUCGGGAGGAGGUCUAUUCCUUCGUUGACCGUGAGAGCUUGUCAUGGGCUAAGUUUGGACUCCCCUGCAGGGAUUUGAACUUUUGAAAGCCGUGCCCGCGGUUAUGGGCAGAUGGGAAUUUGUUAAUGUCCGGUUGUAGAUAACUUGAACCUUAAUUUAAUUAAAAUGAAUCAACUGAGUGUGUUACCGUGAUGGUCUCUUCUCGGCGGAGUCCGGGAAGUGAACACGGUGUUGGAGUAAUGCUUGCGCAGAUUGUUCUCUAGUUAUCCGUUCGCGCUUUGCCUCCUCUUCUCGCUCUCUUUUGCGAAUAGGUUAGCCACCAUAUAUGCUAGUCGCUUGCUGCAGCUCCACAUAUUUUCCUUGCCUUACCCAUUAGCUUAAAUAGUCUUGAUCGCGAGGGUGCGAGAUUGUUGAGUCCCUGUGGCUCACAGAUUACUUCCAAACCAGAUGCAGGACCUGAUGAUUCCGCUCCAGAUGACGCGCUUGAGCUCAAGUGGGAGUUCGACAAGGACUCACGCCGAUACUACGUGUCUUUCCCUGAUGAUCAGUAGUGGUGCCUAGUUGGGGUGAUCGGGACCGUGUCGCAUGUUGGGUUGUUCUUUUAUUUGGGCGCCGUAGUCGGGCCAUGAGUGUUUGAAUGUUGUAAUGCUAUUUAUGUACCUUGAUUGACGUGGCGAGUGUAAGCCAACUAUGUAUCUCCCCUUUAUUAUCUAUAUUACAUGGGAUGUUGUGAAGAUUGCCUAACUUGCGACAUUGCCUUCAAUGCGAUUAUGCCUCUAAGUCGUGUCUCGACACGUGGGAGCUAUAGUCGCAUCGAGGGUGUUACAAGCCGUCAGUUUUAAAACAUAUUGAGAAACAUUUUUUAAAAGUGUAUAUUUUGAAAAAGUGCCAACAUUUUUUAAAUUGUGAAGAAAUGUUAAGAAACAAGAAACAUUUUUUGAAAAAUCGAAAUAACUUUUUUAAGCAUGGACAUUCUUUGAAUGUGUGAUUUUUUUUUUAAAAAUGCGCAAGCGAAUUUGUUGAAGUUGUGAACAUUUAUGAAAUUCCGAACAAUUUUUGAAGCCGUGAACAUUUUUUUGAGUAUGUGAAACAAAAAUUGAAAAUGUUAUGAAAUUAUGAACAGAAAAUUCGACUGCGAACCUUUUUUAAAUUCCUGGACAUUUUAUACACUUUUUACAUUGUUUUCUUACUUUUAGAUUUAUUUUUCUGAGUUAUUCAUAUCAUGUAGUAUAAACAAAAAAUGUCUAGAAGGCCGAAAAUAGCGCCCGUCGUCCCGCAGCACAAGGUUCCUGGCUGGGCCAUGUGAGCGAGGCGCUGCUCCAGCAGCUCUCGCGAGACUAGUAGGUAGCUAGGGUUUACACUCUCCUCUCCUCUCCUCCGAAUCAAAGAAGCGGCGGCUGUCUCACACUUCGGGAUGCGCUUCAUUGCGCACACCCCAUGCUUGAGUAAUCUCACACUUCGGUUGUGUCAUAAGGUGACUGAUGUUGGAUUGGCUGAACUGAGGCGUGCACAUAAGAUAGAGUCUUUGGUCAUUGAGUGUUGUUGUGAGGUCUCUCUGCAAGCUGCGCAGGGUGUCGCCAAGUCAGUUCACUACUCCAGCAACUAUUCAGUUGCCCUUAGGAAGAGAGCUGGUCUUGGCGGCUAUUGAUGAAGUGGUCUCCAAAAAUUUCACUACAAAUUUGCUGCUGAAGACAUUAAGUUGUUCAGUGUGCAUCAUUGGACAAGGUUUGUGCAUCAUCCGACCUAGAUUCAUUUGUGUGUACUUUCAAUUGCCUUCUACCUUUACUGUAUAAUUUUUCUGUAUGACAGUCUAAUAACGACCUGUGGUCGCGUGGCAAUUUUGGUAUGGAUCGUUGUAGUAAUAAUAUCAUGUCCAAUUUUCCAUGGACAUGUACAAAGGCGGCAUGCUUGUUUUGUUGGUAUCAAAUCAACCGGAGUAUGUCUUUGAUUGCUUCACAGAAGAAUAGUGCUAGUUGCUACUCCUUGUGUAAACUAAUGUAAGACGUUUUUGAAGUUUAAACUGAACUGUAGAAAUGUCUUGUUUUGGAUGUUUAGAUUCUAUAAUGAUCUGAAGUUAAGGAACAACUGAAACUUGAGCGACUACUGAAGGCAUAUAACAAAGCCGUCACAUCAUGUCUUUGCUCUGGACAUGCAGCACUAAAAACAUUUUGUUCUUACCUUUUUUAGGGUGGCAAGUUUCAGUUUUAUUUUUUGGGUUUGUUUUUUCUUUUCAGAUAUCAGCUUUAGUUGUAAAAAACCAGAGUUCUUCGUGCGGCAUGUGUGGCACUUAUCAUUUGCACACGUAUAACUCAUUACAAACAUUACUCCGUAGGGAUUGUCUUUACUUACCAAAAAACACACACACGCGGGGGCACCAUGCAGUUUCAUUGUGAAAGUUGCCAUUGUCGGAGUGGAGGAAGAAGCUAGACUGUUUAACAAUUGGGAACCAACUAUGUGGUGAAGGCUCAAGGAGAAGGAUGUGAGCCUUCAGUGGUGUUUCGAGGAACUUCGUUGAUAUCUGCACCUCUCCAACGGUGAUUAGGUUCCUUAUGAGGAAGUGACCAUCGAGAUAAACCUUCACCUCCACAUGUCUCAAUCAUCCCUAUGCCCAAAUUAUUUACCCAUUGGGCACCAUCAUAUCAAGGGAUACCGUGGGGCGAAAAAAAAUCGACCUGGUACCGAGCCACCGGUGAAUGUGGGUUCCUAGCCACCAGGCCUGACUAGCGUUGUUGAUUGUAAGGCAACGCAUACCUUAUUGAACCAACAGAAACCACAAAACGGACCCGCGCCACUAUAGCGAACCGGAAGCAGUCACUGUAGCGAAUCAGACCAUGCCAAUGUACGUAGCGAACGGGAACCAGUUACUGUAGAGGAUAUUUCUGAAACAAAUUGAGGGACAUUUUCUAAAAAAGCGUAUAUUUUGGAAAAGUGCAAAGUUUUUUGAAUUUUUUAAAAAAUGUUCAAGUACAGGAAACAUUUUUUGAAAACUCAAAAUAAAAUUUUAAAGCACGGACAUUCUUUCAAUGUGUGAAAAAUCUUUUAAAAAGAAGAGCAAAUAAAUUUGCUGGAGUCGUGAGCAUUUAUGAAAUCCCUAACAAUUUUUGAAACCGUGAACUUUUUUUGAAUUCGUGAAACAAAAAUUGAAAAAUGUUAUGAAAUCGCAAACAAAAAACUUCAACCGUGAACUUUUUUAAAAUUCCUGGACAUUUUAUACAUUUGUCUAUAUUGUUUUCUUACUUUUAUAUUUUCUUUCUGUGUUUUUCAUAUAUAUAAACAAAAAAAGGUGUAGAAGGCCGAAAAUAGCGCCCGUUGGCCCGCAGAGAUUCCAGAGACGGCGCUGCAGCCCACAUCUUCCUCCGCUCCGCUGGAAAUUACAGAGACCAACUAGAAAUGCGAGACUAGCUCCAGGGUUUACUGAUGCUCAAAAAAAAAAAAGCUCCAGGGUUUACUGCACCCUCAUCUCCUCUCCGGCGAGGUCGAGCGGCGGCGGCUCCGGUCUAUUCUCUAUCUCCUCCGACCGAAUCUACGGUCGUUCUCAAGGAAGGUACCGCCGUUUCUUGCUUCUACUCUCCUCUCCUGAGAGACUCCUCCCUCCUUGCGUUGGUUCCCCUUUCCUGAUUCGAUUUCUUGGUCUUGAUUGAUUUGAUAGGGGAACCAAACCGGUAGUAUCAUCCUCAUCCAUAAACUUAGUUGAUUAGUACUAGAAAGAAAGUAAAUACUACUCUAGUAUUCUCUAGUUGAACAGAUAGAUUGGCCCUGUGAACUCAGCUCAUCGUCUGUGGGAAAAUGGUUGAUAUCCCUACUUUCUUUCUUGCCCAACCGAGAGCUGCAAGUAGUAAUUUGCAUAUAUGCUCUGGUUUUCAUGUUCAGAUUCAGCAAUUACUAGUAAAUCUGCUUGCAGAAUUGUUUGCGUCAAUUGUUACGUAAUCAUGGCGGUACCUAGUUUUAUUUAAUGAUGUCACCUGGAGCGUCAUUUUUCUGAUAUUAUAUAAUAGAAGUGCUCAAAGUUCAUCAGUAGCUAGUUUAAUCUAAUGAUUUGGCCUGCCUGCAGCGUUAUUUUUUCCUUUCUAACAAUAUAGACACAGAUAAGGUGCUAGCUACUUGAUAAAUCUCCAUGCUUGUGAAGAACACACAAGUUUUGGACGGAUACAGAAAAUGCUCAAACUUUGUCAGUAACAUAUUCUUCGUAAUGAUUGUCUACCGUCAGUGAUAUAUUCUGAUGUAUCGUAAUGAAUGGUACAGCUGAAUUGUUCGAUGGAAGACCUACCGGAGGCUCUGCUGACUGAGAUUCUCAACAGGAUCACCACGACAAGUGAUCUCAAUUCUCUUUCCCUUGUGUCAAAGCAGCUCUACAAGAUAGAGGGGAAUCAAAGGGAUGCUAUCCGUGUUGGUUCCGGUCUUUGCAUUGCUACAAAAGAACUGACAUCAUUGUGCGCCCGCUUCCCAAAUCUGCGAAAAUUGGAAAUCGAUUACUCUGGUUGGAUACCUGGACAUGGAAAGCAGUUGGACAACAAAGGCCUUUUUGUGUUUUCAUCUCACUGUUCCUCGCUGAUUGAUCUCACAUUAAGCUUCUGCUCACAUAUCGAUGACUCUGGGCUUGCUUGUUUAGCUUAUUGUAAGACAUUGCUGUCUCUCACGCUCAACUCCACACCAAAAGUAACAUCAGUUGGGCUUUUCUCGGUUGCAGUUGGUUGCACAAGUCUAUCUGCUCUCCACCUUAUUGGUUGCGAGAAAAUUGACAGUGUAGAGUGGCUGGAAUACCUUGGUAGGGAUGGAUCGUUGGAAGAGCUUGUAGUGAAGAAUUGCCAAGGAAUCAAUCAUCAUGACUUCCUAAAGUUUGGUUCUGGAUGGAUGAAGCUCCAGAAGUUUGAGUUUGAGAGGAAAAGAGGAAAAUAUGAUCUUCUUGAUCCAGGUAAUGUGGUCUAUGACUCCUCGUACAAUGCUCACAGCAUGGAUGUAUACGAUUUCUGCUGUGAGAGUUUGAAGGAUUUAAGGUUGGCGCAUAUUGAAACUUGGCCAGAAGCAGGACUUCGAGUUCUCCUAGGGAAGUGUAAAGCAUUGGAGAAGCUUUGCCUUGAGUAUGUUCGUGCCCUAAAUGAUAAUGACAUUAUUGCAUUAUCUCGGAGCUGCAGCAACCUUAAAAGAAUAUCACUUUGGCUCAACCUGCAGCGCUACUCUAGUGAUAUCAACUAUUGUGAGACCAGGACGUCGCUUACUGAUAACAGCCUUUACGCUCUAGCCCUCAACUGUUGUAUGCUUCAGAUGAUAGACCUCAGCUUUACAGGAUGUGAUGCCGACUGGCCAUCAGAAAUAGGAUUCACACAAGAGGGUUUUCUGGUGCUCAUUCAGUCCUGCCCAAUUCGUGUUCUUGUGCUCAACAACGCCAACUUCUUUGAUGACGAGGGGAUGAAGGCCCUCUCAUCCUCGCCUCAUCUGGAGACACUCGAGCUUAUAUUGUGUCAUGCGGUAACUGAUGCCGGGAUGCGCUUCAUUGCGCACACCCCAUGCUUGAGUAAUCUCACACUUCGGAUGUGUCAUAACGUUACUGAUGUUGGAGUGGCUGAACUGGAAGGUGCACAGAAGUUAGAGUCUUUGGUCAUCGAGUGUUGUGGUGAGGUCUCUCUGCAAGCUGCGCAGCGUGUUGCCAAGUCAGUUCAGUACUCCAGCGAGUGUUCAAAUGCCCUUAUGAAGAAAAUUGGUCUUGGCGGCUAUUGAUGAAUUGGUCUCCAAAAAAUUUAGUAUGAAUUUGCUGCUGAAGCCAUUAAGUUGUUCAGUGUGCAUCAUUGGACAAGGCUGUGCAUCAUCCGACCUAGAUUCACUUGUCUGGACUUUCCAUUGCCUUCUACCUUUACUGUAUGAUUUUUCUGUAUGACACUCUAAUGAUGAUCUUUGGACGGCAUCUGGUGGAUGAAACUUUAAUAGUAGGCACCACUUGUGUAUUACUAUCAACCGUACAUAAUUCUGGUUACUUUAUUUCUACUGUCUGUAGCCGUUUCGAAACUGUACAUAAUUCUGGUUACUUUAUUUCUACUGUCUGUAGCCGUUUCGAAACCGGCAUAAGUAGGCCCCAAGAUUCCCUGUUUUUGCUGUGGAGGCACUAUAUGACGGGUUGGUGUUAUUUAUCUUAUUUAAGCAAAUGUUCUGGACCCCUUGUUUUAUUGUGCAAGUGAUUUUGAAGACAUAUAUAUCUGCCUGCUAUGUUCGUGUGGCACUAUGUGAUUCAUUGUAGUAAUAAUAUUAUGUCCAAGUUUCACUGGACAUGUACAAAGGCGACGCGCUUGUUUUGUUGACAUCGACUCAAUUGGAAGAUGCCUUUGAUUGCUUCUCAAAAGAAUGGUGCUAGUUACUAGUAGCAUAAUUGUGGAUGUUUAGAUUCCAAAAUGACCUGAAGUUGUGGAACAACUGAAACUACUGAAGGCCUACAACAUAACUGUGUGCUAAUUACAGGUAGGUAGUCACAUCAUGUCUUUGCUCUGGGCGUCCAGCACUCAACAACAUUUUCUUCUUACCUUUUUGAGGGUGUCUACCUAUCAAUAGUAUAUACGGCGGGUGUAUGAAAAUAGCAGAAAUUAAGAGACCAUUUGAGGGAUGAGAUAUCGAGAUUCUUGUGUUUGCUUGGUUCAUCAGUCUAGUACAAAGAUCCUGAAAUUGCAAAUCUUUUGUUUUAGUAACAAGACAGCUCGUUACAUCAUCAGUUCAGCUCGUAGGAACAACAUUUGCCUUGUAUUUGUAGCUCCUCAAGAUGCCAACUUUGCUGGAUACUUUAUUAGCUCAUGUACUUUGUACUUUGUGUUGUACUACUUGAUAAGUACUUGAGCUAAAAUGAAAUAUGCGCCCUUUCCCUUGUUAAAAAAGGGAGAAUAGUUUAUUUAUUUUUUACAUUAUUAGCUCAUGCACGCCCUGAUCGUGGAAUAUUUACUAGUACAAAACAAACACUAGCAAAGAGAGGUUGAAAGAGAGGAAGCAAGAAGUUAAUGAGCCACAGGAAGCGACACACAAAGCGCUUUAUGCAGCUAAACACACAAAUUUCAUCGUGGCUAGCUUAACUGAAUUAAAGAACAAUUACAUUGUUCACUAGCUGGCCAAGUAAAAACCCCGGAGGUUCAUUAGUCCAACUAUCGUCACUCUUAUUACAAAAACUGAAUUUUGCUAGCUCACGAGCUACAGAGUUUGCAUCACUGUCUAGGAAAAAUUUCACAGGAGAAAAUUAAUCUGUCAUUUUUCCACGGGAUAAAAUAGAGGAUAGAUGGCGACACUGAAGAAGAAAAAUUUGGCGUGUCGGAUGUUAAACGGCAACCGACACAUACGCAGGCUGGUAGACGUACAGAAAGCGCCGGUAACCCACUUGAGUUUGUAUUUUCUUUAGUUUGUGUGGUCAAGAUGCUGCUUGGCUGCACAGGCUUUGAGUUCCAGAAGUUGCAGCCAUAGCCUCAUAUUCCCUCGGACACACGACUUCCAACAAGACUUAUGGUCCAGGAUUUGUAUUAAACAGAAUUCAACGCUAAAACCUUUAUUUCUACAACAGCUGGUGGAUAGAAUUCAAGCACGGAAUUUCCCCGCAAUUUGUAGGUGCAUUGCAUUGCACCACCAGUCAUGAGUCCUUGAUCUAAAUGUUUGGUCUAUGUAUCAGCUGAAAAGCGAAAAGAGAAACAUUUUUUAGGAUAGCUUAAGACAUAUAUACUGAAGCAGUUUUACAUGAUCAAAUAAACAAGGAAAUACUACCCAAAAAAUCACAGGGGAUACCAUCAAAGAAAAACUGUACUGCAAUGUUAACUCAAGUCCAUUCAGUGCAUGAGUUGUUGACGGAUGAGAACUGGGUAUUGCUUUCUACUCCCUCUGUAAAGAAAUAGUAUAAGAGCGUUUAGAUCAUUACUUUAGUGAUCUAAAUGCUGUGUGUCAUUUUUCCAUAGAAAUGAGGACAGAAAAUAGAGGAAGAGAUGGCGACACUGCAUAAGGAAAACAGGCGCCCAGCAGCUGCUGCUUAAGGGAUGUGCCAGCGUCCCAACAAAGAGCUCGGAACUUCCAGCAGGCAGAGAUGGCGAAAAAGGUUUGCAGUCCUAUGUGAUUUCUUUUACUAGUAAGAUCAAGCCAGGAUAAUGCACUGCUAUAAGUAGGAUUAAUAACUUGCACAGUUUUAGUUAUUCAUAAAUUACAAAGGGCGCACCUGUGCUGGGAAUGUUGUCGUACAUGGCAAUCAACACGUACAUGGCCAGACGUACAGAGAGCGACCGGUACUAGAAUUUUACCGAUUCAACCCAUUUGAGCCUGAAACUUCUCUUCAGUUUGUGUGGCCAAGAUGCUGCUGCUUGCUUCUACAGGCCUUGAAUUCUCUCCACAAGAUGCAGCCAAACACACGACUUCCUACACAAGACUUGCGGUCCUGGAUUUGCGCCAACCAAAAUUCAGCACAGAAACCUUUUAUCCUUACCAUCGACAGAAUUUCCAGCACGGAAUUUUUCCCACAGUGAUAUUUUGUUCUACUACUAUGUACGUAGCAUCUGAAAAGCGAAAAGGGGAACAUAAGUACUGCAGAGAAUAGCAUAAGACAAAACAUAAUUUCCACCAUACUUGCUUUCCCAUGAUGACUGAUGACUUGUUUCACCUAGGUUAGGUGCGUGCCAACAUCUCUCUUCGGGAAAUUAAGCAGAAAACAUAACAGUCUGAACAAUUGUCGAGUUCAGAGAACAGCUUCCUUUAUCCCUUCCUAAUAGAGAAGCACAUAAAAGAAGUGGAUACCAGUUCUGAGUUCAGAGUUCAGAAACCAUUUCCAACAUAAGACAAACAUGUAAAGAUGUCAUGUGGAAUCCAACCUCGAAAAUCCAUCGUAAUUCAGCUCAGCUAGUGAGGAACUGAGGAUGUACAGUCACCAUAUGGCGAGCAUUAUCACUCGCCUUCCUAAAUAAAUAUCCUUCUACCUUGCUCAGUGCCUUCUCAGAUUUUCGACGGAUGAUCGGAGGUUGACAAGUAGAUUUGCACCCUUUUGAUUACUCAUAAAUUACAAAUUAAGGGGCAUACCUAGGAGUAUUGACCGGUGGCCGCCGGAGUUGGAGCCGAUGCCCGAAACCCUAGACGAUGCCCGGUGACCUGCUGCUUCUUUUCCUGGGACCUCAUGUCCUCACAAGGCCAUGUCUCGGCGAGGAAGUGCAAGUGGUUGCGUGGCACAUCUGGCCAUCGCCAUUGGCGUCGCUCUGCUGGAUCUCCCUCUCCUUCUGGCACCGAAGAAGGAGGAGGAAGGAGGCGAAGGUCAGGGGGCUGCGGUGGGAGAGAAGGCCCCCGGAUUUGGAGGAGAUGCCGAGGUGCGAGGCCAGUGGUGGCGGUGGGUGAGGAAGGGCAUCGCGGGUGGGAGGGAGAAGGGGAAUUAAGAGAGUGUGGGUUCGGGUUUGGGCCUCCGCGCGCUAUGUGUACACAUGUGUUGGUGGGUUUAUAGCAGUGGCGCCGGGUUUAUACCCCACGCUACUACUAUGGCCUAUCCCGAGGGUACGGUAGAGACCACUUAGUAGUAGCGAGGGGUUUAUACCCCUCGCUACUACUAUCAACUUAGUAGUAAACCUCUCGCUACUACUAUCAACUUAGUGGUAGUGAGGGAUUUAUACCCCUCGAUACUACUAUGGCCAGUCCCAGGGGCACGGUGGAGACCACUUAGCAGCAGUGUGGGGUUUAUACCCCUCGCUACUACUAUCAACUUAGUAGUAGCGUGGGUUCUAUACCCCUCGCUACUAAUAAUUACCAGCAGUGUGGCCCAUAUACCCCUCGCUACUGCUAAGCAUCUAUCUAUAAGGUAUUUUCUAGUAGUGCAUGGAUGGCGGCGAAAUCAGUCUUUCUGCUUCUUUUCCCUACUAGCUCUGUGACGUCCAGAACAAGUUUACGGUCAUCAGGUGCAAUGCCCUUGCCUUCGUGAGCGACAUGAUGACAUGGGAACGGGCUUCCAAGCCUAUGGUGUCGCAUCGUGUCGCGGUCUGCUAGACUUAGUGGACGGAUGCUACUCCAAUAUCGGUUGAUCCCAUACUACGAUGCCAAGGAAGACACGCAACUAUUAUAUAUAUUUCUUCAAGUCGGUCAACACAAGUAAAAUCUGGGAGUUCAACCGGUGCAGCUAUGCAAUGCUAAUGGAGAAAACACAAUUCAACUUUAGCACUUCACACAUAAGCAACACCACGUUCAAUAGCACACACCUUAGAGUGUACCUAUGGUGGUUGAUUGGGCUAUAAGAAAUGUGAGUCCAUGUGAAGAUGCCAAACAUAAUAACAUGGCUAAUUACACAUGCAGUGGCAGCAGCAACAAGUGCGUGAAUUCCACAAAAUGAUCUAGGGUACACAUGCAACUAUGUCCUUGAGUAUGACAACAACCUUUAUCUUCUAGACAAAUGCAUGGUAUGCUACUAAUUUAUUUGCUACAAAUUCCAAUGAAUUGUGUCCUUUACUUUGUACAUACCCAGUUAUGAUAUUUGAUUUUGCUAAUACAAUGUAGCCUUCAAUUUAAACCAAGUUUUGCAUCCAUUAAUUAUGUUAGGUUCAUAUGACUUCACUACAUAAAAUAGGUAGAUAAUGCAUAAGACUAAGAUUGUAGCUAGGGAUGAAAAUCUAAAUACGACAUGAAUCUAACAAUUACGAGUAAUGUCUUUGUGACAAGAACUUUCUUUGUCUUUUAUUCCCAUGUUUGAACUAGUAUAGGUCGGGGUUACACAUUAUGGUGCACAUCACUUUAUUUAUCAUCGUUACAUUGAACGCUCAUUGACUAAACAACGAUGAUCCAUCCAUCUUGUAUUGUAGGUCUUCAUUUCAUUGGCCACCGAUGCUUGUAAGACUAGUCUCAUAUGGUUGUUGUUGUGGAUAUGGUUGUUGAGGUUGGUGUGGUUGCUGGGGUUGCUGGGAAAUUGUUUGUUCUGGUUGCUGGGAUAAUUGUUGUUGGGGCUGUAGAAAUGGUUGUUGUGGUUGUUGGGGUAAUGGUUGUUGUGGUUGCAGGAUGGAUGGUUGUUGGGGUUGCUGGGGUUGGGGCUGGGGAAAUGAUUGUUGUGAUUGUUGGGGUUGCUGGGGAAAUGGUUGUUGCGGUCCUAGGAGGAAUGAUUAUUGUGGUUGUUGGGGGAAUGGUUGUUGNNNNNNNNNNNNNNNNNNNNNNNNNNNNNNNNNNNNNNNNNNNNNNNNNNNNNNNNNNNNNNNNNNNNNNNNNNNNNNNNNNNNNNNNNNNNNNNNNNNNNNNNNNNNNNNNNNNNNNNNNNNNNNNNNNNNNNNNNNNNNNNNNNNNNNNNNNNNNNNNNNNNNNNNNNNNNNNNNNNNNNNNNNNNNNNNNNNNNNNNNNNNNNNNNNNNNNNNNNNNNNNNNNNNNNNNNNNNNNNNNNNNNNNNNNNNNNNNNNNNNNNNNNNNNNNNNNNNNNNNNNNNNNNNNNNNNNNNNNNNNNNNNNNNNNNNNNNNNNNNNNNNNNNNNNNNNNNNNNNNNNNNNNNNNNNNNNNNNNNNNNNNNNNNNNNNNNNNNNNNNNNNNNNNNNNNNNNNNNNNNNNNNNNNNNNNNNNNNNNNNNNNNNNNNNNNNNNNNNNNNNNNNNNNNNNNUGCAGGGGGAAUGGUUGUUGGGGAAUUAUUUGUUCUGGUUGCUGGGGGAAUGGUAGUUGGGGCCGGGGAAAUGGUUGUUGGGGUUGCUGGGGGAAUGGCUGUUGUGGUUGCAGAGGGAAUGAUUGUUGGGUCUGGGGAAAUGGUUGUUGUGAUUGCUGGGAAAAUUGUUGUUGGGGUGUGGGAAAUGGUUGUUGCGAUGGAUAUGGUUGCUGUGAUGGAUAUGGUUGUUGUGGAUAUGGCUGUUGUAGAAAUGGUUGUUGUUGAUAGGAAAAUGAUUGUUGAGGUGAUUGUAAUUCUUUGUUGCUAGGGUUUAGCUGCCUAGCGGCAGUGGCGAUGUUCAUCGCCAUGGCAAGGAGGACAAAGAUGAGGAAGGUCUUCAUGUUGGAUUUGUGGUUACUACUGCUUGCUUGCUUUUGAUGCUUGUGGUCUAGGUGUGUGAAGUUUGGAUGAUGAAAUGUGGUCUUGGUGGUGCAUGUGUAUUUAUAGUUUUCAUGGCAUGGCUUGCUUUCUUCUUCCCACUCGCUUUUUGAAAAAGUGCACCAAUGCUUAUCCAACUAAUCAUUUGAUUUGUUGUGUUUGGUGCAACUACUUACUAGCAAGAUUUUGGAUUUUCAUGAUAGUUGCUUUUUGUUGAAAUCAUCUGGUUGUAAGGAAUGUUGGAUAAUGACCAAUGACUCAUCUUCUUCACUUUACACUGCAAACAUUGAUCUAAAUUAUAUCCUUUUUUGAAAUUUAGUUUGUGAAGCUCUACAUGUUGUUAGGCUUAUCUAUAUUGGCAUAGCUUGAGUGGAAUUAAGUUUGUAAGCUUGUGAGCGUCAUUAUGAUGGAUCACACUAUUAAUGUGAUGAUUGUACUACAAAUUAUCUUUCCAAAACUAAUUUUAUGUUUUUUCCCAAUAUGAUUCUAAGACGGAUAACCAGACAUGACUCAUCAAAUAACAAGAUAAACCGAGUAGCAAAUUGGGGUUAUAAGUUAUAACAUGGACUUUUCUCUAAGAUACACUAUCUUGUCUUGCAUGCUCUGUGAAUUUGAAAAGCAUCUACUAAUUUAUAUGCAAUUGAAACAAAAGUAGACCAGAAAGAUAAGCAAUGAAAUGAGAAUACUAUUAUGUGAAGCUCUACAUGUUUGGCAAGCAAUAAGAUACUGGAUACAUCUAUAUCUUCAAUCCUGACAAUUUUUCUCAUCCCUAUCAACUCUUUAUUGGCUGCCUUUACUGUAGUCAUCCCUUAAAUAAAAAUCACUUAAAGAUAAGUUUGGGAGCUAGUACCAGCAUCUAUCAUGUACAAGAUAAAAAACUAAGGCACAUAUAGUAGUCUAUUGACUAUAUUUAAUUUCAUGUGAUGUGAAAGCAUGUGGAGUAUAAGUUGGUUAAAUAUAAAAUUGUCCUUCAUACCAGUAGGGAAAGAAUAUGCAGUAUAAAGAUUAGAGCAUUAUUAAUAUGCUAUUAAAUGCUACAGGAUAAUCGAUAGUUCAAGUUAAGAACAACAAUAGCAUUCCAACUUUUGUUUUGUGCAAGUUAAGAACAUGCUAACAAAGUAACCUAAGCAAAUAAGUGCAACACCUUCACCUAUAAGGAAAUUUUGAAACUACACAAAAUGACCUAUUGUAAAGAAGGAAAAAAAUCUAAAGGUGAAUGAAAAGCAUGUUAAGUACAUUCAGGAUUCGGUUAUGCCUUCAUGGAUAACCUUUUAGAUGGUGACUUGUCAACCUUGAUGUGUGUCGGCAUGGAACGAGGACAAGAAGACAUCGUUACGUCGUACUUUGGGAAUUUCAUCAAACUGGUUGUGUGCGGGAACAAAUAUUUGUCGCCUCCCUGCUCAAAUCUCUCUUCAUGUCACUAAAUCCGACACUCCACCUACCAAAAUCAGCUGCAAGCCAGGGACAAUCAACAGGUUUCUCCGCCCGUAGCAUCUAUCACCAAAAGAAGUUCAGACUAUAGUCUUGUAGUUUAAAAUUUUGUAAUAACAAGCACUACUAGGUUGCUCUUGUUUGUACGUCUUCAUUAUGUACAACCCAUGGAACUUAAAAUGCAUGGGUCAUUCUUCGGUAUAUACAACCAAUGCAACCAAACAUGCAUUGGGCUUUUCUUUGUACAUCUUCAGGUUCUACAACCAAUGCAACAAAAAAUCCAUUGGGCAGUCUUCCAUUCUAGUCGGGCACCAAUAGUUAAACGAGGAGCUAAACAGUGUUGGAGUCUAAAACUACAUACAAUCAUGAAGCAGAGAGAUGCGACUUGGAAGUUGUGCUCCUGUGAGCUCGUAUUUUUGAAGAAAAAAGUAAUAUUUGUAUUUUGAAGUGGGAAAAAGUCCUAAAAAGGGAUGUUUUGCGGGUUAUAACUUACUAUUUUUGAGUCCUGGGCUGCAGGAAGGUCGUAAAAAAUCAAUGUGUUUUCCCAUUCAUGCAUGUUUCUUGGGUUAUAGGUCACGCUUUUGGUGUCCUAGGGAGAUCACUUCCCCAGUUGGGAACAUUAGGUGAUGAUUUUUAGCAAAACUCAUUGUUUUAGCCUAACUAGUUUCGAGGAUUGGUGGACAAGAUUAUCAUGGAACAAAGUGACAACCUUCCUUUUCUUCAUGCCUAAUAUAAACUUAGCAGUCAACUAAAAGUAACUAGCGAUAUCACAGAAUGUUUUUUUGUCAAAAGUAGAUACCACUUCAGGAUUCAACUCGGUUAGUUCAAUCAUAGACAUGUUAAGAGCAGGAUUUACAACUAACUGCAUAGGGAACAUCUCCUUUUAUCGCCCACUAUCUGUCUAUGCACUUUGGUUUUCCCGUAGCAGCACACAAAGCACUUUGUUAGUACCAAUAAUGUGCUCCAACUCUACACAUUAAUCAUCUUGAAUUCUUCUACUGAUGUCGAACAAUGUUAUAUCUUGAAUUCUUCUAACGAGUUCAGAUUAUACUACAUGGGCAAUUUAUCUGGUCCCUGAGAUGCAAGGUCGAUGAACAAUCGCUUCGUCUGAUGAUGAGGGAUUGUUUUUGCCUAAGAAACCAAUACAUGUAACUUCGACGCCAGAUUAAUAAUUGGUAAAACCCAAAUAAAUUAGAUCACGAGCUAAACCAUUUAAUUUUGUAUGCAUUUAAACUUUUGAUACAUAUGAGCUUGUUAAGAUGUUCGCAUAAACACCAUGGUGAUUUGAAGCAAGACAAAGUAAACUUGAACCGCUUGAGCCACUGACUUAAUAAGAACCUCCUUUCCCGUGGCAGAGAUCGUUUUUAAUACAUCCACUCACUUUGGUUCUCUUAUGAAAUCUAGAUUCCUUCGCUAAGGCUAUUGCUCCAGUAUUGUCACAAAAGAUUUUUGUUGGACCCGAUGCACUAGGUAUGACACCUAGAUCGGAUAUGAACUCCUUCAUCCCGACUCCUUCAUUUGCUACUUCCGAAGCAGCUAUGUACUCCUCUUCACAUGUAGAUCCCUCCACGACGCUUUGCUUGAAACUGCACCAACUGACAGCUCCACCAUUCAAUAUAAAUACGUAUCCGGUUUGUGACUUAGAGUCAUCCAGAUCAGUGUCAAAGCUUGCAUCAACGUAACCAUUUACAACGAGCUCUUUGUCACCUCCAUAAAUGAGAAACAUAUCCUUAGUCCUUUUCAGGUAUUUCAAGAUGUUCUUGACCGCUAUCCUAUGAUCCACUCCUGGAUUACUUUGGUACCUCCCUGCUAAACUGAUAGCAAGGCACACAUCUGGUCUGGUACAUAGCAUUGCAUACAUGAUAGAACCUAUUGCUGAAGCAUAGGGAAUGACUUUCAUUUUCUCUCUAUCUUCUGCAUUGGUCGGGCAUUGAGUCUAACUCAACUUCACACCUUGUAACACAGGCAAGAACCCUUUCUUUCCUUGAUCCAUUUUGAACUUCUUCAAAACUUUAUCAAGGUAUGUGCUUUGUGAAUGUCUAAUUAACCGUCUUGACCUAUCUUUAUAGAUCUUGAUGCCCAAUAUAUAAGCAGCUUCACCGAGGUCUUUCAUUGAAAAAUUCUUAUUCAAGUAUCCUUUUAUGCUAUCCAGAAAUUUCGUAUCAUUUUCGAUCAACAAUAUGUCAUCCACAUAUAAUAUCAGAAAUGCUACAAAGCUCCCACUCACUUUAUAAAGGCUUCUCCAAAAGUCUGUAUAAAACCAUAUGAUUUGAUCACACUAUCAAAAUGUAUAUUCCAACUCUGAGAGGCUUGCACCAAUCCAUAAAUGGAUCACUGGGCUUGCACACUUUGUUAACACCUUUUGGAUCGACAAAACCUUUUGGUUGCAUCAUAUACAACUCUUCUUUAAGAUAUCCAUUAAGAAAUGCAGUUUUGACAUCCAUUUGCCAAAUUUCAUAAUCAUAAAAUGCGGCAAUUGCUAACAUGAUUUGGACAGACUUAAGCAUCGCUACGGGUGAGAAGGUCUCAUCAUAAUCAACUCCUUGAACUUGUCGAAAACCUUUCGCAAAAAGUCGAGAUUUGUAGACAGUAACAUUACCAUCAUCGUCAGUCUUCUUCUUGAAGAUCCAUUUAUUCUCUAUGGCUUGCCGAUCAUCGGGAAAGUCAACCAAAGUCCACACUUUGUUCUCAUACAUGGAUCCCAUCUCAGAUUUCAUGGCCUCAAGCCAUUUCGAGGAAUCUGGGCUCAUCAUUGCUUCCUCAUAGUUUGUAGGUUCAUCAUGGUUGAGUAACAUGACCUCCAGAACAGGAUUACCAUACCACUCUUGUUGGGAAUAUGACUACCAGGUAUGACCCGCCCAGGAGGGGCCGGGUCAAUCCUAAUGGCGGGUUACUAAAAGAAGCUCAGUGAAUAUACAAGGCGAUAGUUUAUUAUAAGACUUGUAGUAGGACCAAGCCCAAAGGCGGGUUAAGGCCCAUAAUUGUAAACCGCCAUGUAUAAGAAAGAAUUGUAAAGAAAGGCAUGUAAGAGAAGUCACCGAGCCGGGCACGUUAUAUGAGCCGGCUGGGACUCUGUAGGCCGCCAGGCGUCAACCCGUGUAUAUAAGGGGACGACCCGGUGGCGGCUUAGGGCAAGUAACAUCAAAUCGAGAGCCAUGCAUAGCGUAUUUGCUCCCUGGUCAUCGAAACCUAGCAAUACCACAUCAACUGGACUAGGCUUUACCUUCACCGUAGGGGGCCGAACCAGUAUAAACCUUUCGUGUCCUUUGUCCCGAUUAACCCCUUUAAGCUUCCUAGUUGCGAUGGCUCCACGACUAAGUCCUUUCAGUAGGACAUCUGCCGUGACAAUUCCACGACAGUUGGCGCCCACCGUGGGGCCAUCGCACGAUGGAUUUGAGUUCUUGAAGGGCAGCUUCCAAGGGCUCAAGGGAUACGCUGUGGGCCGGAUAACCAAAAGUUGUCACAGCAAGCUCUACAUCGACGACGCAGGCUGGGGCCCCGAGGCUGGCUCAAUCGAGUACGGGUACCGGGUCCCCUUCGGCGGAAUCCACGUCUUCAUCGGCCGGAUCGGCGAGCCGGGCCCUGAGUCGGACAUCUGCACCGACCUCAUCGAGAUGGCUCAGCGAGUGAGACCUGCCCGGGCUCAACCUGCCGUGAGGCGUGCCUUCGUGGGUUGCAUCCAUGGAGGGGAAUUUUCUGAAGGAUCGAUGGACGGUGGUGAGACAGUCGUUUGCUCUAGCAGUGAGUCGUCCAUAGGCGAGACAGAUUCUUUGUAUCAGCUACAAGAUGGCGGGCUUGGGGGCUGUUCCGAUGGCAGUAGUAUUCCGGACCCCUCUGAGCCGCCGAAUCGAGCCGGAGUCUUCAUGGCUGGCACUCAACCUGGUUAGAAUUCUAUGGCUGCGGCAGCAAUAACCACUGGGUCAGCAGGGGCCGGGUCAGGAGACCCCGCGCGCCCACCGGCUCAGGUACUAAUGGACCUCAUGGAUAGGAUGACGGCCCUGUUGACUGCUGUGGUUGAGCCGGCAGAUAAGGCUCAGCAUGACGCAGAGGUAGCACAGCUACACAGAGAGGUAGCACAGGCCAAGGAAAAUUUAGUGGCGGAAGAUGUCAGGAUGGCCGCGGAACGGGCGGCUCUGGAUGCACGGGCUCGGCAGCUUCAAGCGAAGACUUUCUGGCUCUCGGUGGAUCUGAACGCAUCAAACGAGGUCACGAGGAGAAGGCACCAGAAGGCUCAAUCAUGUCUGCCUCUGACUUACGAUCCUAGGAACCUUUUUCACACACCCGGGACUGGUCCCAGUAACCCGCUGAAGGCAAACCGGAUCACAACACCCGGGACCGGGACGCCGGUUCAACCGCGGGCCAUGGAACCACCGCGUGUGAAUACUGCUCUGCCUCACUACACAGCGAUACCACCGGGUCACUUCUCUAACCCCUUGGAGAACCUUAUUGCUGCGUCGGCUCAUCUGGCGGCUCUCCCGAUGGAAGGUGACUCUUCGACGGCGAUCGAGACACGACGGGUCAGAGAACUUCUUCAGACGGCUCUGGCACAGCAGGAUGCAUAUUCUUAUAGUUGAGAUAGAAUCCAUUCAACCCCUCGCCCAAGCCGGAGCCCAAGCUAUAGCAGGCAUAUGGACUCGGCGGCCAUGUCAAGCAACACCCAGCGCCGUAACCAUCCACGUGGGCGUGACCCGGCCCCGGGCGGAGCUUGUAACUUGGUAGACCAGGAGAGGAUCCGUCAAGAGGCUGAACGGGUGGUUCAACAGGCGGCUGAGCAAGCGGCUCACCAAGCUUUUCCAAUUUAUACAGUGACCUCUGUUGAAGCAGGGGUGGCCACAAGGACAGGAGGAGUCCCUUGUCUUGUGCAGUCUCUGCGUAAUGAGCGUUUACCAAAGGACUUUAAGGGGCCUCGUAAGGUGCCCAAUUACACAGCCGACCUGCAGCCCGGAGCAUGGAUUGAAAGUUACGAGAUGGCCAUGGAGUUAUUAUAAGUCAGUGACGCAGCAAUGGCCAAAUACUUCACCAUGAUGUUGGAUGGAACAGCUCGUACUUGGUUAAAGGGGUUACCGCCCAACUCCAUCGGCUCAUGGGCGGAGUUGAAGGCACGGUUCAUUCAGAACUUUAAAGAUACCUGUAAACAGCCCAUGUCAAUCGUGGACUUGACUAACUGCAAGCAAGAGGAAGGCAAAUCCAUGACCCAUUGGGUGCGCCGGGUCAAGGAAAUAAUACAUUCAUCUGAUAAGAUGGAUGCCAGCUCCACGGUCUUAAUGUUGGAGAAAAAUUACCGUUUUGAACCUCUGAAACAGAAGCUGGGGCGGCUCAAGCAUGAUUGUAAUGACAUGGGCCAGUUGAUGGCGGCUCUGGUCAAAUAUGCUGACUCUGACAGUACCAAGGAUCCCAUGUCUGACGAAGAGAAGACGAGGAAGGGAAAGAAGAACGGCAACGGCAAGGGUCACCAGCAUAACCCGACAAAUCAAGGAGGUAAUAAACGCAAGGCUGACGAGUUUGUGGCUAACACCAAUGCACAUGGCAACAACCAAUGGCGCAAGGGGAGGCCACCUCCUCGGUCAGGCGGAUCAGGUCCCACCCUCGAGCAACUACUAAAUGAACCCUGUCCGGGACAUGGCACCCGGGAGAAGCCGGCUACCCAUCUGUGGAAGGAUUGUACGAUCAUGAAGGCUUUUAAGAAUUCUAACAUGUUUGAUGGUAACCACGGGCCUGCUGGCGGCUCAGGCGGUGGCGGUUUUCAUGGCCAAGGCCAUCCGGGUAGUCAAGGCGAUUAUAGUCAGCAAUCCGGCCAGGGCAGUCAGCAACAGCAGCAACAGCCCGUGUAUCAGAGUAACCCAAAACAGCUGAACAGUGGACAGUACCAUGUGUUUACCACCAGUUUGUGCAAGAGGGACCAGAAGCUUCAGAAGAGGGAUGUAAAUGCUAUUGAGCCGGCGGUUCCACGUUAUUUGAGAUGGUCUGAACAACCUAUUCUGUGGAGUAGGGAAGAUCACCCACCCCGGGUUGAUAAUCCGGGUCAUCUGGCUUUGGUGGUGGCGCCUCAGGUUGGUGGAUAUAAGUUCACUAAAGUGCUCAUGGACGGAGGCAGUAGCAUCAACGUCCUCUAUUAUGAGACGUUCUGUCGCAUGGGGUUGACUGAUAAGAGUCUUAAAACAUCCAACACUGUUUUUAUGGGGUAGUGCCUGGUAAGUCGGCGUACCCAGUUGGUAAAAUUGAGCUGGAAGUGGCCUUUGGAGAUGAGUAUGAUUCUAGGGCUGAGAAGCUAACUUUUGAAGUGGUUAAAAUCAAGAGCCCAUAUCACGCUCUGUUUGGACGGCCGGCUUAUGCUAAGUUCAUGGCCCGGCCGUGUUAUGUGUAUUUGCAGCUCAAAAUGUUGGGUUAUAAAGGCACUAUCAUAGUACAUGGAAGCCGGAAAAUAGCCCUGGAAUGUGAAGAAGGUGAUGCUGCAUAUGCCGAGUCUGUUUGUGCAACAGAGGAAUUGAAGUUUUAUAAGGAUAAUGUUGACCCGGCAAACAUGGCGUCUUUGAAGAAGCCAACUACGGAGCAUGAGCCGGCAUUGAAAUUCAAGUCCGCUGAUGACACCAAGAUGAUUGAUUUCGUGUCUGGCGACUCAUCCAGACACUUCAUUAUCAGUGCUAACUUGGAUCCAAAAUAGGAAAGCGUGCUCAUCGAGUUCAUCCAUGAGAACCGGGACAUCAUUGCAUGGAAGCCUUCUGACAUGCCGGGUGUUCCGAGAGAACUCGUUGAGCACACUCUCAAUAUUCAUCCAAAGUUUAAGAUGGUCGGGCAAUUUCUUCGGCGGUUUAACGAGGAAAGGUGCAAGGCCAUUGGAGAAGAGGUGGCCCGGCUCUUGGCGGCCGGGUUCAUUGUUGAAGUUUUUCACCCAGAGUGGUUGGCUAACUCGGUGCUUGUGCUUAAAAAGAACGGCACCUGGCGCAUGUGUGUGGAUUACACAAAUUUAAACAAGGCUCGUCCAGCUGAUCCUUUUGCUCUCCCUCGUAUUGAUCAAAUCAUUGAUGCUACGGAGGGUUGUGAGCGUUUGAGUUUUCUGGAUGCUUAUUCGGGUUAUCAUCAGAUCAAGAUGGCAGUUAAGGACCAGGAGAAAACAGCUUUCAUCACUCCGUUUGGAGCCUUCUGCUAUGUGUCUAUGCCUUUUGGGCUCAAGAGUGCCCACGCGACUUAUCAGCGGUGUGUACAAAAUUGCCUUCAUAAUCAGAUUGGGUGUAAUGUUCAUGCUUAUGUGGAUGAUAUAGUGGUGAAAUCCAGAGAGAAGGAAACCUUAGUAGCUGAUCUAAAGGAAACCUUUGGUAACCUCCGGGUCUACAAGAUGAUGCUUAACCCGGCCAAGUGUGUUUUUGGAGUCCCAGCUGGCAAGCUCUUGGGUUUUUUGGUGUCUAAUGGAGGCAUUGAGGCUAACUCGGAGAAAAUAAAGGCAACCACGUCUUUGGCUAAACCGGCAUGCAUCAAUGACGUUCAGCGGCUGGCGGGCCGUGUCGCAGCUUUAAGCCGGUUUAUAAGUCGGUUGGGCGAGAAGGCUAUGCCAUUGUAUCAAAUGAUGAAAAAGGUGGAUGACUUUGUAUGGAGUGACGCUGCUGAUUCCGCUUUUGAAGGUUUGAAAAGACAGCUUGCUGGGCCACCUAUUCUUGCUGCCCCCGUUGAGAAGGAGCCGCUAUUGUUAUAUGUGGCUGCUAACUCACAAGCCGUCGGCAUGGCCAUUAUUGUGGAGCGCAAGGAGGUUGGCAAGGAACAUCCAGUUCAAUGGCCGGUUUACUACGUCAGUGAGGUGCUCAUUGGAUCCAAGAAAAGAUACCCACAUUAGCAAAAACUUGUUUAUGGGGUGUUCAUGGCAAGCCGGAAGCUUAAGCAUUACUUCCAGGGUCAUCCUAUCACUGUGGUUAGCUCUGCUCCUUUAGGAGAUAUUAUUUAGAACAGAGAAGCCACAGGACGAGUCGCCAAGUGGGCCAUUGAGCUUGGGGUCUCAUAAUAUAAAGUAUGUGCCACGUACGGCUAUUAAGUCUCAAGCACUGGUGGACUUCAUUAAUGAUUGGACGGAGUUACAGACACCUGAAGAGAAGCCAGACAACACAUAUUGGACGAUUCAUUUCGAUGGGUCCAGGCAGUUGGAAGGCUCGGGGGCUGGAGUUGUGUUAACUUCUCCUCGAGGUGACAAGUUUUGUUAUGUGUUGCGAUUGAUGUUUCCUUGUACUAACAAUGCAGCAGAAUAUGGGGCCUUGCUCCAUGGUCUUCGAAUGGCUAAAGAGAUGAGUUUAAGACGGGUACGGUGCCUUGGCGACUCAGAUUUGGUGGCUCGGCAGGUGUCAGGCAAGUGGGAUUCCAAGGACCCUCUCAUGGCGGCUUAUCGCCGGGAAGUUGAUGAUGUUGUUGGACAUUUCAAAGGUUAUCAGGUGGAGCACAUUGACCGCAGAAAAAACAAAGCGGCUGAUGCUUUAAGCCGGUUGGGAUCACAGCGUAAGCUGGUGCCACCUAACACUUUUCUAGAUGUUCUUCAAAACCCUUCUGUCAAACUGCCUACAGAGGAAGAUUUGGUCAUUCCAGACCCGGAGGCACAGUUAGUAGCGGCUCUUCAUGUUAUUCCAGAUUGGACAUUACCGUAUUUGGCUUACAUGACCCGGGGUGAGUUGCCAGAGGAUGAGACCUUGGCUCGACAGAUAACCCGACGGUCUAAGUCAAUGACAAUUUCCAAUGGUGAGUUGUAUCAUCGCAGCGUCACUGGAGUGUUUCAACGUUGUGUCUCUCCCGAAGAAGGUCAAGAAAUUCUUCGUGAGAUCCAUGAAGGGGAUUGUGGUCAUCACGCUGGUUCAAAGUCUCUUGUGGCUAAAGCUUUUCGUCAUUGUUUUUACUGGCUAACGGCUCACGCUGAUGCAGAGGAUCUGGUCAGUAGGUGUGAUGGGUGUCAAAAAUUUGCACGACGAGCGCACGUGCCGGCUUAAGAAUUGCGGAUGAUUCCAAUCACUUGGCCGUUUGCAGUCUGGGGGCUUGACAUGGUUGGACCUUUUAAAAGAUCCAAGGAUAAAAAGACACAUCUUUUGGUGGUAGUUCACAAAUUUACAAAAUGGGUUGAGGCAGAGCCGGUUAGUAAGUGUGAUGCAGCCACGAUGGUUCAGUUCAUGAAAAAGGUGAUCUUUCGUUUUGGCUUUCCACAUAGCAUUAUAACUGACAAUGGUACUAAUCUGUCCAAAGGCAACAUGGAGGAGUUUUGUCAAUGUGAGCAUAUCCGGCUUGAUGUUUUGUCUGUAGCUCACCCCCAAUCCAAUGGUCAAGCUGAGAGAGCAAAUCAGGAAAUCCUAAAAGGUCUCAAGCCCGACUUAUGGUUCGUUUACAACGGACGCCGGGUUGUUGGGUGGAGGAAUUACCCUCGGUGCUGUGGAGUAUCAAUACCACUCCUAACAGAUCUACAGGUUAUACACCUUUCUUCAUGGUUUAUGGAGCAGAAGCAGUUCUGCCUAGUGACAUCCGUCAUGACUCACCUCGCGUGGCGGCCUAUGUUGAAGCUGAUAAUGAACAAGCCCGACAGGAUGCACUUGACUUGUUAGAUGAGGAGAGAGAUUUGGCAGUGGCUCAAUCAGCAAUUUAUCAACAAGACUUGCGCCGUUAUCACAGCCGCCGGGUUAAGUCCAGAACCUUUCAAGAAGGUGACCUAGUGCUCCGGCUCAUCCAGGAUCUGUCUGAUGCACACAAGCUAUCCCCGCCUUGGGAAGGACCCUUUGUGGUCAACAAGAACUUAAACAAUGGGUCAUAUUACCUCAUUGAUGUUCGAGAGCACAAAGACCCACGUAAGUCGGAGGAGGAGACCCGCCGGCCGUGGAACAUCGCUCAGCUUCGGCCAUACUACACUUAAACCAUCGGCUCUCAUCAUGUACAUACUUUGACGUUGUAUAUAAUAUGAUAAGUAAUAAAGCAGGACCUCUGUCCUUUUUCCCCUUCAAUGAUCAUAUAUCUUUAUUAUUUUCAUUAUUUAAAAUGACCAUUAGGGGGCUGAUCGUAUCCGAAUCUAGCUUAACCCUUUUGGUCCGGCUCAUGAUCGUAUUCGAAUCUAGCCGUAAAACUCAUGGUCACUUGGGGGCUUCCUGUUCAAACAUAGGUCGUAUUCGAACCAAAGAGAACAUAGCUGUCGUAACCCUCUUGAUCGGCUCAAAGCCAAACUCACUAGGGGGCUUCUUGAUCGUAUCUGAAUCAUAGCUUAACCCCUUUUUGGGUCCAACUUGGAUCGUAUUCGAAUCAGGGUCGUUAAAAACCUCUCAAGGUCAUUUGGGGGCUUCCUAUUCAAACAUAGGUCGUAUUCGAACCAAAGAGAACAUAGCUGUCGGUACCCUCUUGAUCGGCGCAACGCCAAAGCCACUGGGGGCUAUAUGAUCGUAUCCGAAUCUUAGCUUAACCCCUUUGGUCCGGUUUACUGAUCGUAUUCGAAUUAGAAGCCUCCAGUUUUUAUUUAAAUGUUUGAUUUACAUUGUCUGAAGCCUAGUGUUUUAUCUUACUAUUUUUAUCGUCUCAAAUCUAACUGUUAGUAUGGUUUCAAAUUAAACCGGCUUGGCUAUUUGACAAUGUGUCGCCAAGGCAUAACAGUCAUCAGACAUAUGGAAGUAUUGACUUCUAAAAAAGAUUGGGUUAUCAACCUCAUCAUCCGGGUCAUGUAAACCGACAGUCCAUGUUCAAAAACCACAGGUAUGACAGUGUCAUUCAUGAACAGACUUCCCUGGGUUUUUCGUCAGUCAAAGGAUUUUUCAGCCUUGUUUAUCUUACAUCUGGUUCUAUUUUUUCCACUAUGAUAAUUUCAUAAUCAUGUACCGGGUGUUUUGACCCGUCCGGUGCUAAGCCACCGGGACAGUUUUUUUCAUCUUUUACAGGAACAGAGUUAAAACAUUACAGAUGUAACCACGAUGUAAUGCAUAUAUAUAUUGACAUCAUGGGCAAAGAGUCAUAUGAAACAUCUUAUGCACGAUGGCAUAGGCAAAAUAUGCAAUUUUCAAACUAACCUAUUACAAGGCAUUGAGAGCCCAAAAGGUUAAACGGUUUUCUCUCUUAAGCAGGUCUUAAGCUAAAAACUGGAUUGUUCAGAUGGUUAUGACUCCUCCCUGGCCGUUUCACCUCCCUCCACUGGUUGGAAGCUGGGAUUGGACCAGUCAAAGCCGUUCAGAGCAAUGAACUCAGCCUCAUCGUCAAUUAGGCCGGCCGGGUCAAUUUGCAGGGCAAAAGUGUGUUGACGAACCGGCGGGAUAAGAUCCAUCACUUUAUAAGAGGGAGUCGCCAUCUUUUUAUUCUCCAUAUCAAAACCCGACUGAUAUUUUUCGAUGUUGGUCUCCUCACCAAGAAUGGUAGCCUGAGGACGAACUCCCCUCACACAAGCAAUAAAGUCAUCUUGCUCAAACGGAGUCCCGUCUUCCUUCAUGGUAGGGUACCCCUUAGCCACGUCCACCGGGUGUAAAUCGGGCACCCAGGCUUUGGAGCGGCUCAGGGCAGUCAGGGCUCCGACUCUGGCACAAGAUCGUUUGACCUCUUGAAAUCUGGCGGGUAAGAUCGAUAACUUCUUCAAAACAUCACUUAAACGGUUGGGUCCUUGGUUGGCAGGGGAUAUAUAUAGUAGAAAGUGCUCGUUGAGCACCAGUGUACAGUUGCUCCACCAAGGUAUAAACCGCCUUCAGUUUUGUCACACUAUCUUGACUCAGAUAUUUUACUUCGUGGACCUGUGAGUACUUUUUAACAAAGGCUCAGCAGGCGGCUUAUAUUUCUGGUUAAAAUAAAGUAUAAGUGACUAAUGCAAAUGACUUACCAAAGAUGGCGGAGACCAUUUGAUACACACGGUUUUUUAAGCCGGUGAGCUCCAUGGUAACCUCCUCAAGAGUCGCCUCUGCUGUCUUGGCACGUUGUGUCAGCAAGGUCUUCUCAUCGGCCCAGGAUUUCUUCUUCUCAGUCACACUGGUCUUCAAUUUUUCAGUUUUAGAGAGACUCAAUUGGAGUUUGGAGUUAGCAGUCUUUAUCUCCGCUUCUUGAUCCGCCAGCCGGGUCUUUGCAUCCGUCAAUUGAGAUCCCAAUUCAGUUAGGGCGGUCUACAAACAUGCAUAGGUGUGUCAAAAUUUAAACACAAGUUAUAUUGAUUAAAGUCGCGAGUGCUUUGCAACGCAACACCACUUGGCACUUGGGGGCUAAUGUCUGCCAAAGCAAUUUUAUGCAAAAUGACUCUUCUAUGUUUCAAGUCCCAAGUGUUUUACAAAGUAACAACGCUUGGCACUUGGGGGCUAAUGCAUGAUAUUCAGAAAGUUUUUCAAGAUGAGCCGGAUCACACUACUUAUUUGGACUAAUCUAAGACAGUUAUGAAGUUAAGUACCGGGUCAUUUAUGAUAAAUUGAGCCGGCCCUUGGGGACUACAUGUGAAGUUUAUACUAAUCCGUUGAACUUAGGAAAAAUCUAAAGACAAGGUAUCAACCUAUAUCAUAAGUCUACAGAUCAUUCAGGUUCAUCAUAAUCUGAAGACUUGGGGGCUGGCAGAGUAUAUAUAAACCGGAGAACGUACCUCAUAUUCUGUAACAUCCCAAAUUUUCAAUUUGGAAUGUUACACGUUAGGUCAUCAUGCAUAUCAUAUUUUAUUUUUCUUUUGGUUUUGAUCCUAGAAAAUCCUAAGCAACUCAAGGACCCACGGAGAGAGUUGGGGAUUUCAUUAUUUACAUAUUUGAGUUUUCUCAAAUUAUGUAAACAGGAUCAUUUGAUUUUAUUUAUUCUAUCAUCAAUUAUUUCUAUUACAAAAAUAUGAGAGAGGGAAUAAAAUGACUUUUCCAAAAUAUAGAAAUAUUGAGGAUUUAAUAAAAAAUCAAAUAAGUUUUAUUUCGGAGUUUUUUGGUAUUUUUAUUUGAAUUUAGGAAAAAUGCGCGUUUUUCAAAUUGUAGUUUGGGCCCAGAUAAAUGUUCACUUUAUCGGGCUUGAUUUUAGGAACCCGGCAAAAUUUAUUUCGUGAUUUUUGGAGUCCGUUUAGUAUUUCUUUUUAUUUUUCUUCCGAGCGGAUUUAAAAAAAAACUAGAACCGACUCCGUGCCGUAACCGGCCAGGAAACCUCCGCCCGGGGCCUUUAUAUAGCGCCCGAACCGGCCGAGAGAGAGAGAGAGGCCCGAAGCCAGCUAACCCUAACCCUAGCUAAGCCGCCGCCGCCUCCCAGCCGUCGCCGCCCGCCGCUGCCGACUCGCCGGAGCGCGCGCCUUUCGAGGUUCGCCGCCGCCUCGUUUUCCGUGAAGUUUUUUUUUAAAAAAAAAAUCUGUUCGUCGUUUUUCUUUUUCGUCGGAUUUUCCGCGGUUAUUUUCUGAUCGCGAUUUCUGAUCCGGUUUUCGUUUUAGUAUAACUUUUCGCUCGUUUAUCGGAAUCAGGCGAUUCAAGCGCCUGGAGUUUCGUCUCGAAACCCUCUUUCCGAAUAAUCAACUUAAACAAGUUUUUGCUACUGUAAAAUUUGCCCUAGAUCCAGAUUACUAGAAGGAAGUUGUUUUUUUUGCCGUUUGAUUUCUUUCGCUUCGUUCGAUUUGAUUCUUUUGCCAACCAGGGUUCUUAAGUUGAACUUUCUGGUUAGAUCUUCUAUUUGAGUUUUACUUGUGCAUUAGAUGAGUACUUAUUGUAUGCUUGAUGUUUGUCUGUGAUAGAAUACCCGGAGUGCGCCGCCUGUUACUUCGAAUCUCUAGGUUUCGCGGAUCAUCAGCAAGGCAAGUAACACUUUGAUCAUACCUUUUCUACAACCCAGUUUUAUUGCAUUAGAUCAAUCCUCACACAUUGCAUGAUUAGGAUCUAAUUAAAUUGUGGGAUGGGAAGUAGAUGAGGUAGUACCUAUUACCUGUUUAUUAUCAAACCUUUGGGAGUUACUUCUACGUUUGCUUAUGCCAUGUUAUGCCGGUAGACGUGGAUUGGGUGAGUGAUAUCCAUGACAGAUGUGAGAUUUAUAAUUAAGGGUUAUCUAAGGUGGCAACCUAACACACAUCUGGGUGGAUUGAGGCACCUGGGGUUACCAGGACUUGCCUGUUUUCUUUUGGACCGCCACCCAGGCCCAAAGGGAUCAUGAGAUUUUUCAUACUAGAAACUUCCGUGUGCAGCCACAAGCCAUUAUGGGCUCUGGCAUAGUUGACUAAGUUGUGCGAACUCUUACAGUGGUAGACUAGCAGAUGUAGGGGAAAGUAGGUGUACCGGUCUACCCGUCGUAAGGUGCUAGCGCUUCUGAAAGACUGUGUCUCGGUCAUCCGUUUCUCAAACACCUUGUAGUGCGAGAAACCAAACGGAGGUGAUCGAGUCUUGUGGGGAAAAGUGCGCAAACCUCUGCAGAGUGUAACAAACUAAUCAUGGUUAGCCGUGUCCCUGAUUAUGGACAUCUUGAGUAUCUAUUACCUGGAUUAUCAUGUGAAUCUCAACAUGUUACUCUAAAAUUAAUUUUGUGGGAUUUUAAUGAUGUUACUUAAUUGGGAUUGAGGAUGCUGUCAACCAUUCUCAAUGUUUAACAACCACCAUGAUAGUAAUUAAUUUUAUUCCUUUGAAGUAGGGAAAAAUUGGCUUUACGCAAAAACUGUAACCAUAGAGCUUUCCACCAGCCAAAUAUGCAUAUAGUAUAGUUGUUGCAUUCCAUUACUCUCUAUGUGUUACCUUGCCAGCAUAUUCCAUGUGCUGACCCGUUUCGGGCUGCAACGUUAAUGUUGCAGACUUUUCAGAUGACGAUUGAGGAAUUUUAGGUCGUGGUUCUAUACUCAGUGAUGCCGUUGGAGUUGAUGGACUCACUUAUCUUCCAAGCCUUCCGCUGUUAUCGUUAUUAGAUGGCCUUAAGCCAUAUUUAUUGUAAUAAGUUCUCUUUUGAGACACUCGAUGUAAUAAGUGUGUGAUUGCUACUCUGCUAUAAAUCCUCCGAGUACUGUGUGGUGUCAGCAUUACUGAUCCAAGGAUGACAUCGGAGCACAGAGAUCAGACUGUUUAAGGUCUGGUCGCUACAUAUUCCAGUUGCAAUUGCUUGACCAUCUCAAUUUCCGAGUCACGGCUGGAAUGCACAGGACUGAGAUAGCCGGACAGCAUGUCACUAACAUUCAGAUGAGCAUAGUGAGAGAUAUCAAAUUGUACUUUCUGUCUUUCCAAGGCCUCCUGUUUAGCAGAAUGCCUGGCCAGCACAGUCGGAUUACCCGGCGCAACAAAUCUGCUGCCAGUGAUCAAAACGUCAUGGUCAGAAGAUGCUGGCAGGUUAGCUGAACCGGACGGUCUGACGGUGGAUGGAUCGACAAUGGUUUCGUCAGCUGACGGCUCAGGAGGGUCCAAUUGAGCAUGGACAGCUAAAUCUUCUGGCGCUUCAGAUUGAGUGGGAGGAGUUGAUGUUGCCAGUUCAGGUGCAGGAUUUUUUGGGUCCUCUGCCGGUUUAAUCACCUUGGCUUUCUUGGACUUUGCUUGACCGCUAAGAAAGAUUUUUAUGAAAUAGUUAGUAUAAUGAUGCAGUUUUAAAAAUGUAGAGGAAAGAUGAUUUUCCUUACCCAUGGGCAGUCUUGAAAGCCGGAAAUUGAGUUUGGGAUGAGUCGCCAGAAGAGCGAGAGACCUCCUGCAAAGGUAAAAUAAAGUUAAGAAUAUAAGGAAAUAAAUUCAUGGAUAAAAACAAAGGACAAAGGUGAAAGAAACCUCAUUCUGGCGUUUUUGAGGAGUUUUUUCUAAGUCGAAAGGUGGUUCAUCAUCAUCAUUAGUCCGGGCCAGAUGGCGGCUCUCAUGUUGCUGCUUUUUCAAAAGAAAAUGAGGGUCCAAAUAAGCCAAAGGGUGCAAAAACCUUACUUUCCGGGUUACCAGUCGAAGUUUCUGUCUCGGCAAAGGGGCUGAGUCGUAGGAAAUAGUUACCUCUUCUUCCGCGGCCUGGCUGGCCCCCGUGUCAUCCUGGCAAUAGUCAGUGUCAAUAAGAUAGUUGAAAAUUUGGCCAAGGGAGAAAGGGCUACCUCCGACUCAGAAACAUCAUCAAGCUGGAAGAUGUCAGAUGCAGUCUUCUUCUUGGGCUUCCGGGUCGUUCUCUUGGCGGCUACGGCAGCGGAUCUAGCCUUCUUGGUAGCUUCAUGAUCAUACUUGGCCUUCCAGAAGUCAGAUUUGUCCUGUAAACAAAUAAAGAGGUUAAAAGGUCAUGCAAGUAUUUAAACUACUGAGGUAAACACAAAAAGAGAAAAAGGUCAAGAAGUUACCUCUGGUGUCGGGUUAAGUUUGCAGAAGGGGUUUAAUCCAACCUUGCUGUAGUCCUCGUAUUUGCCAUUCACGAGGAUGGUAGACAUUGCAACAAUGUCUUCUUCAGUUAAUUGUACAGAGCUAUAACGCAGAGAAUCAUUUGGGCCUCCGCCAUACUUAUACAUCAACUUGGAUCGGCGGCUUAGAGGGAUGACCCGCCAUGAGAUCCAGCAAUGGAUCAGGUCAACUCCGGUUAAGCCAUUUCCCAAUAAAGCUUGAAUCCUUUUGACAGAUGGGAUAAGCUUCUUGCGUUCAGCAGUAGUAAGCUUGUCAGGGAGCACAAACUUGGAAUCAAGACGCUCUUCACGAUAACCCGGCAGUGGUUUUUCAUCAGCCGGUGAUGUAUCUUGGCAGUAGAACCAGGUUUGCUUCCAGUCUUUGGGAUGGCUCGGUAAGACCACUAAAGGAAAAACGGCACCUUGUCAGCGUUGAAUUGAAAUUCUGCCAAGUUCCAAGCUAAGGCCGUUGGUGCACUCAUUCUGGCGGUUCAAGUAAAAGUACUCUCUAAAGAGCUCCACAGUUGGUUCUUCUUGAAGAUAUACCUCACAAAGAACUUGAAAAUUGCAGAUGUUGGAUAUAGGGUUGGGUCCAAUAUCUUGUGGAUGAAGCUUGAAAAAAUGCAGGACAUCUUGGACGAACUUUGAGCCGGGUGGUGAGAAGCCCCGGUUCAUGUGAUCUGUGAAAACGAUAACUUCGCCGUCUUUGGACUAAGGUCGUUCUUCGUCCGGGUCAGGAGCACGAUAAGACAUAACGCUUUUCUCUGGCAAAAAUCCAAUGGUGACAAAUUAUUUCAAGGUAUCUUCAGUAACUGUGGAAGGCACCCGGUUGCAGACAGUUGGCGCUUUUGACGGCAUGAUGAAGAAAGGGCAAGCUGAAAAGAAAGUAAUUUGCCGGUUCAAUUUAUUGGUGGAGUUACAGGUUCAUGAUUAUAGUACAGAUGAGUAAUGGCGGCUUAAGUAAGGGCUAAUGACAUGUAAAGGAAAAAUAAGCCGGAGUCAUAAGCCGCCAUGACUAAAAAGUAUUUGAAGGUUGCCAGAAUCAAAAUUGACUAAAGUGUUGAGACAAACAGGUUUCCCAAGUUGUGGCUAUUAUUAUGGAUCAAAAUGGUUCAGAAAAUAAAAAUAAAGUUAGACCUAGAAAACGAGCACAGAGGAGUUUGUCAGCUCUAAAGAGGCAUUUAUACAGGAGAAGGGGAUCUGUUAGCUUCAAAAAUGGAUGAGAAAUAGCUACCUCAUAAGUUUUGUACUACUUUUAGAUCAAAAGAGGGUGCGGUAAGAGAAGUUGCAACGAAUCUAUGACGAACAACGAAGAACACAAGAAGGAAACCUCCCGAACCCUAAUGCAGAUCUAUGGGGGUGAGAAGGUGAGAGCUUACAGGUGCGGAGCUGCUGCGGAGGAUCGCCACCGUUCUCUGGAUAGACUCAGGGUGAUGCUGCGGCCAGAGUUGAGGACGACGGUGCGCUACGGUGGCGACGGAGCUCGAGCGGCAAAGAAGGUGCGAGAGGAAGAAGAAAGAGGAAGGACUGGCCGAGCCUAUUUAUAAGGGGGUAAGUGAACGGGCAGACGCAAAAAUUGAGGAAGACCAAAGUAAUGAUUAUCCAGCUAAAUGGACGCCUCGAUCUUCGGAAAACAUUUAAGAUAAGGAUCCGUUGAAGAUGAAAUCGUGGUGUUUUUCCAAAUUUUUUCAAUCCUAAUGGUUGGUUAAUAAAAUAAGCUCAGUGAAUAUACAAGGCGAUAGUUUAUUAUAAGACUUGUAGUAGGCCCAAGCCCAAAGGCGGUUUAAGGCCCAUAAUUGUAAACCGCCAUGUAUAAGAAAGACUUGUAAAGAAAGGCAUGUAAGAGAAGUCACCGAGCCGAACACGUUAUAUGAGCCGGCCGGGACUCUGUAGGCUGCCAGGCGUCAACCCAUGUAUAUAAGGGGAUGACCCGGUGGCUGCUUAGGACAAGUAACAUCAAAUCAAGAGCCAUGCAUAGCGUAUUUGCUCCCUGAUCAUCGAAACCUAGCAAUAUCACAUCAACUGGACUAGGCUUUACCUUCACCGUAAGGGGCCGAACCAGUAUAAACCUUUCGUGUCCUUUGUCCCGAUUAACCCCUUUAAGCUUCCUAGUUGCGAUGGCUCCACGGCUAAGUCCUUUCACUAGGACAUCAUCCGUGACAAUUCCACGACAACUCUGGUGCGGAUCUUACUAUGGUUGACCUACGAGGUUCAGCGGUAACUUGAUCUGAAGUUUCAUGAUCAUCAUCAUUAGCUUCCUCACUAAUUGGUGUAGGAAUCACUGGAACUAAUUUCUGUGAUGAACUACUUACCAAUUCGGGAGCAGGUACAAUUGCCUCAUCAAGUUCUACUUUCCUCCCACUCACUUCUUUCGAGAGAAAGUCCUUCUCUAGAAAGGAUCCUUUCUUAGCAACGAAUAUAUUGCCUUCGGAUCUGUGAUAGAAGGUGUACCCAACAGUCUCCUUUGGGUAUCCUAUGAAGACACAUUUCUAUGAUUUGGGUUCGAGCUUAUCAGGUUGAAGCUUUUUCACAUAAGCAUCACAGCCCCAAACUUUAAGAAACGACAACUUAGGUUUCUUGCCAAACCACAGUUCAUAUGGUAUCAUCUCAACGGAUUUAGAUGGUGCCCUAUUUAAAGUGAAUGCAGUCUGAAAGUGCGUUAUAUCGACUAGAGGGGGGGUGAAUAGGCGAUUUUUAUGAAAGUCUUCAAAACAUGGAAGUUUCGAAGACAAACGAUAGAAAUAAACCUAUUACCAUGCAGUGGAAGUUAGACUACACUAGAUAAACCGUAGUCAUGUAUUCAAUGAAGUGAAAGGACAAUGACUAAUAGUAGCUAGGUAGUAAGGAUCAGGCAGGAAGAUAUUAAGAAGCCAAACGGAUCACACAGUCACUCAGUGAAGACAAAAGAUAGAGAAAACAUACAAUGACUUCACACAGAGUAACAGUAAGUAAAGAGAAGGGAAGGAUGAAACCAGUGACUCGUUGAAGACAAAGAUUUGUUGGACCAGUUCCAGUUGCUGUGACAACUGUACGUCUGGUUAGGGCGGCUAGGUAUUUAAACCAAAGGACACACAGUCCCGGACACCCAGUCCUGAACACGCAGCUCAGGACAUCCAGUCCUCACCGUAUUCCCCUUGAGCUAAGGUCACACAGACCUCGCCCAAUCACUCUGGUAAGUCUUCAAGGUAGACUCCCAAACCUUCACAGACUUCGUUCACCGGCAAUCCACAAUGUCUCUUGGAUGCUCAGAACGCGAUGCCUAACCAGCUGGAGGAUGCACAGUCCUCAAGUGUAAUAAGUCUUCAGAUCACUCAGACAAGAAGACUUAAGUGAUGCCUAAUUCUCUUUCGCUCUGGGUGGUUAGGGCUUUAUCCUCGCAAGGAAUUCUCUCUCAAAGGCUUCGAGGUGGGUUGCUCUCAAACGACAAAAGCCGUACUUUGAAUCUGAGUAGCCAACCGUUUAUGGUUGUAGGGGGUGGGCUAUUUAUAGCCACUAGGCAACCCGACCUGAUUUGUCCGAAAUGACCCUGGGUCACUAAGGAACUAACAUGUGUUCCAACGGUCAAAUUUCAAACUCACACGGAAACUUUACUUGGGCUACAAGCAAAGCUGACUUGUCCGACUCUGGACAAGAUUUUCUCUCAUAGUCUUCACUCGAAGACAUAGGUUUUUGUUUAAGCAUCACUUUAGUCAUUCUGACUGGCUCUCUUGGACCCCACUUAACAGUAUGUUGGUUCCUAUGACUCAACACAGAAGAAAAAGAACUACGAAAAAUCUAAGUGUUCAAGCUCCAUAGGCUUCAUGCGGUGUCUUCUCUUGUCAUAGUCUUCAAUGUGAAUAUCUUCAUAUACCACCUUUGACAUCAAUGUCUUCAUACACUUUUAGGGGUCAUCUCUGGUGGGAAAACCGAAUCAAUGAGGUACUUCUACCUGUGUUAUCCUGCAAUUCUCACAAACACAUUAGUCCCUCAACUAGGUUUGUCGUCAAUACUCCAAAACCAACUAGGGGUGGCACUAGAUGCACUUACAAUCUCCCCCCUUUUGGUGAUUGAUGACAAACUAGUUGAAGUUUUCAACGGGGAAUAUAAUGUGUGAAAUUGUAAAGGAUAAGGAAUUGUCUUCAUAAGUUACAAGGGCUCCCCCUGAAGAUGUGCAUAUAAGUAAUUUGCUUUUGGAAUGCAAAUGCACAUGGCAGGUUGUGCUUGUGGAGAUCCACUUCAACUUAUGAUGACAAUCCACUAUGCAUGUGAAAGUAUGUGAAGAUAAUGACAUGCAUAAUGGAAAAUGGAUGUCUGCAGAAUGAUCUAAGUGCGGAAUCUAUCAUCGCACAUGCGGAAUUUAUCAUCACAACACAAGGUAGCAAAUAGGUAGCAGACGACCAUCAAGUUUAAGUGUUACAACUCAAAGAACCAAAUGUUUCAAAACGAGAGUUGUAAGCACGAAGCAAAAUAUAAAACACCCGCCCAUAUGGACCCAUUUGAAGACUAUCAAACUCAUAUGCUUCUCCCCCUUUUGACAGUAAGGACCAAAAAGGUUUGAAGACAUAGAGCCUCUACUCGUUCCCAUGAGGAGUAGGUGAAGCAGCAGGAUCGUUGAUGGUGUUUGGCAGUGCAGACGAGCUUGGAGCAGUGUCGACGUGUGCUGAAGGAGGCGGCGAAGAAGUAGCAUCGUCUUCAUCCUCGAUCACUCUGGCAUUCACGGUUGCAGUAGAGGAAGAGAACUCAGGGUCUUCAAGUGAUGGAGUUCGUCGCAGCACAGCCCUGCGAGGAGGUGUGGAGUCAAACUUGAAGCGCUCAGUGAAGCCAUCCUCUUGCAGAUCAUCUUCAGAACACAGCAGCGUCAGCCCUUUCCAUGUGCGUCGAGAUGUUUCAUGAGCAACAAAGGCGUUCUUGGUGGCAAGAUUGUGAAUGCGAUUAACAUCCACCAAGAGGCUUUGCAUUUGACGCUUUAGCCAGUCAUGAUGCCUAUCCUGUUUCUGAUGAAGGGCCACCAGAAGCUCUCGGUCAUUGAGGACACGAGUGCGCUUCUUGGGUCGUUGAGCAAUGGUGCUAUCAGUGGCUUCAGUAAGAGCAGGAUGCGGGGCACGGGUAGUGCCAGCCAAAGGAUACACACGUGUUACUGCUUCAAUGCCUUCAACGUUCCGAGAGAAACUUUGAUGCUCUGCAUUCUGAAGACUUAGAGGUUCCUUGGCAGGCUCAGGAUAUAUGGCUUCAAUAGACAUAUCCACAUCAGGCAAAAAGAUCCGAUGAUUGCGGGCAGAUGGCUGAUAUGAGAUAGCAGAGUGAAGUUUGAUCAGCCGCAUCACCCAAGGGGCGUAGAACUUCAACCCAAAUAGAUCAGAGCCAGAUGCAGCAAGUUGGCGAAUGAAGAAAUCCUAUGUAUUGAAGCAUUUUCCAUGAAGAAUAUAGAAGACCAAAGUCUUCAUUGCACCUUCCAGCUGGGCAUGGGGAGAAUGUCCUUUGAUUGGCCAGAGAGUUCGCCUUAUGAUAUGAUAAAUGGUCCUUGGCAGAUACUCAAGGUCUUCAACAAAGAACUCCGUGGGAUAAGCAGCAUCUUGGGGCAAUGGCUUCAUCAUACUGAGCAUCUGACUCAUAUUGGGUUCAGUCUUCUGAAAGAUGCUCUCAACAGCUUCAAUGUGAAGCUGACAGCCAUGCUCAUAGAGAUCGCCAGGAGUGGGCAAGCCAGUGAGCUCAAUGAUGUCAAAGACUUUGGCUUCGUGAUGAACAUUUCCAGUCAUCCACUCUAGGACCCAAGUCUUUGGAUCUCUGUUAUACCCGCGGAUGUGAAGUGUGGCAUAGAACUGGAGCAGCAACUCUUCAUUCCAAUGCUCUUGGUCAGUGACGAAUGGUAGCAGCCCAACUUCAUUGAAGCAAUCCAAAGCUUCUUCCAGACAGGCAGACCAGCUAUAGCUUCAAUGUCAAGGCGCUUGUGUGGGAAGAUGCGACCUUUGUUGUAAAGAAUGCAUGAGUAAUAGCUUCGCUGCUGAUAGCUCCAGAACCGAUCAGAUGAUAUUCUUUCCCUGGAGUAGGGGUUCCUGGAGCUAUUGAAGAAUGUGUUGUCUGCUCUGAAGCCAUUGAUGUUAAAGGAGCCAGGUGCUAAUGCAGGACCUGGGAACCUGGGCAAUCUUGGGAUUGGCUUCUGGACCUGAGGCCUGUGCUCAACAUGAUAGUCGAAUUGGGGACCGGCAGCAGACGCAGGAACAGGAGCAGCAGGAUUAGUGGCUUCGCUGACUUCUGGUGCUGUUGGGGGUGAGGGCUCCACAUUAGCUUCAGCCAUGACGGUGUCAGUGGCUUCAGUGGUGUUGGUGGUGGCAGCCUCUAGAUUUUCAACCUCCACUUGACGAGCUGGAGGGUCGGUCAUGAUCACGUUCUCCUCGAGAACCGCUUCUUGGUGGGGCAGGGGAGUAGCAGCUUGUGGAACUUCUUCUUCCGUGGCUGAUGCAGCUAGAUUGUCUUCAGCAGAGACUUGAGGCCUUGGACCUUUGUGAAGCCUGCGCAACGCGGGCGAUGCCUGUGGAGCUGGAGUGGGCUGGGCCUCAUAGUCUUCUUCCUCUUGUUGGCGAUCCGCCCAUGAAGCAUCCUGUGCCAUUGGCGUCAGUGGACGACCAAUGCUGAUGAGUUCGUUGUUUUCAAGCUGAGGAAGAACUGCACCAUCUUCUACAUGGUCAUGUUGACCAAUGUCUUCAGCAGUGAUGGGAUCAGCUGUUGGAAAGUCUUUAGCUUUAUGAGCCUCUGUGGAAGCAGGCUCAUGGAUUGUCAGUUGGCGUUCAGCUUCAGGAUAGACCAUUGAAAUAGGUUCAACUAUCAAAGGCUCUGUGGGAGCAGCCUGUUCCUUCUUGGUCUUUCGUUUCUUCUUGGAGGGGGCAGUAGGAGAGGCUUCAGGAUGUUUCCUCUUCCUGGCUUCAGCCUCAGCAGUCCUUGUCUUCUUGAGCUCUGAAGCGGUUGACCGGCUUUUUGGCUUCAAGCCAGUCAGUCUAGUUGGGAAGACAAUCGGAACUGCUUCCUGCCUUGGUGCGUCGGAUUCAGCCGUAGCAGUCUUCUUCUUCUUCUUUGCGGCCAUCCUAGGGUCAAUGCCAGGACGCCCAAGGGCCUUGCGCUUCUCAGCCUCAUUGUAGGCUUGCACACAUCUGUCAGCCAGAGCCUUCAUGCGCUCACGUGAAUCCCGAGCUUCUGCACAUUUCUUCAGAAAGGCUUCCUUGAGCUCGUGCAUCAUGAUCUUGAAGUUCUUCACUUCUUGCACACUGAGCUUGGCCAUAUGCUUCUUGAACUGAGCCUUUUCAUAGUCAAUCUUCUGCUUUAGUUCAACAACGUGUCGGGCGAUGGCUAGCUCUGAAGCAAUGGCGCCUUGGAAGGCGACACUGAGGCCAAUGGGUAGCUGCAGAUCAUCAAAGCUGAUGUUUGGCAUAUCAAACCACUCGUCAAUGAAGUUGUGGAUGAUGGUUACAUCAAAGAGAGGCAGAUCAUUGAAGAUUUCGGCUUCUUCUUUGCUCUUGAUGAGUUGCUCAAGAGCGUCAUCUGCAAGAUCUUCAUCACUUGACAGAUCAAUGUCAUCAUUGCGCAGAAUGGCAGCAGCUGUUAGCUCUUGGCCGGUGUGUGGCAGAGGCAUCUUGGCCUUCUAGGGCUUGGAGAUGCGUGAUAAAUCUUCGGACUGCACACUGUCUUCAGGAGAUGCAGUUGCCAGUGGCUUCGCCCUUGAGAUUUUUGGUGAAGGGGCAGGCUUUGAAGCUUUGGGCUUCUUCAACUUCUUUGGUGUUGGCGCUGCAGGCGCUUCAUCUGAUUCAGCGUUAGCUGCAGGCUCAUUCACGGUUGUCCCUUGAACCAAGAUAUGGGUGAUGAGUCCUGCAAGGUUGUAGAAAGGACCGACGACAUUGGGUUCCGCAUCGCGUGUGCCGUCAGCCCUUGGAGCAGAAGGACCAGGGUUGAAGUCUAAUCCAAAAGACUUCUUGUUCUGCUUUGCUGAGUUCUUGGCAAACUGGAAGUUGCGCUUGAAUAGAUUGUCGUCACGGCACCAUAGUAGUGACGAUGGGUGUGCAUCUGCAGGCUGUGGCCCACGCACCAUGCAGGGAUAGAAGCCUUGUUCAAUGGCUUCUUCUCUGGACCUGGGUUGAAGAUUCUUGUAUAGGAUGUCUCCCCAUGGUCUCUUGAUGGCAUUUCUCUCAGCAUAUUCCUGGGUCACAAACCGGUAUUUGAACCAUUGUUCUGCCCAAUAUCUUCGAAUCCAUUGGAUUCGGGUCUUGCGCUGAUUAUAAUCCUGUUCAGGAUCUGUCUUGUAAAGCUCUGAGAGGUCAUCAGGAAAAUCUCUUGAUGUCCCCCCACGACGCUGUCUGCCACCCUUCCUUACUGAUUUCUCUGCAGCCAUGAACUUCAAACUGAAAGGCUUCAAAACGUUCAAAGGCUUCAAAGGUUUUCGCUUGCUGGACAAACAGGAACUGGCUUCGGGAGAAUUUAUAUGAUGCUGUAAGAAUUCUGCAAAUGAAUGCAGACUAUGAGAACCAAGGGAUUCUCCCAUGGACAUGUACCUGUGACAACAUUAAGGUGCAAGGGAAGGGGAAGAGGUCAUAUGCAUUCUCAGGAGAUUUUGAAGAUAAAUCAGUUUAGAAGACAUUGACCUCAUCGUGCGAAGACAUUCACUCAUAGAUAAGGAGUUGGUUCCAGAUUUGUACGAAUCCAGUGAUCAGUACAAGUGAGGAAUCUAACUACUUGUGAAGCAUAAGUGAAUAUACUAGGCAUGUUAUGAGAUGCAGUAGGAAAGAGAUCCAACUUGUGUGAAUAGAAACUUCUUAUGGUAGAAAGUGACAAAGCCAUAGGAUCAAAAGGGGCCGUAAAAAGAAGUUUUAUUUACCACACUUGGAACUGCUAGAUGGAGUGGAAGAGGAGGCCGAGCAGUUCGAUCUUCUGUGCCCUAACUUGGCGACGAAGGACACCUACGGCGACGGCGGAGAGGACGAUGUCCGCGGUCGGUGUGAAGACGGCGUCGGAGAGGUUGCGGCAGUGAAGCGCUUCGUCGCCGGCGUCGUCGAGGGCUAGCAGUGGCACUAGGGUUCGUGCGAGGGUGGAAGAAGAGAUGAUGACCGCUGUGAAGGGUGUAUUUAUAGGUACAGGGGCGGCACUGCGUUAUUACACAGGUGCCCCUGGCGAUUCACAUCUGAGGAACACGUGGCCAUCAUGCAGUAUAUUGGGGUUUGUUCCACGUCUCACGCACGCCUAGAUUGUCGGGUGGUCGUUCCUACUUCUCCGGGUUUCAUGUGGAGGAAUGGGCAUUGAAAACGGACUUAAUGUUUGUCUCUGUAUGUUCUGCUGACAAGGACGCAGAGAAGACAUUCGACAGUUUCAAUAGAAUGCAUAUGAUUUGGAGAGAUAGAGUUUGAGAUAGAGAGCACAGAGAGGUUAGGGUCCGAUCACAUUCACUUAGAUCAAAAGAUUCAACAAGAAGACAUAGCUAUAAGUGAAUACUGUAGAGGACAGAACACUAGUAUAUAUAUAUAUAUAUAAUCAACAUAGUGAAGAUAAUCAUGAAAACAUGUUGAGAUUGAAACCAAACCAAAUGUGAAGUCAUAGCAAGGUAAUGCCAUGAGUGAAACACUUCAAAUAGAACAUUUGGUGGUGGCGUUACCCACCGUAUAGGAAGUAUUAGACCCAGACACGGCGCACAAUUAUCGUGGCGCUCCGAAGUCAAAUUCCACAUUAAUGUAUUCACACUUAGAAUGUAUGUCUUCAUUGAUUGAAGAUAUACUUUACUUCGUGUGUUGCACAUCUAAGUCAUCAAUAUGCAUAAGGGUUAGGAUGUGUGCCUGAUCACAGGACAUUUGAGGAUUCCAGGAUAUUUAGCUCACAUCGUAACUUGCAAAAUCUCUUCUCAUCCAAGGGCUUGGUGAAGAUAUCUGCCAAUUGCUCUUCAGUGUUGACGUGUAUGAUAUCAAUAUCUUCCUUCACAACAUGAUCUCUGAGAAAGUGAUGACGAAUUUCAAUGUGCUUUGUCUUCGAGUGCUGAACAGGGUUGUUGGCAAUCUUGAUGGCGCUUUCGUUGUCACAGUAGAGUGGCACUUGCUUCAGAUGAAUGCCAUAGUCCUUGAGGGUUUGCUUCAUCCACAGAAGCUGAGCGCAGCAAGAUCCAGCAGCAAUGUAUUCAGAUUCAGCAGUGGAGAGAGAUACACAGUUCUGCUUCUUUGAAGACCAACAUACAGGUGAUCGUCCCAGAAAAUGACAUGUGCCUGAUGUAGACUUGCGAUCCACCUUGUCACCAGCAUAAUCAGCAUCCGAGAAUCCAACCAGAUCAAACUCUGAGCCCUUUGGAUACCAUAAUCCUAGAGUUGGGGUGUGAGCCAAAUAUCGAAGAAUUCGCUUCACAGCUAGGUGAUGCGACUCCUUUGGUGCCGCUUGAAAUCGAGCACACAUGCAAACACUAAGCAUAAUAUCUGGCCUAGAUGCACAUAGAUAAAGCAAAGAACCAAUCAUGGAGCGGUAUACCUUUUGAUCGAACUCUUUACCAUUGUCGUCAGGACCCAGAUGAUGCUUGGCUGGUAUUGGCGUCGUGAACCCUUUGCAGUCUUGCAUACCGAACUUCUUAAGGCAAUCCUUGAGAUGCUUCUCUUGAGAUAUGAAGAUGCCGUUGCGUUGCUGUCGUAUUUGAAUACCGAGGAAAAACUUCAGCUCUCCAUCAUGGACAUCUGAUAUUGCUCUUGCAUCAUAUAUCCAAACUCUUCACUGUACUUCUGAUUGGUGCAGCCGAAGAUAAUGUCAUCCACAUAUAUUUGGCACACAAACAGUUAACCAUCAUAUGUCUUCGUGAAGAGAGUGGGGUCGAGGGAACCAGGUAUGAAGCCUUUGCUCUUCAGGAAGUAUUUGAGUGUGUCAUACCAGGCCCGAGGGGCUUGUUUGAGGCCAUAUAGUGCCUUGUUGAGCUUGUAUACCGUAUCAGGAUGUUUUAGAUCUUCAGAGCCAGGUGGUUGUGCAACAUACACUUCUUCUUCAAUCUUUCCAUUGAGAAAGGCGCUCUUCACAUCCAUUUGAUAAAGAAGUAUGUUGUGAUGAUUUGCAUAGGCCAGCAGUAUGCGUAUGGCUUCAAGUCUAGCCACAGGAGCAAAUGUUUCAUUGAAGUCAAUGCCUUCCACUUGAGUAUAUCCUUGAGCAACUAGACGAGCUUUGUUUCUGACAACUUGACCAUGCUCAUCUUGCUUGUUGCGGUAUAUCCAUUUUGUGCCUAUUAUGUUGUGCUUCCGAGGAUCAGGACGCUUAACCAGUUCCCAUACAUUAUUCAGCUCAAACCGUUGAAGCUCUUCUUGCAUAGCUUGAAUCCAUUCAGGUUCCAUGAAGGCUUCUUCCACUUUCUUGGGUUCUGUUAUUGAGACGAAUGCGAAGUGCCCACAGAAAUUUGCCAGCUGGGUUGCCCUUGAUCGACUGAGCGGACCAGGUGCAUUGAUGCUGUCAAUUAUUCUCUCAAUUUGCACUUCAUUGGCAACACGAGGAUGUACAGGGCGAAGACUUUGCUCUUGCUGAUCAUUGUCGUUGUUGGAGGGAUUGUCUUCAGGUUGAGCAUUGUCUUCAGGUUGAUCUGGUGCAGAGAUGAUGAGUUCCUCUUCAGGAUGAGCUUUAGAAGGUAUGAUUUCUCCAGUUCCCAUUAGCUUGAUUGAUUCACUGGAUGGAACUUCAUCUAGCACAUUUGGCAGGUGCUCUCUUUGUGAACCGUUAGUCUCAUCGAACCGCACAUCCACGGUUUCAACCACUUUAUAAUGAAAGAGGUUGAAGACUCUGUAGGAGUGCGAAUCCUUUCCAUAUCCAAGCAUAAAACCCUCAUGUGCUUUUGGGGCAAACUUUGAAGUGUGAUGUGGGUCCUUGAUCCAGCACCUUGCGCCAAAUACUCUGAAGUAACUGGCAUUUGGCUUCUUGCCAGUGAGGAGCUCAUACGAUGUCUUGUUCAGAAGCUUGUGAAGAUAAACACGAUUGAUUGUAUGGCAUGCAGUAUCAAUGGCUUCAGGCCAGAAUUUUCUUGGAGUCUUGUAUUCAUCUAGCAUUGUUCUGGCCAUCUCAAUGAGUGUUCUGUUCUUGCAUUCGACGACGCCAUUCUGCUGUGGCGUGUACGGGGCUGAGAAUUCAUGUGUGAUGCCCAAGGUAUCAAGAUAUGUAUCAAGGCCAGUGUUCUUGAAUUCAGUGCCAUUGUCACUUUUGAUGUGCUUUAUCUUGGCACCAUAGUUGUUCAUUGCUCGAUUGGCGAAGCGUUUGAAGACAUCCUGCACUUCAGUCUUGUAAAGGAUUAUAUGCACCCAAGUGUAUCUAGAAUAAUCAUCAAUAAUGAAGAAGCCAUAGAGACAAGCAGUAGUAGUAAGAGUUGAGUAAUGAGUGGGACCGAAAAGAUCCAUGUGAAGCAGCUCGAAGGGUCGAGUAGUAGUCAUGAUUGUCUUCGAGGGAUGCUUGGCCCUCGUCAUCUUUCCUGCUUCACAGGCACCGCAUAAGUGAUCUUUCUUGAACUUGACGCCCUCAAUGCCUAUGACAUGCUUCUUCUUUGCCAGGGUGUGGAGGUUCCUCAUGCCAGCAUGCCCAAGCCUCCGAUGCCAGAGCCAGCAUUCUGAAGCUUUUGCUAGAAGACAUACGGCAAGUUGUGGUCCUGCUGAGAAAUCUACCACGUACAGAUCGUCUUUCCGAUACCCUUCAAACACUAGAGACUUGUCAGAUUCCAUUAGAACAAGGCAACAAUAUUUUCCAAAUAUUACGAUCAUGUUCAAAUCGCAUAGCAUUGAGACAGACAUUAAGUUGAAGCCAAGGGAUUCAACAAGCAUGACUUUAUCCAUGUGUUGAUCCUUUGAGAUUGCAACUCUACCUAGACCCAAUACCUUACUUUUACCAGUGUCAGCAAAUGUGAUGUGGCUCUUGUCGGAAGGACGUAAGGUUGAGUCCAUCAGAAGGCUUCUUUUGCCAGUCAUGUGAUUUGUACACCCACUAUCAGUAAUCCAUUCUGUAUACGCUGGUGUCGUACCCUACAGUGCAGUUAGGGGGAUAGGCUUCACGAAGAGAGUUGUGAAGCAAAAACAUUUGACGAACCAGUGGGUUAUGAAAGCUUAGAUCCAGAUUAGUACUGAUAGGGAGAGUAGCAAGCGAUUCAGGAACGAAGUACAUAGUAAGACCAUUCGGCAUUUGAUCUUGCGCCCUACAAGAUGUUUAAGGUCCCCAGCGAUAGCGUCAGAAGAUUUUGGUUUUCUGCUGGAGACCUUUCCCUGCAAAAGAGAGUUAAGCCUUCUUAACAACCCACAUCUUCAAGGGUGGCUUAGAAGCGAUAAGUCUAAGUGCAGAGUCUGAAAACUUUGGCUUUGGGGCUCUAGCAAAAAGUCUUGCAGGUGGACAAUAAUACUCAUAAGAAUAAGCAGAAUAGUUUUUGGUCUUAUGAACAUGGCGGUUCGAUGAACCGCGCUCAUAUUCAUAGGCCUGAGUAUGGUUUCCCUGCAAAACAUUUGCAUUAGUCCGACUCAGGUGAGUCCUCUGUCUGUAUGAAGCCUUUGGGCCAUAUGAAGCCUGUGGUCUGGGGUUUGUCUUCUUCAUCUAUGGUGUCAUGAUGACAUUCACAGGAAGAUUUUCCAAACACCUUUUGGGCACCCAGACCUUCUUCAUAGGCGGUCCAUUCCUGCAGUUAGUACCAAUGUACCUGGCAAAAACUUCACCAUUCUGAUUCUUAAAUAGUUUAUAGUUUGCAUCAAAGGAUUCAUCAAUGACAAUGGGGUUAGCACAAGUGAAGCCAGAUAGACUGGAUGGAUUUGCUGAAGGUUCCUUUGCAGCAACCCAUGUGGUUUUGGGAUACUGCUCGGGUUUCUAGUAAGAGCCAUCAGCAUUCAUUUUCCUUAUGAACCCAACACCCUCUUUCCUCGGGUUUCGGUUCAGAAUCUGCCUUUUGAGGACAUCACAUAGUGUCUGAUGCCCUUUAAGACUUUUGUACAUCCCUGUUUCAAGCAAUGUCUUCAACCUAGCAUUCUCAUCAGCAAUCGCAGUAGUAUCCUCAGUAGAGGGGUUAGUUACCACAUCAACAGUUGAAGAUAUUGCAACAGUAGCAGUAGUAGAACAUUCAGCAACAGAAGCAGCAUUAUCACGCUCAAUGCAUUUAAGACAUGGUGGUUCAAAUCCUUCCUGAGCGGAACUGAUCUGUUCGGCGCGAAGUGACUCGUUUUCCUUUUGAAGAUCUUCAUGAGCCGCUCUCAAUUUCUCAAGAUCUUGCUUCCUUUGAAGAUAAUCAUAGGAAAGCUUUUCAUGAGUUGUUGAGAGCGUUUCAUGACAACUUUCAAGUUCCUCAUAUUUAACGUGAAGAUUUUUUAUGUCUUGAAUUAAGGAUUCAGAUCGAGUCAUUUCAACGCCCAACAAAUCAUCGCUUUUGUCUAACAGUUUUUGAAUAUGUUCCAUGGCUUUCUGUUGUUCAGUUGCAAUUUUAGCAAGUGUUUUGUAGCUGGGUCUUGAAUCACAAUCAGAGUCAUCAUCACUAGAUGUUUGAUAGUGAGUAGUGCGUGUGUUUACCUUGGCACCGUGUGCCAUGAAGCAGUAGGUAGGAGCAGAGUCGUCCUUGUCAUUUGCAUCGGCGUCGGUGGUGAAGUCAUUGUCUUCAGUGUUGAAGAUGGACUUGGCAACGUAUGCUGUAGCCAGACUUGCAACACCAGAAUCGGACUCCUCCUCAGACUCCACCUCCGCCUCCUCAGACGCGGACUCCUCCUCUGAAUCCAUUUCCUUGCCAACAAACGCACGUGCCUUGCCAGAUGAGCUCUUCUUGUGUGAUGAAGACUUUGAGGAAGACUUGGAAGAAGACUUUGAGUAUUUCUUCUUCUUCUUGUCGUCAGAGUCAUAUUCCUUGCUCUUCUUCUUCUUUCUAUUCUCAUUGUCCCACUGCGGACACUCAGAGAUGAAGUGGCUAGUUUUCUUGCACUUGUGACAUGUUUUCUUCUUGUAGUCAUGAGCAGAAGCUUCAUCAUUCCUUGAGCUUGAUCGUGAAGACUUUCUGAAGCCUUUCUUCUUGGGGAAUCUUUGGAACUUCUUUACAAGCAUAGCAAGUUCCUUUCCAAUGUCUUCAGGAUCGUCAGAACUGCUGUCAGAUUCUUCUUCAGAUGAGGAGACAACUUUUGCCUUCAGGGCACGAGUUCGCCCAUAGUUUGGACCGUAGAUAUCUCUUUUCUCAGAAAGCUGAAACUCAUGUGUGUUGAGCCUCUCAAGUAUGUCGGACGGAUCGAGUAUCUUGAAAUCAGGUCGUUCUUGAAUCAUCAGGGCUAGGGUGUCAAACAAACUGUCAAGUGAUCUCAGUAGUGUCUUGACGACUUCAUGCUUGGUGAUCUCAGUGGCGCCGAGCGCUUGAAGCUCAUUUGUGAUGUCAGUGAGUCGGUCAAAUGUGAGCUGGACAUUCUCAUUGUCAUUUCGCUUGAAGCGGUUAAAGAGGUUGCGAAGAACGCUGAUUCUCUGAUCUCUCUGGGUUGAGACGCCUUCGUUGACCUUGGAGAGCUAGUCCCAGACCAGCUUCGAUGUUUCCAAAGUGCUCACACGGCCAUACUGUCCUUUGGUCAGAUGACCACAGAUAAUGUUCUUGGCAGUAGAGUCCAGUUGAACGAACUUCUUGACAUCAGCAACAGUGACACCUUCUCCAGCCUUGGGAACGCCGUUCUUGACGACAUACCAUAGGUCGACGUCAAUGGCUUCAAGAUGCAUGCGCAUCUUAUUCUUCCAGUAGGGAUAUUCAGUUCCAUCGAAGACGGGGCACGCAACGGAGACUUUAAUUAUCCCUGCAGUCGACAUAGCUAAAACUCCAGGUGGUUAAACCGAAUCACACAGAACAAGGGAGCACCUUGCUCUCAUACCAAUUGAAAGUGCAUUAUAUCGACUAGAGGGGGUGACUAGGCGAUUUUUAUGAAAGUCUUAAAAACAUGGAAGUUUCGAAGACAAAUGAUAGAAAUAAACCUAUUACCAUGCAGCGGAAGUUAGACUACACUAGAUAAACCAUAGUCAUGUAUUCAAUGAAGUGAAAGGACAAUGACUAAUAGUAGCUAGGUAGUAAGGAUCAGGCAGGAAGAUAUUAAGAAGCCAAACGGAUCACACAGUCACUCAGUGAAGACAAAAGAUAGAGCAAACAUACAAUGACUUCACACAGAGUAACAGUAAGUAAAGAGAAGGGAAGGAUGAAACCAGUGACUCGUUGAAGACAAAUAUUUGUUGGACCAGUUCCAGUUGCUGUGACAACUGUACGUCUGGUUAGGGCGGCUAGGUAUUUAAACCAAAGGACACAUAGUCCCGGACACCCAGUCCUGAACACGCAGCUCAGGACACCCAGUCCUCACAGUAUUCCCCUUGAGCUAAGGUCACACAGACCUCGCCCAAUCACUCUGGUAAGUCUUCAAGGUAGACUCCCAAACCUUCACAGACUUCGUUCACCGGCAAUCCACAAUGUCUCUUGGAUGCUAUAACGCGACGCCUAACUGGCUGGAGGAUGCACAGUCCUCAAGUGUAAUAAGUCUUCAUAUCACUCAGACAAGAAGACUUAAGUGAUGCCUAAUUCUCUUUGGCUCUGGGUGGUUAGGGCUUUAUCCUCGCAAGGAAUUCUCUCUCAAAGGCUUCGAGGUGGGUUGCUCUCAAACGACAAAAGCCGUACUCUGAAUCCGAGCAGCCAACCGUUUAUGGUUGUAGGGGGUGGGCUAUUUAUAGCCACUAGGCAACCCGACAUGAUUUGUCCGAAAUGACCCUGGGUCACUAAGGAACUGACACGUGUUCCAACGGUCAGAUUUCAAACUCACACGGCAACUUUACUUGGGCUACAAGCAAAGCUGACUUGUCCGACUCUGGACAAGAUUUGCUCUCAUAGUCUUCACUCGAAGACAUAGGUUUUUGUUUAAGCAUCACUUCAGUCAUUCUGACUGGUUCUCUUGGACCCCACUUAACAGUGCGGUGGUUCCUAUGACUCAACACAGAAGAAAAAGAACUACGAAAGAUCUAAGUCUUCGAGCUCCAUAGGCUUCAUGCAGUGUCUUCUCUUGUCAUAGUCUUCAAUGUGAAUAUCUUCAUAUACCACCUUUGACAUCAAUGUCUUCAUACAUUUUUAGGGGUCAUCUCUGGUGGGAAAACCAAAUCAAUGAGGUACUUCUACCUGUGUUAUCCUGCAAUUCUCAUAAACACAUUAGUCCCUCAACUAGGUUUGUCGUCAAUACUCCAAAACCAACUAGGGGUGGCACUAGAUGCACUUACACAGUCGUCUCUAAAGCAUAACCCCAAAAUGAUAGCAGUAAAUUAGUAAGAGACAUCAUAGAUCGCACCAUAUCUAAUAAAGUGCGGUUACGAUGUUCGGACACACCAUUAUGUUGUGGUGUUCCGUGUGGCGUGAGUUGCGAAACUGUUCUGCAUUGUUUCAAAUGAAGACCAAACACGUAACUCAAAUAUUCACCUCCACGAUCAGAUUGUAGAAACUUUAUUUUCUUGUUACGAUAUUUUUCCUCUUCACUCUGAAUUUUUUUGAACUUUUCAAAUGUUUCAGACUUAUGUUUCAUCAAGUAGAUAUACCCAUAUCUGCUCAAAUCAUCUGUGAAGGUCAGAAAAUAACAAUACCCGCCGCGAGCCUCAACACUCAUCGGACCGCAUACAUCCGUAUGUAUUAUUUCCAACAAGUCUAUUGCUCACUCCAUUGUUCCGGAGAAUGGAGUCUUAGUCAUCUUGCCCAUGAGGCAUGGUUCGCAAGCAUCAAGUGAUUCAUAAUCAAGUGAUUCCAAAAGUCCAUCAGCAUGGAGUUUCUUCAUGCGCUUUACACCAAUAUGACCUAAACGGCAGUGCCACAAAUAAGUUGCACUAUCAUUAUUAACCUUGCAUCUUUUGGCUUCAAUAUUAUGAAUAUGUGUGUCACUAUUGUCGAGAUUCAAUAAAAAUAGAUCACUCAUCAAGGGUGCAUGACCAUAAAAGAUAUUACUCAUAUAAAUAGAACAACCAUUAUUCUCUGAUUUAAAUGAAUAUCCGUCUCGCAUCAAACAAGAUCCAGAUAUAAUGUUCAUGCUUAACGUUGGCACCAAAUAACAAUUAUUCAGGUCUAAAACUAAUCCCGAUGGUAGAUGUAGAGGUAGCAUGCUGACGGCGAUCACAUCGACUUUGGAACCAUUUCCCACGCGCAUCGUCACCUCGUCCUUAGCCAAUCUUCGCUUAAUCCGUAGCCCAUGUUUCGAGUUGCAAAUAUGAGCAACAGAACCAGUAUCAAAUACCUAGGCGCUACUACGAGCAUUAGUAAGGUACACAUUAAUAACAUGUAUAUCAAAUAUACCUUUCACUUUGCCAUCCUUCUUAUCCAUCAAAUACUUGGGGUAGUUCCGCUUCCAAUGACCAGUCCCUUUGUAGUAGAAGCAUUCAGUCUCCGGCUUAGGUCCAGACUUGGGCUUCUUCACUUGAGCAACAACUUGCUUGUCAUUCUUCUUGAAGUUCCCCUUCUUCCCUUUGCCCUUUUUCUUGAUACUGGUGGUCUUGUUGACCAUCAACACUUGAUGCUCCUUCUUGAUUUCUACCUCUACAGCCUUUAGCAUUGCGAAGAGCUCGGGAAUUGUCUUAUCCAUCCCUUGCAUAUUAUAGUUCAUCAUGAAGCUUUUGUAGCUUGGUGGCAGUGAUUGAAGAACUCUGUCAAUGACACUAUCAUCAGGAAGAUUAACUCCUAGUUGAGUCAAGUGGUUGUGGUACCUGGACAUUUUGAGUAUAUGUUCACUAACAAAACUAUUCUCCUCCAUCUUACAGCUGUAGAACUUAUUGGAGACUUCAUAUCUCUCAAUCCGGGCAUUUGCUUGAAAAUUUUACUUCGACUCCUGGAACAUCUCAUAUGCUCCAUGAUGUUCAAAACGUUGUUGAAGUCCCGAUUCUAAGCCGUAAAGCAUGGCACACUAAACUAUCGAGUAGUCAUCGGCUUUGCUCUACCAGACGUUCAUAAUGUCCGGUGUUGCUUGAUACGUCUCCGUCGUAUCUACUUUUCCAAACACUUUUGUCCUUGUUUUGGACUCUAACUUGCAUGAUUUGAAUGGAACUAACCCGGACUGACGCUGUUUUCAGCAGAAUUACCAUGGUGUUAUUUAUGUGUAGAAAUAAAAGUUCUCGGAAUGACCUGAAACUUCAGGGAACGUCUUUUUGGAAAUAAUAAAAAAUCCUUGCAAAAGAUGAAGACCAGGGGGCCCACACCCUAGCCACGAGGGUGGGGGCGCGCCUGCCCCCCUAGGCGCGACCCCUACCUUGUGGGCCCCCUGGAGCUCCUCCGACCUCAACUCCAACUCUAUAUAUUUGCUUUCAGGGAGAAAAAAAUUAGAGAGAAGGAUUCAUCGCGUUUUACAAUACAGAGCCGCCGCCAAGCCCUAAAACCUCUCAGGAGGGCUGAUCUGGAGUCCGUUCGGGGCUCCGGAGAGGGGAAUCCGUCGCCAUCGUCAUCAUCAACCUUCCUCCAUCACCAAUUUCAUGAUGCUCACCGCCGUGCGUGAGUAAUUCCAUCAUAGGCUUGCUGGACGGUGAUGGGUUGGAUGAUAUUUAUCAUGUAAUCGAGUUAGUUUUGUUAGGGUUUGAUCCCUAGUAUCCACUAUGUUGUGAGAUUGAUGUUGCUAUGACUUUGCUAUGCUUAAUGCUUGUCACUAGGGCCCGAGUGCCAUGAUUUCAGAUCUGAACCUAUUAUGUUUUCAUCAAUAUAUGAGUGUUCUUGAUCCUAUCUUGCAAGUCUAUAGUCACCUACUAUGUGUUAUGAUCUGGCAACCCCGAGGUGACAAUAAUAGGGACCACUCCCGGUGAUGACCGUAGUUUGAGGAGUUCAUGUAUUCAUUAUGUGUUAAUGCUUUGGUCUGGUACUCUAUUAAAAGGAGGCCUUAAUAUCCCUUAGUUUCCGCUAGGACCCCGCUGCCACGGGAGGGUAGGACAAAAGAUGUCAUGCAAGUUCUUUUCCAUAAGCACGUAUGACUAUAUUCGAAAUACAUGCCUACAUUACAUUGAUGAAUUGGAGCUAGUUUUGUGUCACCCUAGGUUAUGACUGUUACAUGAUGAACCGCAUCCGGCGUAAUUCUCUAUCACCGAUCCAUUGCCUACGAGCUUUCCAUAUAUUGUUCUUCACUUAUUUACUUUUCCGUUGCUAUUGCUAUCAUCACUACAAAAUACCAAAAACAUUAAUUUUGCUAUCGUUACCUUUUGCUACCGUUACCACUACUAUCAUAUUACGUUGCUACUAAACACUUUACUACAGAUAUUAAGUUUCUAGGUGUGGUUGAAUUGACAACUCAACUUUCAACUGCUAAUACUUGAUAAUAUUCUUUGGCUCCCCUUGUGUCGAAUCAAUAAAUUUGGGUUGAAUACUCUACCCUCGAAAACUGUUGCGAUCCCCUAUACUUGUGGGUUAUCAAGACUAUUUUCUGGCGUCGUUGCCGGGGAGCAUAGCUCUAUUCUUUGAGUCACUUGGGAUUUAUAUCUGUUUAUCAUUAUGAAGAACUUGAGAGAUCCAAAAACCAAGAUUUAUCUCUCAACUACGAGGGGAGGUAAGGAACUGCCAUCUAGCUCUGCACUUGAUUCACCUUCUAUUUUGAGUAAGCUUGCGACACCUAAACCUGCUUCUGCUAUUCAUUCUGAUAUGUCGCAUGUUAUUAAUGAUGCCACUUGUGCUAUGCAUGAUACUUAUGAUGAAACUACUUCUAUGCUUGAUACUACUGUGCCACUUGGUGAAUUUCUUGAUGAACAACUUGCUAGGGUUAGAGAGAAUGAAAUUAUUGAAACUGAUAAUAUAUAUAUAUAUAUUUGAAUAUAUACUGUAGGGUAAAACCCCCACAGCCCUUUAUUGCAGUCUCAAAAAACAAACUGUACAGUGAAAGAAAGAGAUGACAAGCCUAAACGAAAAGUUAAGAAGAACUUACAAUUACAUGAGGGAGUUAACUCAAUCUACAAGCCUAGACUUAGAGCUAUCCUUAAACCUAUGUGACAGGAGAAGAAUGUCAUGUACAAAACUGCCCCUCCAGGCAACAAAAGUAGCCCGUAGUCCCCUGAAAGUUCUUCCAUUUCUCAGAAUCCAUAUAUUCCAAGCAGCUGUGAGCAUAACUUCAAAGAAGAAAGGAUACCCAAAUCGCUGCCUUGCUUGAGAUAUACAUUGCUGAAUAGAAGAACCAUGUGACCAAUCGAUCUGCAGGUAUUUCCAAACCCUGGCACUGAAAUUACAACCAAAGAAUAGGUGAGCCCUGUCCUCCCAAACAAAGGCAUUACAGAUGACACAUAGAUGAUCAGCCGUAGGGGACCUCCGGUGGCUGCGGACCAGCACGUCCUUUGUGUUGAGUCUGUCAAAGAAUAGGAGCCAGCCAAAAACCUUAAUUUUCAUAGUACAUAUGCUCUGCCAAAGCCACCUGCAGGGUUUAAUAGUUGGGAGGUGUGUAUGCAUGAUGUCAUAGAAGCUCUUUGCAGAAAACUGUCCAGAUUUACCAGGCCAAAUCCAAACAUCAGGCAAUGUUGGAUCUCUCUGGAGAUUGAACAUCCUUCCUUCCAAGGAUUCCAAUUCUGCUGCUGCCUGCUGAGAAAUUGGCAGAUGAAACAUUGAGAACAAAUCCUGGGUUUGCAAAAACUCCCUGACAGAAACCUUAUCAUCCAAAACAAAAGAGAAAAGCCUUGGUAAUCUGAGGCUUAGUGGCCUUGAAGAGCCACCUACAUGGCAAGCAUCCAGCCAAAAGAGAGCAGAAUCACCCAUAUUAACUGGCACUGAAGCAAUUGACCUAUAAGUGUCAGCAAGCUUGAGAAUGUCCUUCCACCAAAAGGAGCCAGUUAGGACUGUUGCAUGGGGCACCACUCCAUCAUAAUAACUAUCCCAAAUCAACUGGACCCAAGGAAUCUGCUGUUUGUUGUAGAACUUAUGCAUUUGUUUGAGAAGCAGACCUUGAUUUUGAACAUUGAGGUUGAGAAUGCCAAGUCCUCCCUUAUCCUUUGGUCUGCAAACUAAAUCACAGGCAGCUAGGGAUUGCUUAGGCACAUCAGAAUUUCCUCUCCACAAACACUGCCUGAAAAUCCUAUCCAACUGUUUGAUAAUACCAGGUGGGAUAUGCAAGCUGCAGAGGAAGUAUAUGGGCAUUGAAGUAAGCACAGAUGUGAGAAAUUGUAACCUGGAUCCUUGGUUGAGCAUGGCAGAGCUAACAGACAGUCUUCUUUCAAGACUAUCCACUAAAGGCAUGAAAUCAAUGAUUCUAGGUCUUGUUGUACCAAGAGGCAAACCCAGAUAUGUGAAAGGUAACUGCUCCGGUUUACAUCCCAGGAUGGAAGACAACCUCUGUGCCUCUGUGGGAUCAACAUUUAGUGGCACCAUUGAAGACUUUCCAAAAUUUACCUUUAGGCCAGUAGACUGUUGGAAAAUAUGGAGCAUGUUCUUGAGAGCCACCAACUGGUCCUGUACUGCAGAAAGGAUAAUUAUUGUGUCAUCUGCAUACUGAAUGAUAGGAAAUUCAGGGUCCUAAGAUGGGAUUGGAAGUGUUAGAACUCCCUUAGCCAGCAUGUUAUUGACCAUUGUUUGAAGAAGAUCGGCAGCUAUGACAAAUAAAAGAGGGGAUAGGGGAUCCCCCUGCCUGACCCCACAUUUAUAUUUGAACUGUUUGCCAGGCACCCCAUUAAGCAAAACAGAUGAUGAUCCUGAGGAGAGAAUCUCUUUAAUCCAAGAAAUCCAUUUGGCAUCAAAACCUUUGUGCUGUAGAACUUGCAAGAUGAAGUCAUGCUCCACAGUGUCAAAAGCUUUGGCAAAAUCCAAUUUCAAAAUGAUGGUUGGCCUUUUGGAUUGAUUGCAUUGAUGUAUAUAUUCAAAAGCCCAAGCCAGGCAGUCCUGAAUGGCUCUGCUCUUCAAAAACCCAUAUUGAUUCUUAUGGAUGCAUUGCAGAAUGACCUUUUGAAGCCUAUUUCCCAAAAGCUUAGUAAGGAACUUGAGGCAUGUGUUAGUAAGAGAGAUUGGUCUAAAAUCCUCAAGUCCUUCAGGAGACAACAUCUUUGGAAUUAAGGUGAUAAGGGAUCCAUUAAUAUUUUCCAAAGAUAGCCUCCCAUCAUAAAACCCCUGAAUGAGAGCCAAGAAAUCCUUCUCAAUGAUGGGCCAACACUUCUUAACAAAAAGACCAUUAAAACCGUGAAAGUGAUGAUGAAGAUUCUCCCCCUAAUAAAUAUGAAUUGCCUGUUGUGCCUGAGGGCUAUGUUAUGGAUGAAGAAAUUGCUAAAGCUAUUUUUGUUUGCAAAGAUAGAUAUGAUCUUAAGAAGUUAUUAGCUAAAUGGAAGCAGCAAUCUCUUAAUGCUAGAAUGAAACCUGACCCUGCUUUUGCUACUUCACCUAUCUGUGUUACUGAUAAGGAUUAUGAAUUCUCUGUUGAUCCUGAUAUAAUUACUUUGGUUGAAUCUGAUCCUUUUCAUGGCUAUGAGUCUAAAACUGUUGUGGCACAUCUUACUAAAUUAAAUGAUAUAGCCACCCUAUUCACUAAUGAUGAGAGAACUCGUUACUUUUAUAUCCUUAAAAUAUUCCUGUUCUCAUUAAAGGGUGAUGCUAAGAUAUGGUUUAAUUCUCUUGAUCCUGGUUGUGUGCGUAGUCCCCAGGAUAUGAUUUAUUACUUCUCUGCUAAAUAUUUCACUGCUCAUAAGAAACAAGCUGCUUUGAGGGAUAUAUAUAAUUUUGUGCAAAUUGAAGAAGAGAGUCUCCCACAAGCUUGGGGGAGGCUUCUCCAAUUACUUAAUGCUUUGCCUGAUCAUCCUCUUAAGAAAAAUGAAAUAUUGGAUAUAUUUUAUAAUGGACUAAGUGAUGCUUCCAGAGAUUACCUGGAUAGUUGUGUUGGUUCUGUUUUCAAGGAAAGAACACCGGAUGAAGCUGAAAUUCUAUUGAAUAAUAUGUUGACAAAAGAAAAUAAUUGGACACUUCCUGAGCCAGCUCCUGAGCCUAUUCCUAAACCAACUCCGAAGAAGAGGGGUAUUCUAUUUCUCAGUCCUGAAGAUAUGCAAGAGGCAAAGAAAUCCAUGAAAGAAAAGGGUAUUAAAGCUGAAGAUGUUAAGAAUUUACCUCCUAUUGAAGAAAUACACGGUCUUAAUUUACCGCCUGUUGAAGAAACAUAUGAUCUUAAUCCAUUACCUAUUGAAGAAAUACAUGGUCUUGAUAACCCGACACAAGUAGUAAAGGUAAACUCUCUCUAUAGAUAUGAUAAAAUUGAAAUCCCUCUUACUAAGUUUGCUAGCCAAUGCUUAGAUGAGUUUGAUAAUUUUAUGGUGAAGCAAGAAGAUUUUAAUUCUUAUUUUGGUAGACAAUUGAAAUACAAUUCAAAUAUGCUUGAACACUUGGGUGAUUAUAUGGCUAAUGUUAAAGGUGAAAUUAAACUUAUUAGCAAACAUGCUUCUAUGGUUACCACUCAAGUAGAACAAGUACUUAAAGCUCAAAAUGAUUUGCUCAAUGAACUGAAUAGUAAGAAUAAUGAUAAUGCUGUUAGAGUUAUGACUAGAGGUGGUAAAAUGACUCAAGAACCUUUGUAUCCUGAAGGCCAUCAUAAGAGAAUUGAGCAAGAUUCUCGGAGAAAUAAUAUAGAUGCACCUAGUUCUUCUAAAAGGAAGAAAAAGAAAAAUGAUAGGACUUUGCAUGCUUCUAGUGAACCUAUUGAUGAAACACCUGAGAAUCCAAAUGAUAUUUCUAUUUCUGAUGCUGAAACACAAUCUGGUAAUGAACCUGAAACUAGUGAUAAUAUUAAUGAUAAUGUUCAUGUUGAUGCUCAACCUAGCAAUGAUAAUGAUAUAGAAAUUGAACCUGUUGUUGAUCUUGAUAACCCACAAUCAAAGAAUCAACGUUAUGAUAAGAGAGACUUUGUUGCUAGGAAACAUGGUAAGGAAAGAGAGCCUUGGGUUCAGAAACCCAUGCCUUUUCCUCCCAAACCAUCCAAGAAAAAGGAUGAUGAGGAUUUUGAGCACUUUGCUGAAAUGAUUAGACCUACCUUUUUGCGUAUGCGAUUAACUGAUAUGCUUAAAAUGAAUCCUUAUGCUAAGUACAUGAAAGAAAUUGUUACUAAUAAAAGAAAGAUACCGGAAGCUGAAAUUUCCACCAUGCUUGCUAAUUAUACUUUUAAAGGUGGAAUACCUAAGAAACUAGGAGAUCCCGGAGUACCAACUAUACCAUGCUCCAUUAAAAGAAAUUAUGUUAAAAUUGCUUUAUGUGAUCUUGGAGUCGGUGUUAGUGUUAUGCCUCUCUCUUUAUAUCAUAGACUUGAUUUGAAUAAGUUGACACCUACUAAAAUAUCUUUGCAAAUGGCUGAUAAAUCAACUGCUAUACCUAUCGGUAUUUGUGAGGAUGUGCCUGCUGUGGUUGCAAACGUUACUAUUUUAAUGGACUUUGUUAUUCUUGAUAUUCCCGAGGACGAUAGUAUGUCUAUUAUUCUUGGAAGACCCUUUUUGAAUACUGCAGGGGCUGUUAUUGAUUGCAACAAAGGCAAUGUCACUUUUCAUGUUAAUGGUAAUGAGCAUACGGUACACUUUCCGAGGAAACAACCUCAAGUCCACAGUAUCAAUUCUAUUGGAAAAAUUCAAUCGAUUAUUUUUGAAGGUUUUGAAUUUCCUCUUCCUACUGUCAAAAGAAAUAUGAUAUUCUUAUUAUUGGGGAUGUGCAUAUCCCCGUUGAGGUAACAUAGUGUUAUUCGAAAUUCCUCCGGUUCCAUGUUAUUCGGAAUGAGUUUGCUAACAAGACUUGAUCAACCAUGUUAACGGAUUCCUUUUGAUGAGCAUGAGAUGGAUGAAACUAGAAGGCACAACUCUCCGUACCCUCCUUUUACUUUCUGUUAUUUAUAUUAAAUAAAAUUAAAAGAAGUAUUUUCCGUCUGUUAUCUGAUUUAUCCGUGCAAUAUAAAAUACCCCGAAAAUAAAAGUUCUCCAAAUGCCUUGAAAUUUAAAUAUGAUUUUUUCUGGAAUAUUUGAGAAUAUUUGGCACUAAGAACACAACACAGGGGGCAUCCACCUGGCCACGAGAGUGGAGGGCGCGCCCUACCCCCCCUGUGCGUGCCCCUUGCCUCGUGGGCCCACGGUGGCCCUCCUCCACUUAUUCCUGCACCCACACACUCCUUCCUCCCAUAAACACGAUUAUCCAGUUCGAACCCAAGUCCAAGCUCAUUUUGCUGCUAUUUUCGAUCUCCUUGCUCAAAGCACCUCUCACAAAACUGCUUGGGGGGAUUGUUCCUUGGUAUGCGACUCCUCCAUUGGUCCAAUUAGUUUUUGUUCUAGUGCUUUAUUCAUUGCAAAUUUAUGUUGUCUAGGUGCCCAUGUUCCUGAGCUUGCAUGUCAAAUUUAUGUGGUUCCAACUAGUUUUGAUGCAUGAUAUAGGCUCUAGGCACUUGUAGGAGUUGUUGCUAUCAAUUUUGUUGAGCUUGGCUCACUUUUAUUUGAAGUUACUAAAAAUUUCAGAAUUUUUCAGAAAAUAAUGAAGAGAUUUUUGAGGGGCUCAUCAAGCCGAAGCUCGAAGGAAAAGCAAAAUGAAAAAGCAGAGAGGCCCGAAUAUAAUCUGCCUCGCACCGCAGAGGUUCGGCCGUGUGAAUGGCCUUCCAAUGAUUUCUUGAGAGCAGUCGGGAUUUAUGAUGAUUUUUAUGAAUUGGCUGAGAAUGUAGGCCUCACCGCCUUCCUCCAUGACCAACGCGAACAAUAUCUCUUACUCACCAAUAUCUUUGUGCAAAACUUUCAUUUCCAUGCUAGGAGCUCACCACCUACGGUGGAGUUUUAUUUGUAUGAUGAGCACAAGGAGAUGUCACUUUACGAUUUCUGUCGGGUUUGAUUGAUCCCUUUCGAGGGCACAAUAGAGGAACCACACCGCGGUGAUGUGGAUGGGUUUAUAGAUACCAUCACUGUAGGGGAAACGAGGAAGGUUUCCGAUGCACGAAUCACUAGCAUACAUUUUCCUGUUUUACGCUACUUUGCAAUAUUUGCUAGUCGUUGCUUAAUUGGUCGCGAAAACUGUGGAAACCUUAGUGUUCCUGAUAUUAUUAUUUUGUUCCACGGUUUAUUCUGUGAUAAAUCUGUUAGUAUGGGCGGUAUUAUUGCUAAACGGUUAAGUCUCAACUGUACAAAGGGCCCCAUCUUUGGAGGCAUCUAUGCUUCACGCCUAACUGCGCAUUUUAACAUACCUAUUAAGCAUUAUGAGAAGGAAGAAAAAUUGCUGCCCCUGUUUAUUUAGAUUAUAAGAGUAUGGUGGCACACGAUUUUAUUGUUAAGAAUAGGAAAGGGGAGCUUAAAUACAAAUUGUUCUUUGAUAAACAUCAUCCUGAGACUAUUACCCUGCCUACUCCUUCCUUGUUUGAUUUAUCUCCAGGCAAGUACCUUGUUCCGUUAGAGGCUAUUCACGCCUACCGGAACAUUGCAUCAGCCACAGAGCCAGAGUCGGAACCACUAGUUGAUCCUCCACGACAGUCUAAUUACCAUUGGGAUCCAGAAAUGAUAGCCACCAGUGGAAAUCAGAGUCUUCUUCGCAGUACGACCCCAACUAUUACUAUGGAUAUCCGCCAGGCCAGCCGUGGCCAUAGACCAACUUAGGUCAAAAGCCUAAACUUGGGGGAGUACGUAUUUCCCGCCGACAUUACAUUCAUGUUCGCACACUCAUUGCUAGAUGUCGGUGCUCAUACUUUUUCAUUGUAUCAUCCAUGCUAGUUCAUUUCCUUUUUAAGCUUUCUUCUUGUGUGUUUAAUAAACCUUAAGAAAAACCAAAAAAACUAGUUGUAGCUUUUAGCUAGUUUUAAUUUCCAUGCUUGUAGUAGUAAUUAAAAAGAAAACCCAAAAAAAGAUUUCUUGUUCUUGUUUUGCUCGUUGGGAGCUUUCCCGUGUAAAUAGUUUUAUUUCUUUUCUUUGGGGGUCGAUAGGAGAAUACCAUGAUUAAAUUGUUGAAGUGGCUCUUAUAUAUAUUUUUUAUCUGACAAAAGAGCCCAUAUUGCCUUGUCUUCUCCAGUUUAUUGAAUGCUUGCAGAUUCCAGCUUAGUCCAAUGCACGCGCACUAUUAUUAUUAUCCACAUCGUUCGGUCGUGCAAGUGAAAGGCAAUUAUGACAAUAUAUGAUGGACUGACUGAGAUGAGAAAAGCUGGUAUAAACUCAACCUCUCUUGUUUUUGUAAAUAUGAUUAGUUCAUCGUUCCUGAUUCAGCCUAUUAUGAAUAAACAUGUUUGCAAUGACAACUAGAGAUCAUAGUUUCUUGUGCCAUGCUUGAUUAGCUAGGAGCUUAUAAUGGUUUACCUUGCGUGCCAACAUGCUAUUAAAAUGGUUGUGAUGUGGUAUGAUAGGGUGGUAUCCUCCUCUGAAUGAUUUGAGUGGCUUGACUUGGCACAUGCUCACGCAUGUAGUUGAAAUAAAAUCAACAUAUCCUCUACGAUAUUUAUGUUCAUGGGGAAUUAUAUCCUACUCAUGCUUGCAUUUGGUGUUGAUUAAUUUUAAUGCAUGUUUAUGAGUGUUGUCGCUCUCUAGCUGGUUGCUUCCCAGUCUUUUGCUAGCCUUCACCUGUACUAAGCGGGAAUACUGCUUGUGCAUCCAAUCCCAUAAACCCCAAAGUUAUUCCAUAUGAGUCCACCAUACCUACCUAUUUACGGUAUCUACCUGCCGUUCCAAGUAAAUUUGUAUGUGCCAAACUCUAAACCUUCAAAUAAAUAUCAUGUUUUGUAUGCUCGAAUAGCUCAUGUAUCAACUAGGGCUGUCUGUAUCUUCCAUGUUAGGCGGGUUAUUCUCAAGAGGAGUGGACUCCGCUCCUCACUCACGAGAAAAUGGCUGGUCACCGGGAUGCCCAGUCCCAUGCUUUAUGCAAAUCAAAUCAAAAUAAUUGCAAACAAAACUCUCCCUAGGACUCUUGUUAGUUGGAGGCACUCGUUGUUUUGAGCAAGCCAUGGAUUGAUGCUUGUUAGUGGAAGGGGAGUAUAAACUUUACCAUUCUGUUUGGGAACCGCCUAUAAUGUGUGUAGCAUAGAAUAUAUCGCCCUCUCUUGGUUGUUAUGUUGACAAUGAAAGUAUACUGCUCAAAAUAUUAUUCACCUCUAUUUCAAAACCGAGCUCUGGCACCUCUACAAAUCCCUGCUUCCCUCUGCGAAGGGCCUAUCUAUUUACUUUUAUGUUGACUCAUCAUCCUCUUAUUAAAAAUCACAAGUUGGAGAGCACCGCUGUCAUUUGCAUUCAUUACUGUUAGUUUACAUUGAGUAUGACUGGACUGGAUCUCUUUUACCAUGAAUUACAAUGUCUAGUCAGUCCUUGAUCUUUAAAGGUGCUCUGCAUUUAUGUUUUGCGGUCUCAGAAAGGGCUAGCGAGAUACCAUCUUGUUAUAUCAUAUCAUGAUUGUUUUGAGAAAGUGUUGUCAUCUGAGAUUUAUUAUAUUGCUCGCUAGUUGAUUAUGCCAUUGAUAUGAGUAAACAUGAGACCUAAAUGUUAUUGUGAAUAUGGUUAGUUCAUAAUCUUUGCUGAAAACUUGAAUGCUGGCUCUACAUAUUUACAACAACAAGAGCAAACAGAGUUUGUAAAAGUUUUUCUUUAUCACUUUCAGCUUAUCAACUGAACUGCUUGAGGACAAGCAAAGGUUUAAGCUUUGGGCAGUUGAUACGUCUUCGUCGUAUCUACUUUUCCAAACACUUUUGCCCUUGUUUUGGACUCUAACUUGCAUGAUUUGAAUGGAACUAGCCCGGACUUACGCUGUUUUCAGCAGAAUUGCCAUGGUGUUAUUUUUGUGCAGAUAUAAAAGUUCUCGGAAUGACCCGAAAAUCAACGGAGAAUUAUUUUGGAAUACAUAAAUAAUACUGGAAGGAAGAUCCACGUCAGGGGGGCCUCCACCUGUCCACGAGGGUGGGGGCGCGCCCUACCCCCCUGGUGCUACCUCUUGAGCACUGCGUUGGUUUUCCCUUGAAGAGGAAAGGGUGAUGCAGUAAAGUAGCGUAAGUAUUCCCCUCAGUUUUUGAGAACCAAGGUAUCAAUCCAGUAGGAGAUCACGCUCGAGUCCCACGCACCUACACAACCAAAUAAGAACCUCGCAACCAACGCGAUAAAGGGGUUGUCAAUCCCUUCACGGUCACUUACGAGAGUGAGAUCUGAUAGAUAUGGUAAGAUAAUAUUUUGGUAUUUUUAUGAUAAAGAGAAAUAAAGAUGCAAAGAAAAAUAAACGGCAAUAGAAAUAACUAAGUAUCACCUGGGCGCACCCCCUGCCUCGUGGGCCCCCUGACGCUCCACCAACCUCAACCCUGACUUCAUAUAUUCACUUUCGGGGAGAAAAAACCAGAGAGAAAGAUUCAUCACAUUUUACGAUACGGAGCCGCCGCCAAGCCCUAAACUCUCUCGGGAGGGCUGAUCUGGAGUCCGUUCGGGGCUCCGAAGAGGGGAAUCCAUCGCCAUCAUCAUCAUCAACCUUCCUCCAUCACCAAUUUCAUGAUGCUCACCGUCGUGCGUGCAUAAUUCCAUCGUAGGCUUGCUGGACGGUGAUGGGUUGGAUGAGAUUUAUCAUGUAAUCGAGUUAGUUUUGUUAGGGUUUGAUCCCUAGUAUCCACUAUGUUCUGAGAUUGAUGUUGCUAUGACUUUGCUAUGCUUAAUGCUUGUCACUAGGGCCCGAGUGCCAUGAUUUCAGAUCUGAACCUAUUAUGUUAUCAUCAAUAUAUGAGCGUUCUUGAUCCUAUCUUGCAAGUCUAUAGUCACCUACUAUGUGUUAUGAUCCGGCAACCCCGAAGUGACAAUAAUCGGGACCACUCCUGGUGAUGACCGUAGUUUGAGGAGUUCAUGUAUUCACUAUGUGUUAAUGCUUUGGUCCGGUACUCUAUUAAAAGGAGGCCUUAAUAUCCCUUAGUUUCUGCUAGGACCCCGCUUCCACGGGAGGGUAGGACAAAAGAUGUCAUGCAAGUUCUUUUCCAUAAGCACGUAUGACUAUAUUCGGAAUACAUGCCUACAUUACAUUAAUGAAUUGGAGCUAGUUCUAUGUCACCCUAGGUUAUGAUUGUUACAUGAUGAACCGCAUCCGACAUAAUUCUCUAUCACUGAUCCAUUGCCUACGAGCUUUCCAUAUAUUGUUCUUCGCUUAUUUACUUUUCCAUUGCUAUUGCUAUCAUCACUACAAAAUACCAAAAACAUUACUUUUGCUAUCGUUACCUUUUGCUGCCGUUACCACUACUAUCAUAUUACUUUGCUACUAAACACUUUGCUGCAGAUAUUAAGUUUCCAGGUGUGGUUGAAUUGACAAGUCAGCUGCUAAUAGUUGAGAAUAUUCUUUGGCUCCCCUUGUGUUGAAUCAAUAAAUUUGGGUUGAAUACUCUACCCUUGAAAACUGUUGCGAUCCCCUAUACUUGUGGGUUAUCAUUGCUCCUGCAGCGGGUCUUGCACAUAGCGGUGCUUCCAGGACGUAAUUCUUCUGUGUAGCAAUGAGGAUAAUCCUCAAGUUACGGACCUAGUCCAUGUAGUUGCUACCAUCAUCUUUCAACUUAGGUUUCUCUACGAACGCAUUAAAAUUCAAAGGGACAUUAGCACGGGCCAUUGAUCUACAACAACAUAGACAUGCAAACUACUAUCAGGUGCUAAGUUCAUGAUAAAUUAAAGUUCAAUUAAUCAUAUUACUUAAGAACUCCCACUUAGAUAGACAUCCCUCUAGUCAUCUAAAUGAUCACGUGAUCCAUAUCAACUAAACCAUGUCCGAUCAUCUCGUGAGAUGGAGUAGUUUCAAUGGUGAACAUCACUAUGUUGAUCAUAUCUACUAUAUGAUUCACGCUCGACCUUUCGGUCUCAGUGUUCCGAGGCCAUAUCUGCAUAUGCUAGGCUCGUCAAGUUUAACCCGAGUAUUCUGCGUGUGCAAAACUGGCUUGCACCCGUUGUAUGUGAACGUAGAGCUUAUCACACCCGGUUAUCACGUGGUGUCUCGGCACGACGAACUAUAGCAAUGGUGCAUACUCAGAGAGAACACUUGUACCUUGAAAUUUAGUGAGAGAUCAUCUUAUAAUGCUACCGCCGUACUAAGCAAAAUAAGAUGCAUAAAGGAUAAACAUCACAUGCAAUCAAAAUAAGUGAUAUGAUAUGGCCAUCAUCAUCUUGUGCCUUUGAUCUCCAUCUCCAAAGAACCGUUAUGAUCACCAUCAUCACCGGCUUGACACCUUGAUCUCCAUCGUAGCAUCGUUGUCAUCUCGCCAACUAUUGCUUCUACGACUAUCGCUACCACUUAGUGAUAACGUAAAGCAAUUACAUGGCGAUUGCAUUUCAUACAAUAAAGCGACAACCAUAAGGCUCCUGCCAGUUGCCGAUAACUUUUACAAAACAUGAUCAUCUCAUACAACAACUUAUAUAUCAUCACGCAAAAACAAGUUAGACGUCCUCUACUUUGUUGUUGCAAGUUUUACGUGGCUGCUACAGGCUUCUAGCAAGAACCGUUCUUAUCUACGCAUCAAAACCACAAUGAUUUUUCAUCAAGUGUGUUGUUUUAACCUUCAACAAGGACCGGGCGUAGUCAAACUCGAUUCAACUAAAGUUGGAGAAACAGACACCCAGUAGCCACCUGUGUGUGAAGCACCUCGAUGGAACCAGUCUCAUGAACGCGGUCAUGUAAUGUCGGCCUGAGCUGCUUCAUCCAACAAUACCGCCAAAUCAAAGUAAGACGUUGCUGGUAAGAAGUAUGACUAUUAUCGUCCACAACUCAUUGUGUUCUACUCGUGCAUAUAACAUCUACGCAUAGACCUGGCUCGGAUGUCAUUGUUGGGGAACGUAGUAUUUCAAAAAAAAUCAUACGAUCACGCAAGAUAUAUCUAGGAGAAGCAUAGCAAUGAGCGGGGAGAGUGUGUUCACGUACCCUCGUAGACCGAAAGCGGAAGCGUUUAGUAACACGGUUGAUGUAGUCGAACGUCUUUGCGAUCCAAUCGAUCCAAACACCAAACGUACGACACCUCCGCGUUCAGCACACGUUCAGCUUGAUGACAUCCCUCGAGCUCUUGAUCCAGUUGAGGCCGAGGGAUAGUUCCGUCAGCACGAUGGCGUGGCGACGGUGAUGAUGAAGUUACCGGCGCAGGGCUUCGCCUAAGAACUACGACGAUAUGACCGAGGUGUGUAACUGUGGAGGGGGGCAACGCCCACGGCUAAGAGAAACUUGUGUCUUUGGGGUGCCCCCCUCCCACGUAUAUAAAUGGGGGGAGGAGGCCGGCCCAAAGGGGGGCGCGCCACAUGUUGGGGGUCCUACUAGGACUCCCUAGUCCUAGUAGGAUUCCCCUCUCCUUUCCUUUUACGGAAGGGGGAAAGGGGGGAAGGAGAGGAGGGGAAGAGGGAAAGGGGGCACGCCCCCUCCCCUUCCUAUUCGGACUCCACUUGGGGGGACGCGCACGCCUCCCCCUUGUGGGUUGUACCCUCUUCUCUCCCAUGGCCCAUAAGGCCCAUGAUUUCCCCCGGGGGGUUCCGGUAACCUCCCGGUACUCCAGAAAAAUGCUCGAAUCACUCGGAAUCAUUCUGAUGUUUGAAUGCAACCUUCCAAUAUAUGAAUCUUUACCUCUCGACCAUUUCUGUGAUCUCAUCCGGGACUCCGGACAAACUUCAGUCAUCAAAUCACAUAACUCAUAAUACAAAUUGGCACGAACGUUAAGCAUGCGGACCCUAUGGGUUUGAGAACUAUGUAGACAUGACUGAGACACAUCUCCGGUCAUUAACCAAUAGCGGAACCUGGAUGCUCAUAUUGGCUCCUACAUAUUCUACGAAGAUCUUUAUCGGUCAAACCGCAUAACAACAUACGUAGUUCCCUUUGUCAUAUGUAUGUUAUUUGCCCGAGAUCCGAUCGUCGGUAUCCCCAUACCUAGUUCAAUCUCGUUACCGUCAAGUAUCUUUACUUGUUCCGUAAUGCAUCAUCAUGUAACUAACUCAUUAGUCACAUUGCUUGCAAGGCUUAUAGUGAUGUGCAUUACCGAGAGGGCUUAGAGAUACCUCUCUGAUACACGAAGUGGCAAAUCCUAAUCUCGAUCUAUGCCAACUCAACAAACACCAUCAGAGACACCUGUAGAGCAUCUUUAUAAUCACCCAGUUACAUUGUGACGUUUGAUAGCACACUAAGUGUUCCUCCGGUAUUCGGGAGUUGCAUAAUCUCAUAGUCAUAGGAACAUGUAUAAGUCAUAAAGAAAGCAAUAGCAAUAAAAUUAAACGAUCAUUAUGCUAAGAUAACGGAUGGGUCUUGUCCAUCACAUCAUUCUCUAAUGAUGUGAUCCCGUUCAUCAAAUGACAACACAUGUCUAUGGUUAGGAAACUUAACCAUCUUUGAUUAACGAGCUAGUCUAGUAGAGGCAUACUAGGGACACUCUGUUUGUCUAUGUAUUCACACAUGUACUAAGUUUCUGGUUAAUACAAUUCUAGCAUGAAUAACAAAGAUUUAUCAUGAUAUAAGGAAAUAUAAAUAACAACUUUAUUAUUGCCUCUAGGGCAUAUUUCCUUCAGGAAGAGCAUCGCGGGUGGGAGGGAGAAGGGGAAUUAAGAGAGUGUGGGUUUGGGUUUGGGCCUCCGCGUGCUAUGUGUACACAUGUGUUGGUGGGUCGAUAGUAGUGGUCCUGGGUUUAUACCCCACGCUACUACUAUGGCCUAUCCCGGGGGUACGGUAGAGACCGCUUAGUAGUAGCGAGGGAUUUAUACCCCUCACUACUACUAUCAACUUAGUAGUAGUGAGGGAUUUAUACCCCUCGCUACUACUAUCAACUUAGUAGUAGUGAGGGAUUUAUACCCCUCGAUACUACUAUGGCCAGUCCCGGGGGGCACGGUGGAGACCACUUAGUAGUAGUGUGGGGUUUAUACCCCUCGCUACUACUAUCAACUUAGUAGUAGUGUGGGUUCUAUACCCCUCGCUACCAAUAAUUAGCAGCAGUGUGGCCCAUAUACCCCUCGCUACGGUUAAGCAUCUAUCUAUAAAGUAUUUUCUAGUAGUGCAUCGAUGGCGGCGAAAUCAGUCGUUCUGCUUGUUUUCCCUACUAGCUCUCUGACGUCCAGAACAAGUUUACGGUCAUAAGGUGCAAUAACCUUGCCUUCAUGAGUGACACGAUGACACGGGAACAGGCUUCCAAGCCUAUGGUGUCGCAUCAUGUCGUGGUCUGCUAGACUUAGUGGACGAAUGCUACUACAAUAUCGGUUGAUCUCAUACUACAAUACCAAGGAAGACACGCAACUACUAUAUAUAUUUCUUCAAGUCAGUCAACACAAGUAAAAUCUGGGAGUUCAACUGGUGCAGCUAUGCAAUGCUAAUGGAGACAACACAAUUCAACUUUAGCACUUCACACAUAAGCAACACCACGUUCAAUGGCACACACCUUAGAGUGUACCUAUGGUGGUUGAUUGGGCUAUAAGAAAUGUGAGUCCAUGUGAAGAUGCCAAAUAUAAUAACACGGCUAAUUACACAUGCAGUGGCAGCAGCAACAAGUGCAUGAAUUCCACAAAUGAUCUAGGGUACACAUGCAACUGUGUCCUUGAGUAUGACAACAACCCUUAUCUUCUAGACAAAUGCAUGGUAUGCUACUAAUUUAUUUGCUAAAUAUUCCAAUGAAUUGUGUCCUUUACUUUGUACAUACCCAAUUAUAAUAUUUUAUUUUGCUAAUACAAUGUAGCCUUCAAUUUAAACCAAGGUUUGCAUCCAUUAAUUAUGUUAGGUUCAUAUGACUUCACUACAUAAAUAGGUAGAUAAUGCAUAAGACUGAGAUUGUAGCUAGGGAUGAAAAUCUAAAUACGGCAUGAAUCUAACAAUUAUGAGUAAUGUCUUUGUGACAAGAACUUUCUUUGUCUUUUAUUCCCAUGUUUGAACUAGUAUAGGUCAGGGUUACACAUUAUGGUGCACAUCACUUUAUUUGUCAUCGUUACAUUGAACACUCAUUGACUAAACAACGAUGAUCCAUCCGUCUUGUAUUACAGGUCUUCAUUUCAUUGGCCACCGAUGCUUGUAAGACUACUCCCAGAUGGUUGUUGUUGUGGAUAUGGUUGUUGAGGUUGGUGUGGUUGCUGGGGGAAUGGUUGUUGGGGUUGCUGGGAAAUUGUUUGUUCUAGUUGCUGGGAUAAUUGUUGUUGGGGCUGCAGAAAUGGUUGUUGUGGUUGUUGUGGUUGCAGGAUGGAGGGUUGCUGGGAAAAUGGUUGUUGCGGUCGUAGGGGGAAUGGUUGUUGUGGUUGUAGAGGGAAAGGUUGUUGUGGUUGUUGAGGGAAUGGUUGUUGUGGUUGUUGGGGGAAUGAUUGUUGUGGUUGCAGGGGGAAUGGUUGUUGUGGUUGCUGGGGGAANNNNNNNNNNNNNNNNNNNNNNNNNNNNNNNNNNNNNNNNNNNNNNNNNNNNNNNNNNNNNNNNNNNNNNNNNNNNNNNNNNNNNNNNNNNNNNNNNNNNNNNNNNNNNNNNNNNNNNNNNNNNNNNNNNNNNNNNNNNNNNNNNNNNNNNNNNNNNNNNNNNNNNNNNNNNNNNNNNNNNNNNNNNNNNNNNNNNNNNNNNNNNNNNNNNNNNNNNNNNNNNNNNNNNNNNNNNNNNNNNNNNNNNNNNNNNNNNNNNNNNNNNNNNNNNNNNNNNNNNNNNNNNNNNNNNNNNNNNNNNNNNNNNNNNNNNNNNNNNNNNNNNNNNNNNNNNNNNNNNNNNNNNNNNNNNNNNNNNNNNNNNNNNNNNNNNNNNNNNNNNNNNNNNNNNNNNNNNNNNNNNNNNNNNNNNNNNNNNNUGGUUGCAGAGGGAACGAUUGUUGGGUCUGGGGAAAUGGUUGUUGUGGUUGCCAGGAAAAUGGUUGUUGGGGCUGUGGAAAAGGUUGUUGUGGUUGUUGGGGUUGCUGGGGGAAUGGUUGUUGUGGUUGUAAGGGGGUCGGUUGUUGGGGUUGGGGAAAUAAUUGUUGUGAUUGCUGGGGAAAUUGUUGUUGGGGUGUGGAAAAUGGUUGUUGUGAUGGAUAUGGUUGCUGUGAUGGAUAUGGUUGUUGUGGAUAUGGCUGUUGUGGAAAUAGUUUUUGUUGAUGGGAAAAUGAUUGUUGAGGUGAUUGUAACUCUUUGUUGUUAGGGUUUAGUUGCCUAGCGGCAAUGGCGGUGUUCAUCGCCAUGGCAAGGAGGACAAAGAUGAGGAAGGUCUUCAUGUUGGAUUUGUGGUUACUACUGCUUGCUUGCCUUUGAUGCUUGUGGUCUAGGUGUGUGAAGUUUUGUUGAUGGAAGGUGUCCUUGGUGGUGCAUGUGUAUUUAUAGUUUUCAUGGCAUGGCUUGCUUUCAUCUUUGCACUCGCUCUUUGAAAAAGUGCAUCAAUGCUUAUCCAACUAAUCAUUUGGUUUGUUGUGUUUGGUGCAACUACUUACUAGUGAGAUUUUGGAUUUUCAUGAUAGUUGUUUUUUGUUGAAAUCAUCUGGUUGUAAGGAAUGUUGGAUAAUGACCAAUGACUCAUCUUCUUCACUUUACACUGCAAACAUUGAUCUAGAUUAUGUCCCUUUUUGAAAUUUAGUUUGUGGAGCUCUACAUGUUGUUAGGCUUAUCCAUAUUGGCAUAGCUUGAGUGGAGCUAAGUUUGUAAGCUUGUGUGCGCCAUUAUGAUGGAUCACACUAUUAAUGUGAUGAUUGUUUUACAAAUUAUCUUUCCAAAACUAACUUUAUGUUUUUUGCCCAAUAUGAUUCUAAGACGGAUAACCAGACAUGACUCAUCAAAUAACAAGAUAAACCGAGUAGCAAGUUGGGGGUUAUAAGUUAUAAUAUGGACUUUUCUCUAAGAUACACCAUCUUGUCUUGCAUGCUCUGUGGAUUUGAAAAGCAUCUACUAAUUUAGAUGCAAUUGAAACAAAAGUAGACUAAAAAGGUAAGCAAUGAAAUGAGAAUACUAUUAUGUGAAGCUCUACAUGUCUGGUAAGCAGUGAGAUACUGGAUACAUCUAUAUCUUCAAUCCUUUCAUCCCUAUCAACUCUUUAUUGGCUGCUUUUAUCGUAGUCAUCCCUUAAAUAAAAAUCACUUAAAUAUAAGUUUGGGAGUUAGUACCAACAUAUAUCAUGUACAAGAUAGAAAACUAAGGCACAUAUAGUAGUCUAUUGACCAUAUUUAAUUUCUUGUGAUGUGAAAGCAUGUGGAGUAUAAGUUGGUUAAAUAUAAAGUUGUCCUUCAUACCAGUAGGGAAAGAAUAUGCAGUAUAAAGAUUAGAGCAUUGGACUAAUAUGCUAUUAAAUGCUACAGGAUAAUUGACAGUUCAAGUUAAGAACAACAUUAGCAUUCCAACUUUUGUCUUGUGCAAGUUAAGAACAUGCUAACAAAGUAACCUAAGCAAAUAAGUGCAAAACCUUCACCUAUAAGGAAAUUGUGAAACUACACAAAAUGACCUAUUGUAAAGAAGGAAAAAAAUCUAAAGGUGAAUGAAAGAACGUUAAGUACAUUCAGGAUUCGAUUAUGCCUUCAUGGAUAACCUUUUAGAUGGUGACAUGUCCAUGUUGAUGUGUGUCGGCAUGGAACGAGGACAAGAAGACGUCGUUGCGUCGUACUUUGGGAAUUUCAUCAAACUGGUUGUGUGCGGGAACAAAUAUUUGUCGCCUCCCUGCUCAAAUCUCUCUUCAUGUCACUGAAUCCGACACUCCACCUACCAAAAUCAGCUGCAAGCCAGGGAUAAUCAACGGGUUUCUCCGCCCGUAGCAUCUAUCACCAAAAGUAGUUCAGACUAUAGUCUUGUAGUUCAAAAUUUUGUAAUAACAAGCACUACUAGGUUGCUUUUGUUUGUACGUCUUCAUUCUGUACAACCCAUGGAACUAAAAAUGCAUUGGUCAUUCUUUGUUCUAUACAACCAAUUCAACCAAAAAUGCAUUGGGCUUUUCUUUGUACAUCUUCGGGUUCUACAACCAAUGCAACAAAAAAUCCAUUGGGUAGUCUUCCAUUCUAGUCGGGCACCAACAGUUAAAUGAGGAGCUAAACAAUGUUGGAGUCUAAAACUACAUACAAUCAUGAAGCAUAGAGAGGCGACUUGGAAGCUGUGCUCCUGUGAGCUCGUAUUUUUGUAGACAAAAAGUAAUGUUUGUAUUUUGAAGUGGGAAAAAAUCCUAAAAAGGGAUGUUUUGCGGGUUAUAACUUACUAUUUUUGGGUCCUGGGCUGCAGGAAGGUCGUCAAAAUCAAUGUGUUUUCCCAUUCAAUGCAUGUUUCUUGGGUUAUAGGUCACGCUUUUGGUGUCCUAGGGAGAUCACUUCCCCGGUCAAGAACAUUAGGUGAUGAUUUUUAGAAAAACUCAUUGUUUUAGCCUAACUAGUUUCGAGGAUUGGUGGACGGGAUUAUCAUGGAACAAAGUGACAACCUUCCUUUUCUUCAUGCCUAAUAUAAACUUAGCAGUCAGCUAAAAGUAACUAGCGAUAUCACAGAAUGUUUUUUGUCAAAAGUAGAUACCACUUCAGGAUUCAACUCGGUUAGUUCAAUCACAGACAUGUUAAGAGCAGGAUUUACAACUAACUGCAUAGGGAACAUCUCCUUUUAUCACCCACUAUCUGUCUGUGCACUUUGGUUUUCCCGUAGCAUCACACAAAGCACUUUGUUAGUACCAAUAAUGUGCUCCAACUCUACACAUUAAUCAUCUUGAAUUCUUCUACUGAUGUCGAACAAUGUAAUAUCUUGAAUUCUUCUAACGAGUUCGGAUUAGACUACAUGGGCAAUUUAUCUGGUCCCUGAGAUGCAAGGUCGAUGAACAAUCGCUUCGUCUUAUGACGAGGGGUUGUUUUUGCCUAAGAAACUAAUACAUGUAACUUCGACACCGGAUUAAUAAAUGGUAAAACCUAAAUAAAUUAGAUCACGAGCUAAACCAUUUACUUUUGUAUGCAUUUAAACUUUUGAUACAUAUGAGCUUGUUAAGAUGUUCGCAUAAACACCAUGGUGAUUUGAAGCAAGACAAAGUAAACUUGAACCGCUUGAGCCACUGACUUAAUAAGAACCUCCUUUCCCGCGGCAGAGAUUGUUUUUAAUACAUCCACUCACUUUGGCCCAUAGUUUGUCUUUGAGAUACUUAAAAGCACUAGACAUAGAAUUGACAAUAUUAGAAGGCAAGCCCAAAUAUUUCACAUUUAGUGUUUCUACUUGGACACUGAGACCACCUUUGACCUCAUUUUUGACAUUCUCUCUGCAAUCCUUGCUGAGAAACACUGAAGGCUUCCUAUUUAUUUAUUCUUGACCUAAAGCUUCAUUGCGUCUUGCCUUGGUCUUGCACUACUUGCGGCACAAUACGCCUUUGGAACUGCCGUUCCGAAUUCAGAGUGCCGAAGGUGGUGUGACGAUGUUGAGAUACCGUACUCGUUCGGUAGUGAUUCGGGUUGAUCAUUCAGAGUAGACUUUGACAAUAGCUGCAAGGACAAGAUUGCAUUAGGGAGCCUUUUAAUUACACCUCGGAGGUGCUCAGCAUCUUCUUGAUGAACAACAUGGUCCUAGUGUUGAAUAAUAUCAUAUGGGGUAGUGCUACAACAACUCCACCACAAGCAUGGAGGAAUUUAGCAAAUUCCAUCAGUACUAGGAGAAAGCCUAGUAGCAACGCGAGGUAAAGGACUACUAGUAGCGCGGGUGCCCACGCUACUACUAGGGUGCUACAGCUAAUUGGUAGUAGUAGCGUGGGUGACACCCUGCGCUACUACCACGUCUGUUAGUAUAGUAGCGCGAGUGUCACCCGCACUACUACUAGUUAUCUGUAGCCCGGGUCUGACCCCACGCUACUACUAACUAAUUAGGAAUUAAAAAAAUAAAUUCCAUCCAUGGUUGCUGCUGCUGGGCGUCAUCGUCCUCUCCGUCCAUGGCUGAUGUUGGUCCUGGAGGGGAUGACGUCGUCCAUGGUGAUGGUACUUCCUCACCCAAAUCGUCCCCACACCUCUCCUAUGCUACUGCUACAAAAUAAGAGAAAACGAUUAGAAGAGGAAGAGAGAUAUUGAGAGGAGUAGGAGGAGCAACUGACCGGUGGCCGCCGGAGUUGGAGCUGAUGCCCGAAACCCUAGACGAUGCCCGGUGACCUGUUGCUUCUUUUCCUGGGACCUCAUGUCCUCACAAGGCCAUGUCUCAGCGAGGAAGUGCAAGUGGUUGCGUAGCAGAUCUGUUCAUCGCCAUUGGUGGCGCUCUGUUGGAUCUUCCUCUCCUUCCAGCAUCGGAGAAGGAGGAGGAAGGAGGCGAAGGUGAGGCGUAAGUCAGUGGCCCAAAAUUUUUAUAUAGAUGAGACUUACUAAGUAAUAACCCCAUAGAAUCUAUCUAUAUAAAGAUAAAGAGGCAAUCGUGUCAGGAAGCGGGUUUUUCUUUGGCCAAAAGGUACUUAGAACUUGGAACGAGCAUGAAGAGAUUAACGAGACUUCUUUCUCUUUUGAGUUUUUCUGGCGGACCUGCCGCGCAAGAUCUUUGGUCUUCCCCUGGAACCGAUGAAAAAAAGUGGAUUGCUUCUUAUGUACUCGCUCAGCUUAAGAUGCUCGCAUAAUCCCCGUGGUAAUUUGAAGCAAUACAUAGAGUAAACUAGAACUGCUUGAGCCACUAACUUAAUGAGAACCUCCUUUCCCGUAGGAUAUAUCAUUUUUUCAAUCCAUCCAUUCACUUUGGCCCAUAGUAUGUCUUUGAGAUACUUAAAAGCAGUAGAUUAGAAUUACCAAUAUCAUAAGGCAAGCCCAAAUAUUUCUCAUUUAGUGUUUCUGUUGGACACUGAGAACACCUUUGACCUCAUAUCUAACAUUCUCUACACAACCCUUGCUGAGAAACACUGAAGACUUGCUAUUAUUUAUUCUUUGACCUGAAACUUGGCAAUAGGUUUGACACAUCUGUCGCCCCUGAACCAUUUGCCUUGAAAAACAGCAGGCUGUCAUCUGCAAAUAACAAGUGGUUAACUGAUGCCACCAAAGGAGCUACUUGGAUUCCAGUAAACUGGGAUGACUAGUCUCUAGAUUUGAGGAGGCCCGAAAGGCCAUGUACUGCUAACAGGAAAAUCAAGGUGAAUUGGAUCUUGCUGCCGUAUACCACGGGUAGGUUUGAGCUCAUCAAGUUUCUUGCUCUUGAAUAAAAUUGAAUAAGAUACAGAAGCUACCAUGCUCAUUUCUAUGGAGGCCCAUUUAACAGAGAAUCCAAAGUUGAGAUUUAUCACCUCCAAAUACGCCCAUUCAACUAGAUUAUAAGCCUUCAUCAUAUCCAAUUUUAGAGUACAAUGGUGAUGUUACAAUGACUUAUUCCUUUUCAUGAAAUGUAAGCACUCGUAGGCCACGAUUAUAUUGUCAGUGAUAAGGCGACCCGGAACAGAAGCCGACUCUUCACUCAAUAUUAUCUCCGGAAGGGCCCCUUUUAGCCGGUUAGCCAGAACUUUGGGUGUUAUUUGUAAAGUUGCAUAGGCUAAUACGACAGAACUGGCUUAGGAAAGUACCAUUUUGUACCUCAUCACUAUCCUCGCCACAAUACAAAGGACAACCAUUGUUACCUCCUCGCCGCAAAUAUCCCAAUGUUUCUCAAAGAAAUGUUCAAAGAAUCCGUCCGGGCCCAAGGCCUUCAUGCGGAACAUUUGAAACAAUACAAUUUAAACCUUGUUGUAGAAUACUUAGCGUCAAGGAAGGCAUUCAUCGCAUCACUGACCUUUACUGGAACCAAGUCAGGAAAUCAUGCAUAUUAGAAACAGUCUCAGAAGUGAAAAGCUCCGAGUAAAACUAUGUUGUGAUCUCUUCCAAUUCCUUAAGAACACUGAUAACAUCACAUUAGGUUGCUACAAUGAUUUGGUCAAAUUAUUCCGCCUUCUCAUCGAAGCCCUUAAGUGAAAGAAGCAUGUGGUCUUGUCCCCACUAAUCAGCCACUUAAUCUGAGAUCUAGUAGGCAAGAUGAGUGACGGGAAGUAGUUCGGAACAAUUUCCUCUUAUUCACUUCUAAAACAAAUUUUCGGUUUUUGUCGUUCCUAAGCCAAGGAUUUGAUAAAUAUUCAUAAAUUUUUAAAAUGUUCACCAAUAUUAAAAACAUCAUGAUUUUAAAAAACCGUGAUUUUUAAACAAAAUCAUAAAUAUGAAAAUUGCCAUUCACAAAAUUUUAAAAUAAAAUCAUGAAUUUUAAAAGAAUUUUCAAAAUUUUGAUAAAUAUCUACGAAUUUUACAACUUUGAUGAAUUUUAAAAACAAACCAUAACAAAAAAACACUAGCAAGUUCGAUCCUAAAAAAUGCCUUGCCUUCUACUAUGCGUAGCGUGCAUGGACAGCCGGACCUAGACACCCUAGACCAAAAACCCUACAUCUGGGCCAGGCCCGAGCUCCAUUUUUUGGCCCAAAGCCCAGCCCAAAAAGGCAGAAAUGGUAAGAAAUGUAUACUUUAUUCAAAAUAUAGGUAUAUUAUAUUGUUUUAGUAUCUCAAAUAAUUAUUUAAAUUGAAAAAUGUCGUUGUUCAUGUGUUUCUGGACGGGCCAAGCCAGGCUCAUGCUUGGGAUUUUUGCUUCGGGCUUUGACAACCUGGCCCGGGGUAUGAUCAAGUUCAGCAUGGCCCAGUCACACACCCUUGUACAACAUUUUGUUGUAGAGAGCGGCAAAUAUAAUUUUCCCGAUCUAAUAUUGCUCGCUAUAAGUCUAUAUCUAUACUUUUUUCUAUACCCAUACUAAUAAAGCAAGGUGCGUUUCCCCAAUUUUUUCAUUCAUUCACUGUCGAAAACAAUUAUGUUUCCUAUCCGAGGUGGUCCUAAAUUCUUAUGCGUUCAUCUGCUAAAAGAAAGGCUUUUCCGGAAUUUCUUACGUGGGUUGCGCGCUAUGGCCAGUGAAGUCAGCCCACUUAUUUUUCUGCCCAUGCAGCUCUAAAAAAUCUAUUUAACACACAGGGCAAGAAAUAGUCGGCACUUCAAACUGGAAAACAAAUAAUGGGCUAGCCAAUUUUUCUUUGUUUCUGUGUUUUAUUUCUAUUUUUAUUCUCCUUCCCCGAUUUCUUUUUUCACUUCCAAGUUUACAUUUCUUAUAGAAUUUAUUUUAUAAAUUCAAAAUUCUCAAAAAACAUAGAGAAUUUUAAAAAAAUGGAAAAUGUUCAUAACUCCAAUUUUUUUGCUAUUUAAAUUUUUUUCAGAACUUGAAUUUUUUCCCUUUUUCCGAAAAUUUUAUUGUUUUUUAAAAUUGUUAGAGAUUUCUAAAAAGAAAAUGGAAAUUUAAAAAGUCUUCCAAAUUCGAAAAAAAAUCAUGUUUUAGUGAAAUUUUCACAACUCAAAUUAUUCUUAAAAAAUACACAUUUUAAAAAGUAAGGAUUUUCAAUACAUGUUCCCGUUCUAAAAAAAUGUUGACAAAUUCAAAUAAUGUUCAUGUUUUUAUUUUAAAAGUUCGUGUUUUCAAAAAUGUUUGUAAAUUCUAAAAGAUGUUCCUAUUUCAUAUUUUGUUCAUGUUUUUCUGAAAGUGUACCUAAUUUUCAAAAAACUGUUCAGGAUUUAAAAAAUGGUUCAUGUUGCCUACAAUAUUGAGAAACUUCAUACCUUAAAAUCUCCUCGAUUGAAGGAACCAUAGAUUGAAUAAUUCAUGGGCCUUCUCUGGUGGACGAUGACGUAGCAAAACUCUUAAAUGCCCUCAAUCAAUGAAUGGAAAAAUAGCGAAUUGAGUACUUCACACCCAGCGAAACAAAGAAGCUAAAUGUUCCCUUUUUACGUGCGCACAGGGUUUUGCUUGCACAAAUAAUUCUCACUAACUUCCAAUGCAUACUAAUUUUUCUCCCAUUGCGAAGCACAAGCAUAUGUGCUAGUUUUAUCCACGGUGGUACUAAAUUUUUUUGAGUCCAUCUGCUAGAAAAAGGAAAAACAGUUUUGUCAAAAUUUUCGUACAUGGGCCGCGCGCGCUGUGGCCCAGCGAAGCUGGCCCAUUUAUUUCCGGCCGAAGCAGCUGAGAAUAAUUAUUUAACGCUUGGGGCGGCAAAUAGACAAAGUUUCGCAUAGGGCGCCAAAUAUUUGGUCGGCCCAUAUUUGUUUUCUCUCUAGUUUGUUUCUUUUUUUAUUUUCCUUUCUCCUUUUCUUAUCUCUUUACUUUUUCUUUUUUCCCUUUCAAGUUAAUUUUUCUUUUCUCCUUUUCCAUAAAUUAAAUUUUUCAAUAUUUCAGAAUUUUAGUUUUGGAUUAAAUUUUCGUAAAAUCUUCAUAAUUAUUUCUCCCCAUUUUGAAUUGUUUUUAAACUAUAAUUUUUUCUUCUUCUUCUUCCAAAAUUUAUUCAAAACUAUAGAAUAAAGUUCGCAUAUUAAUUUUUUUAUGCUUUCCAAAAUUGUUUGAUAUUUUCAAAAUAUAUUGCAUUAAAAAAUUAAAUAUUUAGAUUUUAUUGAAAUGUUAAUUCAAAGUAAUGUUUGUGUUUAAAAACAUGUUUUUCAAAAUUCUUUUCAAUGUCCAAAACACGUUUUCAUUUCCAAAAAAAAUCACGUAUUCAAAACAUGUUUGCUUUCUUAUAAUAGGUUCAUGUUUUCAAAAAACAUAAAUUUCAAAAAAAUUGUCACAUCUUAAAGAAUAUUCAAAAUAUCGUAAUUAUUACUUUAUUUUUUGAAAAAAAUCAAGAAAAACAGAAAAAAAAAUGUAUAUUAUGCUACAGUAUAUUCUUAAAAUUUCGCCCUCGCCAUUUGUUAGCAUGAGCUGUUUGUUCGAGUGGCUAGCAGCACGUGGUCGAGUUUUUGAGGUCAUGAGUUUGAUCCUUCAACUCAGUGGUUGUUUUGGAUUUUUAUUCACGCCUUACAAAUACAAGUCAUUUUGGUACCUGCCAGCGGCCUUGCCAGACUCGAACUGCCGUGCAUCCGACGUGCUAUUUGACGAUAAAAGAGAAUAUGUUGCUUGACUAUAAUUAAAAAAAUGUGGGCACAUGCCAAUAAAAGAGGAUAUGCUGGUUUGACUCUGAUUAAAAAAAUGUUGGCAAGUGAGCGUCGAAAUAAUUAAAGAGAAUAAACCCUGGUAAAGUAGGGACUACCUGGUUACGUGCUUAUUAUACCAAAGAAACGGGAUUUCCUGCAAUUAGUACUUCAACCGGUUACACCAUCAUAGGAGAGAGUAGUCGAAGCAACUAUGCCACGAAGGUCGCCGUGCUGCACAAAAUGAGGAGGCAACCGCAACCUAGACACGGAGGCAGACUCGGAGAAAAAAAAGCGCAAGUUGGGUGGUGGCCACCACUCCAGCAACCCCAUCAAUAUCAAGAACUCGUGGGCCAAACAUGAUCUCAAGAACAUCGCCGGGGAGACCUUUUGAUGGACACAUCAAUUAUCUCUCCUGAUACUUCUCGUUAAAAAUAUCUUUCUAGUUCUAACGCACGGGCAUAUGUGCUAGUGAUAUAUAAAAUAUGUUGUGCCAAUGAGCACACGGGCUAGCGAGACUCGCCAUGCUUUCAUGUCAUACCGGAGUCCAAACACUCAACUGGAGGGUCCAACCUUAGCGACAGAGUCUUCUUUUGUUGGGAGAAUCUAUAUAUCCGCGAGUGUUAUAUCUCGCAUCUGGUUUACGCGCAGUGCACCUAACCACUAGGCUUUGCCUUACAUUCAUGACAGAGUAGUAAAGCUAGAUUGUUUAAGUCCACACGAGUCAAGGUUUUCAAUGUUUCUUCUCCAUUUUUUUUCAUUUUUUCAUUUUUGUUUUUAUAUUUAUUUCUGUCGGGUUUGUUUGAUCCCUUUCGAGGGCAUAAUAGAGGAACCACACCGUGGUGAUGUGGAUGGGUUUAUAGAUACCAUCACUGUAGGGGAAACGAGGAAGGUUUUCGAUGCACGAAUCACUAGCAUACAUUUUCAUGUUUUACGCUAAUUUGCAAUAUUUGCUAGUCGUUGCUUAAUUGGUUGCGGAAACUGUGGAAACCUUAGUGUUCCUGAUAUUAUUAUUUUGUUCCACGGUUUAUUCUGUGAUAACUCUAUUAGUAUGGGCGGUAUUAUUCCUAAAUGGUUAAGUCUGAACUGUACAAAGGGCCCCAUCUUUGGAGGCAUCUAUGCUUCACACCUAGCUGCGCAUUUUAACAUAGCUAUUAGGCAUUAUGAGAAGGAAGAAAAAUUGCUACCCCCUGUUUAUUUAGAUUAUAAUAGUAUGGUGGCACAUGAUUUUAUUGUUAAGAAUAAGGAAGGGGAGCUUAAAUACAAAUUGUUCUUUGAUAAACAUCAUCCUGAGACUAUUACCCUGCCUGCUCCUUCCUUGUUUGAUUUAUCUGCAGGCAAGUACCUCGUUCCAUUAGAGGCUAUUCACGCCUACCGAAACCCUACAUCAGCCAUAGAGCCAGAGUCGGAACCACAAGUUGAUUCUCCAUGACAGUCUAAUUACCAUUGGGAUCCAGAAAUGAUUGCCACCAGUGGCAAUCAGAGUCUUCUUCGCAGUACGACCCCAACUAUUACUAUGGAUAUCCGCCAGGCCAGCCGUGGCCAUAGACCAACUUAGGUCAAAAGCCUAAACUUGGGGGAGUACGUAUUUCCCGCCGACAUUACAUUCAUGUUCGCACACUCAUUGCUAGAUGUCGGUGCUCAUACUUUUUCAUUGUAUCAUCCAUACUAGUUCAUUUCCUUUUUAAGCUUUCUUCUUGUGUGUUUAAUAAACCUUAAGAAAAACCAAAAACAUUAGUUGUAGCUUUUAGCUAGUUUUAAUUUCCAUGCUCGUAGUAGUAAUUAAAAAGAAAACCCAAAAAAAAGAUUUCAUGUUCUUCUUUUGCUUGUUGGGAGCUUUCCCGUGUAAAUAGUUUUAUUUCUUUUCUUUUCUUUGGGGGUCGAUAGGAGAAGACCAUGAUUAAAUUGUUGAAGUGGCUCUUAUAUGUAUUUUUGUUGAUCUGACAAAAGAGCCCAUAUUGCCUCGACUUCUCCUGUUUAUUGAAUGCUUGCAGAUUCCAGCUUAGUCCAAUGCACGUGCACUAUUAUUAUUAUCCACAUCAUUCGGUCGUGCAAGUGAAAGGCAAUUAUGACGAUAUAUGAUGGACUGACUGAGAUGAGAAAAGCUGGUAUGAACUCAACCUGUCUUGUUUUUGUAAAUAUGAUUAGUUCAUCGUUCCUGAUUCAGCCUAUUAUGAAUAAACAUGUUUGCAAUGACAACUAGAGAUCAUAGUUUCUUGUGCCAUGCUUGAUUAGCUAGGAGCUUAUAAUGGUUUACCUUGCGUGCCAACAUGCUAUUAAAAUGGUUGUGAUGUGGUAUGAUAGGGUGGUAUCCUCCUCUGAACGAUUCGAGUGGCUUGACUUGGCACAUAUUCACGCAUGUAGUUGAAACAAAAUCAACAUAGCCUCUACGAUAUUUAUGUUCAUGGUGAAUUAUAUCCUACUCAUGCUUGCAUUCGGUGCUGAUUAAUUUUAAUGCAUGUUUAUGACUGUUGUCGCUCUCUAGCUGGUCGCUUCCCAGUCUUUUGCUAGCCUUCACCUAUACUAAGCGGGAAUACUACUUGUGCAUCCAAUCCCAUAAACCCCAAAGUUAUUCCAUAUGAGUCCACCAUACCUACCUAUUUACGGUAUCUACCUGCCGUUGCAAGUAAAUUUGUAUGUGCCAAACUCUAAACCUUCAAAUAAAUAUCAUGUUUUGUAUGCUCGAAUAGCUCAUGUAUCAACUAGGUUUGUCUGUAUCUUUCAUGUUAGGCGGGUUAUUCUCAAGAGGAGUGGACUCCGCUCCUCACUCGCGAGAAAAUGGCUGGUCACCCGGAUGCCUAGUCCCAUGCUUUAUGCAAAUCAAAUCAAAAUAAUUGCAAACAAAAUUGCCCCUGGGACUCUUGUUAGUUGGAGGCACUCGUUGUUUCGAGCAAGCCAUGGAUUGAUGCUUGUUGGUGGAGGGGGGGUAUAAAAUUUUCCAUUCUGUUUGGGAACCGCCUAUAAUGUGUGUAGCAUGGAAGAUAUCACCAUCUCUUGGUUGUUAUGUUGACAAUGAAAGUAUACCGCUCAAAAUAUUAUUUACCUCUAUUUCAAAAUCGAGCUCUGGCACCUCUACAAAUCCCUGCUUCCCUCUGCGAAGGGCCUAUCUAUUUACUUUUAUGUUGAGUCAUCAUCCUCUUAUUAAAAUGCACCAGUUGGAGAGCACCGUUGUCAUUUGCAUUCAUUACUAUUAUUUUACAUUGAAUAUGACUUGACUGGAUCUCUUUUACCAUGAAUUACAAUGUCUAGUCAGUCCUUGAUCUUUAAAGGUGCUCUACAUUUAUGUUUUGCGGUCUCAGAAAGGGCUAGCGAGAUACCAUCUUGUUAUAUCAUAUCAUGAUUGUUUUGAGAAAGUGUUGUCAUCCGAGAUUUAUUGUUAUUGCUCGCUAGUUGAUUAUGCCAUUGAUAUGAGUAAACAUGAUACAUAAAUGUUAUUGGAAUAUGGUUAGUUCAUAAUCUUUGCUGAAAACUUGAAUGCUGGCUCUACAUAUUUACAACAACAAGAGCAAACAGAGUUUGUAAAAGUUUUUCUUUAUCACUUUCAGUUUAUCAACUGAAUUGCUUGAGGACAAGCAAAGGUUUAAGCUUGAGGGAGUUGAUACGUCUCCGUCGUAUCUACUUUUCCAAACACUUUUGCCCUUGUUUUGGACUCUAACUUGCAUGAUUUGAAUGGAACUAACCCGGACUGACGUUGUUUUCAGCAGAAUUGCCAUGGUGUUAUUUUUGUGCAGAAAUAAAAGUUCUCGGAAUGACCUAAAAAUCAAAGGAGAAUUAUUUUGAAAUAUAUAAAAAAUAUUGGAAGGAAGAUCCACGUCAGGGGGGCCUCCACCUGUCCACGAGGGUGGAGAGCGUGCCCUACCCCCCUGGUGCUACCUCUUGAGCACUGCGUUGGUUUUCCCUUGAAGAGGAAAGGGUGAUGCAGUAAAGUAGUGUAAGUAUUUCCCUCAGUUUUUGAGAACCAAGGUAUCAAUCAAGUAGGAGAUCACGCUCGAGUCCCGCGCACCUACACAAACAAAUAAGAACCUCGCAACCAAUGCAAUAAAGGGGUUGUCAAUCCCUUCACGGUCACUUACGAGAGUGAGAUGUGAUAGAUAGGAUAAGAUAAUAUUUUUGGUAUUUUUAUGAUAAAGAGAAAUAAAGAUGCAAAGUAAAAUAAACAGCAAUAGAAAUAACUAAGUAUCACCUGGGCGCACCCCCCUGCCUCGUGGACCCCCUGACGCUCCACCGACCUCAACCCUGACUCCAUAUAUUCACUUUCGGGGAGAAAAAAACCAGAGAGAAAGAUUCAUCAUGUUUUACGAUAUGGAGCCGCCGCCAAGCCCUAAACUCUCUCGGGAGGGCUGAUCUGGAGUCUGUUCGGGGCUCCGGAGAGGGGAAUCCGUCGCCAUCGUCAUCAUCAACCUUCCUCCAUCACCAAUUUCAUGAUGCUCACCGCCGUGCGUGAGUAAUUCCAUCGUAGGCUUGCUGGACGGUGAUGGGUUGGAUGAGAUUUAUCAUGUAAUCAAGUUAGUUUUGUUAGGGUUUGAUCCCUAGUAUCCACUAUGUUCUGAGAUUGAUGUUGCUAUGACUUUGCUAUGCUUAAUGCUUGUCACUAGGGCCCGAGUGCCAUGAUUUCAGAUCUGAACCUAUUAUGUUUUCAUCAAUAUAUGAGUGUUCUUGAUCCUAUCUUGCAAGUCUAUAGUCACCUACUAUGUGUUAUGAUCCGGCAACCCCGAAGUGACAAUAAUCGGGACCACUCCUGGUGAUGAUCGUAGUUUGAGGAGUUCAUGUAUUCACUAUGUGUUAAUGCUUUGGUCUGGUACUCUAUUAAAAGGAGGCCUUAAUAUCCCUUAGUUUCCGCUAGGACCCUGCUGCCACGGGAGGGUAGGACAAAAGAUGUCAUGCAAGUUCUUUUCCAUAAGCACGUAUGACUAUAUUCGGAAUACAUGCCUACAUUACAUUGAUGAAUUGGAGCUAUUUCUGUGUCACCCUAGAUUAUGACUGUUACAUGAUGAACCGCAUCCGACAUAAUUCUCUAUCACCAAUCCAUUGCCUACGAGCUUUCCAUAUAUUGUUCUUUGCUUAUUUACUUUUCCGUUGCUAUUGCUAUCAUCACUAUAAAACAACAAAAACAUUACUUUUGCUAUCGUUACCUUUUGCUACCGUUACCACUACUAUCAUAUUACUUUGCUACUAAACACUUUGCUGGAGAUAUUAAGUUUCCUGGUGUGGUUGAAUUGACAACUCAGCUGCUAAUACUUGAGAGUAUUCUUUGGCUCCCCUUGUGUCGAAUCAAUAAAUUUGGGUUCAAUACUCUACCCUCGAAAACUGUUGCGAUCCCCUAUACUUGUGGGUUAUCAUUGCUCCUGCAGCGGGUCUUGCACCUAGCGGUGCUUCUAGGACGUAAUUCUUCUGUGUAGCAAUGAGGAUAAUUCUCAAGUUAUGGACCCAGUCCGUGUAGUUGCUACCAUCAUCUUUCAACUUAGCUUUCUCUACGAACGCAUUAAAAUUCAAAGGAACAGUAGCAGGGGCCAUUGAUCUACAAUAACAUAGACAUGCAAAAUACUAUUAGGUGCUAAGUUCAUGAUAAAUUAAAGUUCAAUUAAUCAUAUUACUUAAGAACUCCCACUUAGAUAGACAUCCCUCUAGUCAUCCAAAUGAUCACGUGAUCCAUAUCAACUAAACCAUGUCUGAUCAUCACGUGAGAUGGAGUAGUUUCAAUGGUGAACAUCACUAUGUUGAUCAUAUCUACUAUAUGAUUCACGCUCGACCUUUCGGUCUCAGUGUUCCGAGGCCAUAUCUGCAUAUGCUAGGCUCGUCAAGUUUAACCCGAGUAUUCUGCGUGUGCAAAACUGGCUUGCACCCGUUGUAUGUGAACGUAGAGCUUAUCACACCCGGUUAUCACGUGGUGUCUCGGCACGAUGAACUAUAGCAAUGGUGCAUACUCAGAGAGAACACUUGUACCUUGAAAUUUAGUGAGAGAUCAUCUUAUAAUGCUACCGCCGUACUAAGCAAAAUAAGAUGCAUAAAGGAUAAACAUCACAUGCAAUCAAAAUAAGUGAUAUGAUAUGGCCAUCAUCAUCUUGUGCCUUUGAUCUCCAUCUCCAAAGAACCGUUAUGAUCACCAUCAUCACCGGCUUGACACCUUGAUCUCCAUCGUAGCAUCGUUGUCAUCUCGCCAACUAUUGCUUCUACGACUACCGCUACCGCUUAGUGAUAAAGUAAAGCAAAAACAAGUGUGAUGUCCUCUACUUUGUUGUUGCAAGUUUUACGUGGCUGCUACGGGCUUCUAGCAAGAACCGUUCUUAUCUACGCCUCAAAACCACAACAAUUUUUCGUCAAGUGUGUUGUUUUAACCUUCAACAAGGAUCGGGCGUAGUCAAACUCGAUUCAACUAAAGUUGGAGAAAUAGACACCCACUAGCCACCCGUGUGUGAAGCACCUCGGUAGAACCAGUCUCAUGAACGCGGUCAUGUAAUGUCGGUCUGAGCCACUUCAUCCAACAAUACCGCCAAAUCAAAGUAAGACGUUGCUGGUAAGAAGUAUGACUAUUAUCGUCCACAACUCAUUGUGUUCUACUCAUGCAUAUAACAUCUACGCAUAGACCUGGCCCGGAUGUCACUGUUGGGAAACGUAUUAUUUCAAAAAAAAAUCCUACAAUCACGCAAGAUAUAUCUAGGAGAAGCAUAGCAAUGAGCGGGGAGAGUGUGUCCACGUACCCUCGUAGACCGAAAGCGGAAGCAUUUAGUAACACGGUUGAUGUAGUCGAACGUCUUUGCGAUCCAACCAAUCCAAACACCUAACGUACGGCACCUCCGCAUUCAGCACACGUUCAGCUCGAUGACAUCCCUCGAGCUCUUGAUCUAGUUGAGGCCGAGGGAUAGUUCCGUCAUCGCGAUGGCGUGGCGACGGUGAUGAUGAAGUUACCGGCGCAGGGCUUCGCCUAAGCACUACGACGAUAUGACCGAGGUGUGUAACUGUGGAGGGGGGCACCGCACACGGCUAAGAGAAACUUGUGUCUUUGGGGUGCCCCCUCCCACGUAUAUAAAUGGAGGGAGGAGGCCGGCCCAAGGGGGGGCGCCACAUGUGGGGAGUCCUACUAGGACUCCCUUGUCCUAGUAGGAUUCCCCUCUCCUUUCCUUUUACGGAGGGGGAAAGGGGGGAAGGAGAGGAGGGGAAGAGGGAAAGGGGGGCACGCCCCCUCCCCUUCCUAUUCGGACUCCACUUGGGGGGGACGCGCACGCCUCCCCCUUGUGGGUUGUCCCCUCUUCUCUCCCAUGGCCCAUAAGGCCCAUGAUUUCCCCCAGGGGGUUCCCGUAACCUCCCGGUACUCCGAAAAAAUUCCCGAAUCACUCGGAAUCAUUCCGAUGUUCAAAUGCAACCUUACAAUAUAUGAAUCUUUACCUCUCAACCAUUUUCGUGAUCUCAUCUGGGACUCCGAACAAACUUCAGUCAUCAAAUCACAUAACUCAUAAUACAAAUUGGCAUCGAACGUUAAGUGUGUGGACCCUACGGGUUUGAGAACUAUGUAGACAUGACCGAGACACAUCUCCGGUCAAUAACCAAUAGCGGAACCUAGAUGCUCAUAUUGGCUCCUACAUAUCUACGAAGAUCUUUAUCGGUCAAACCGCAUAACAACAUACGUUGUUCCCUUUGUCAUAUGUAUGUUAUUUGCCCGAGAUUCGCUCGUCGGUAUCCUCAUACCUAGUUCUAUCUCGUUACCGGCAAGUCUCUUUACUUGUUCCAUAAUGCAUCAUCUGGUAACUAACUCAUUAGUCACAUUGCUUGCAAGGCUUAUAGUGAUGUGCAUUACCGAGAGGGCCCAUAUAUACCUCUCUGAUACACGGAGUGACAAAUCCUAAUCUCGAUCUAUGCCAACUCAAGAAACACCAUCGGAGACACCUGUAGAGCAUCUUUAUAAUCACCCAGUUACGUUGUGAUGUUUGAUAGCACACUAAGUGUUCCUCCGGUAUUCGGGAAUUGCAUAAUCUCAUAGUCAUAGGAACAUGUAUAAGUCAUGAAGAAAGCAAUAGCAAUAAAAUUAAACGAUCAUUGUGCUAAGAUAACGGAUGGGUCUUGUCCAUCACAUCAUUCUCUAAUGAUGUGAUCCCGUUCAUCAAAUUACAACACAUGUCUAUGGUUAGGAAACUUAACCAUCUUUGAUUAACGAGCUAGUCUAGUAGAGGCAUACUAGGGACACUCUGUUUGUCUAUGUAUUCACACAUGUACUAAGUUUCCGGUUAAUACAAUUUUAGCAUGAAUAAUAAAGAUUUAUCAUGAUAUAAGGAAAUAUAAAUAACAACUUUAUUAUUGCCUCUAGGGCAUAUUUCCUUCAGGAAGAGCAUUGCGGGUGGGAGGGAGAAGGGGAAUUAAGAGAGUGUAGGUUUCGGUUUGGGCCUCCGCGCGCUAUGUGUACACAUGUGUUGGUGGGUCAAUAGUAGUGGCGCCAGGUUUAUACCCCACACUACUACUAUGGCCUAUCCCGGGGGUACGAUAGAGACCACUUAGUAGUAGCGAGGGAUUUAUACCCCUCGGUACUACUAUCAACUUAGUACUAGUGAGGGAUUUAUACCCCUUGCUACUACUAUCAACUUAGUAGUAGUGAGGGAUUUAUACCCCUCGAUACUACUAUGGCCAGUCCCGGGGGGCACGGUGGAGACCACUUAGUAGUAGUGUGGGGUUUAUACCGCUCGCUACUACUAUCAACUUAGUAGUAGCGUGGGUUCUAUACCCCUCUCUACUAAUAAUUAGCAGCAGUGUGGCCCAUAUACCCCUUGCUACUGUUAAGCAUCUAUCUAUAAAUUAUUUUCUAGUAGUGCAUCAAUGGCGGCGAAAUCAGUCAUUCUGCUUGUUUUCCCUACUAGCUCUCUGACGUCCAGAACAAGUUUACGGUCAUAAGGUGCAAUGCCCUUGCCUUCAUGAGUGACACGAUGACACGGGAACGGGCUUCCAAGCCUAUGGUGUCGCAUCGUGUCGUGGUCUGCUAAACUUAGUGGACGGAUGCUACUCCAAUAUCGGUUGAUCCUAUACUACGGUACCAAGGAAGACACGCAACUACUAUAUAUAUUUCUUCAAGUCAGUCAACACAAGUAAACUCUGGGAGUUCAACUGGUGCAGCUAUGCAAUGCUAAUGGAGACAACACAAUUCAACUUUAGCACUUCACACAUAAGAAAAACCACGUUCAAUGGCACACACCUUAGAGUGUACCUAUGGUGGUUGAAUGGGCUAUAAGAAAUGUGAGUCCAUGUGAAGAUGCCAAACAUAAUAACACGGCUAAUUACACAUGCAGUGGCAGCAGCAACAAGUGCGUGAAUUCAACAAAUGAUCUAGGGUACACAUGCAACGGUGUCCUUGAGUAUGACAACAACCCUUAUCUUCUAGACAAAUGCAUGGUAUGCUACUAAUUUAUUUGCUACAAAUUCCAAUGAAUUGUGUCCUUUGCUUUGUACAUACCCAAUUAUAAUAUUUUAUUAUGCUAAUACAAUGUAGCCUUCAAUUUAAACCAAGGUUUGCAUCCAUUAAUUAUGUUAGGUUCAUAUGACUUCACUACAUAAAUAGGUAGAUAAUGCAUAAGACUGAGAUUGUAGCUAGGGAUGAAAAUCUAAAUACGGCAUGAAUCUAACAAUUAUGAGUAAUGUCUUUGUGACAAGAACUUUCUUUGUCUUUUAUUCCCAUGUUUGAACUAGUAUAGGUCAGGGUUACACAUUAUGGUGCACAUCACUUUAUUUGUCACCGUUACAUUGAACACCCAUUGACUAAACAACGAUAAUCCAUCCGUCUUGUAUUACAGGUCUUCAUUUCAUUGGCCACCGAUGCUUGUAAGACUACUCCCAGAUGGUUGUUGUUGUGGAUAUGGUUGUUGAGGUUGGUGUGGUUGCUGGGGGAAUGGUUGUUGGGGUUGCUGGGAAAUUGUUUGUUCUAGUUGCUGGGAUAAUUGUUGUUGGGGCUGCAAAAAUGGUUGUUGUGGUUGCAGGAUGGAUGGUUGCUGGGGUUGGGGCUGGGGAAAUGAUUGUUGUGAUUGUUGGGGUUGCUGGGAAAAUGGUUGUUGCGGUUGAAGGGGGAAUGGUUGUUGUGGUUAUAGAGGGAAAGGUUGUUGUGGUUGUUGAGGGAAUGGUUGUUGUGGUUGUUGNNNNNNNNNNNNNNNNNNNNNNNNNNNNNNNNNNNNNNNNNNNNNNNNNNNNNNNNNNNNNNNNNNNNNNNNNNNNNNNNNNNNNNNNNNNNNNNNNNNNNNNNNNNNNNNNNNNNNNNNNNNNNNNNNNNNNNNNNNNNNNNNNNNNNNNNNNNNNNNNNNNNNNNNNNNNNNNNNNNNNNNNNNNNNNNNNNNNNNNNNNNNNNNNNNNNNNNNNNNNNNNNNNNNNNNNNNNNNNNNNNNNNNNNNNNNNNNNNNNNNNNNNNNNNNNNNNNNNNNNNNNNNNNNNNNNNNNNNNNNNNNNNNNNNNNNNNNNNNNNNNNNNNNNNNNNNNNNNNNNNNNNNNNNNNNNNGAAUGGUUGGUGGGGAAUUAUUUGUUCUGGUUGCUGGGGAAUUAUUUGUUCUGGUUGCUGGGGGAAUGGUAGUUGGGGUUGGGGAAAUGGUUGUUGGGGUUGCUGGGGGAAUGGCUGUUGUGGUUGCAGAGGGAACGAUUGUUGGGUCUGGGGAAAUGGUUGUUGUGGUUGCCAGGAAAAUGGUUGUUGGGGCUGUGGAAAAGGUUGUUGUGGUUGUUGGGGUUGCUGGGGGAAUGGUUGUUGUGGUUGUAAGGGGGUCGGUUGUUGGGGUUGGGGAUAUAAUUGUUGUGAUUGCUGGAGAAAUUGUUGUUGGGGUGUGGAAAAUGGUUGUUGUGAUGGAUAUGGUUGCUAUGAUGGAUAUGGUUGUUGUGGAUAUGGCUGUUGUGGAAAUGGUUGUUGUUGAUGGGAAAAUGAUUGUUGAGGUGAUUGUAACUCUUUGUUGCUAGGGUUUAGCUGCCUAGCGGCAAUGGCGGUGUUCAUCGCCAUGGCAAGGAGGACAAAGAUGAGGAAGGUCUUCAUGUUGGAUUUGUGGUUACUACUGCUUGCUUGCCUUUGAUGCUUGUGGUCUAGGUGUGUGAAGUUUGGUUGAUGGAAGGUGUCCUUGGUGGUGCAUGUGUAUUUAUAGUUUUCAUGGCAUGGCUUGCUUUCAUCUUUGCACUCGCUCUUUGAAAAAGUGCAUCAAUGCUUAUCCAACUAAUCAUUUGGUUUGUUGUGUUUGGUGCAACUACUUACUAGUGAGAUUUUGGAUUUUCAUGAUAGUUGCUUUUUGUUGAAAUCAUCUGGUUGUAAGGAAUGUUGGAUAAUGACCAAUGACUCAUCUUCUUCACUUUACACUGCAAACAUGGAUCUAGAUUAUGUCCCUUUUUGAAAUUUAGUUUGUGGAGCUCUACAUGUUGUUAGGCUUAUCCAUAUUGGCAUAGCUUGUGUGGAACUAAGUUUGUAAGCUUGUGUGCGUCAUUAUGAUGGAUCACACUAUUAAUGUGACGAUUGUUUUAGAAAUUAUUUUUCCAAAACUAACUUUAUGUUUUUGCCCAAUAUGAUUCUAAGACGGAUAACCAUACAUGACUCAUCAAAUAACAAGAUAAACCGAGUAGCAAGUUGGGGGUUAUAAGUUAUAAUAUGGACUUUUCUCUAAGAUACACCAUCUUGUCUUGCAUGCUCUCUGGAUUUGAAAAGCAUCUACUAAUUUAGAUGCAAUUGAAACAAAAGUAGACUAAAAAGGUAAGCAAUGAAAUGAGAAUACUAUUAUGUGAAGCUCUACAUGUCUGGUAAGCAGUAAAAUACUGGAUACAUCUAUAUCUUCAAUCCUUUCAUCCCUAUCAACUCUUUAUUGGCUGCUUUUAUCGUAGUCAUCCCUUAAAUAAAAAUCACUUAAAGAUAAGUUUGGGAGUUAGUACCAACAUCUAUCAUGUACAAGAUAGAAAACUAAGGCACAUAUAGUAGUCUAUUGACCAUAUUUAAUUUCUUGUGAUGUGAAAGCAUGUGGAGUAUAAGUUGGUUAAAUAUAAAGUUGUCCUUCAUACCAGUAGGGAAAGAAUAUGCAGUAUAAAGAUUAGAGCAUUGGACUAAUAUGCUAUUAAAUGCUACAGGAUAAUCGACAGUUCAAGUUAAGAAAAACAUUAGCAUUCCAACUUUUGUCUUGUGCAAGUUAAGAACAUGCUAACAAAGUAACCUAAGAAAAUAAGUGCAAAACCUUCACCUAUAAGGAAAUUGUGAAACUACACAAAAUGACCUAUUGUAAAGAAGGAAAAAAAUCUAAAGGUGAAUGAAAGAACGUUAAGUACAUUCAGGAUUUGGUUAUGCCUUCAUGGAUAACCUUUUAGAUGGUGACUUGUCAACGUUGAUGUGUGUCGGCAUGGAACGAGGACAAGAAGACGUCGUUGCGUCGUACUUUGGGAAUUUCAUCAAACUGGUUGUGUGCGGGAACAAAUAUUUGUCGCCUCCCUGCUCAAAUCUCUCUUCAUGUCACUGAAUCCGACACUCCAUGAGGGAGUCCUGGAUUAGGGGGUAUCUGGAUAGCCGGAGUAUAUCCUUUGGCCGGACUGUUGGACUAUGAAGAUACAAGAUUGAAGACUUUGUCCCGUGUCCGGAUGGGACUCUCCUUGGUGUGGAAGGCAAGCUUGGCAGUACGGAUAUGUAGAUCUCCUUCCUUGUAACCGACUCUGUGUAACCCUAGCCCCCUCCGAUGUCUAUAUAAACUGGAAGGUUUAGUCCGUAGGACAAAGAACAACAAUCAUACCACAGGCUAGCUUCUAGGGUUUAGCCUCUUCGAUCUCGUGGUAGAUCAACUCUUGUAAUACUCAAAUCAUCAAGAUCAAUCAAGCAGGAGUAGGGUUUUACCUCCAUCGAGAGGGCCCGAACCUGGGUAAAAACAUCGUGUCCCACAUCUCCUGUUACCAUCCGCCUAGAUGCACAGUUCGGGACCCCCUACCCGAGAUCCGCCGGUUUUGACACCGACAUUGGUGCUUUCAUUGAGAGUUCCUCUGUGUCGUCAUCGCUAGGGCGGAUGGCCCCUUCAAUCAUCGAUAGUGAUGCAGUCCGGGGUGAGACUUUUCUCCUCGGACAGAUCUUUGUAUUCGGCAGCUCCGCACUACGGGCCAACUCGCUUGGCCAUCUGGAGCAGGUCGAGAGUUACGCCCCUGGCCACCAGGUCAGGUUUGGAAGCAUAAACCACACGGCCGACAUCCAUGGAGACUUGAUCUUCGAUGGAUUCGAGCCCUUUCCGAGUGCGCCGCACGGUCACGAUGAGCAUGAUUUAGCUCUACCAUCGGACAGUGUUCGGGAGAUCGCACCGGCGACCGCUCCGACCCUCAAUUCGGAGCCAGUUGCGCCAUCCAAGGAUGGGUGGAUAGACCCCGCCACGGAGGCCGCAUCUUCAGCAGCGAUCGAGCCAAAUACCGACCUUACCCUUCACGGGAGCCGUGACGCUGAACUGUCGGAUUCUUCCCCGGCCAGGGACUCCGAACCGCCUGCGCCCGUGCCUAUCGAAUCCAACUGGGCGCCGAUCAUGGAGUUCAACUCCCCGGAUAUCUUUCAGCACUCGCCCUUUGGUGACAUACUGAACUCAUUAAGGUCUCUCUCCAUGUCAAGAGAGUCCUGGCCGAACUAUGGCCGACCAGAUCGGGAUGCGGACGACGAAGAAAUUCGCCACCCACCCACCACCCACUUAGUAGCCACUAUCGACGAUUUGACCGACAUGCUCGCCUUCAACUCUGAAGACAUCGACGCUAUGGACGACGAUGCAGGAGAUGAACAGGAGCCACUGCCCACAGGGCACUGGACGCCCACUUCAUCAUAUGAUGUAUACAUGAUGGACACACCCAAAGAAAACGACGACGAGGAACGGAAGGACGCAGUAAAGGAUCGUUCCCUCGAGAAGGAAUCAAAGCGGUGGCGUAAGCGCCACUCCAAAUCCCGCCUCGGCAGAAACAACGAUCAUAUAGACCCAGCGAUAGAGCAGGGUGAGCCAGCGGACGACAAACACGGCAUUGAACCACCGUCCGACCACGGCAACACGGAGAAUCAAACCGAACAACCCGUCUCCGGCGAAGAUAACAGUCCAGACGACAUCACACCGGACAAGCACCCGAAGCAACAGAAUACCCAUCAAAGGCUUGUCGCCACUGCGAGGAGUCUGAAAAAGUAGAAGCAAAGGCUCAGGGCUGCGCAAGAUACACUCAGAAUUAGAUGGAGUAAAGUACUAAGCACUGCAGCAAAGUACGGCGGUAGUCGCCACACAAAGAGCUACCCGAAGCGAAAUAUGCUACCUGAAUUCGAUGAUGAGGCCUUAGAUCCCCCGCAAUCAAAAAACAAAACAGCCAUCCAGGCGGAUAGACGACCUCGUGGCCAACAUAGAGCGGCAAACGAUGCCACACACAAGCCAGUACGCGAUCCACGUGAGGGCUCGCAUCAAAAGGACGGCGCAACCAGAUCCAUCUACGGGCCAAGCAAGCGCGCUCCAGCAUGCAAUGCAACACAACAAAAAUCCGAACACCACGGUACACCCAAAUACAGGGGUGCCGCACACCCCCUAUGUUUCAUCGAUGAGGUGCUGGACCAUGAAUUUCCAGAGGGAUUCAAACCCGUAAACACAGAGGCGUACGACGGAACGAUAGACCCUGGGGUCUGGAUUGAGGACUACAUCCUCCAUAUCCACAUGGCUCGAGGAGACGAUCUCCAUGCCAUCAAGUACUUACCCCUCAAGCUCAAAGGGUAAGCUCGGCACUGGCUUAAAAGCCUCCCCGAAAACUCCAUUGGAAGCUGGGAAGAGCUCGAGGACGCUUUUCGGGCAAAUUUUCAAGGGACCUAUGUCCGACCACCGGAUGCAGACGAUUUAAGUCAUAUAACUCAACAGCCCGGAGAGUCAGCCCGAAAGCUUUGGAACAGGUUUCUCACUAAAAAGAACCAAAUAGUCGACUGUCCGGACGCCGAAGCCUUAGCAGCUUUCAAGCACAGCGUUCGAGACGAAUGGCUUGCCAGACACCUCGGCCAAGAAAAGCUGACAACAAUGGCAGCAUUAACAAGCCUCAUGACCCGCUUUUGCGCGGGCGAGGACAGCUGGUUAGCCCGAUGUAGCACCAGCGACCCAAGUACAUCCAAAGUCAGGGACAGAAAUGGGAAGCCACGACGCAGCAAAAACAAGCGCCGGAAUAAAGAAGACAGCCCGAAGAGCACGGCGGUAAACGCCGGAUUCAGAAGCUCUCGGCCAGGUCAGCAAAAGCUGCCCUCCAAAGGCAACAGAGACGAACUGUCCAGCCUGACCAAGAUUCUGGACAAACUAUGUCAGAUCCACAGCACCCCCGAUAAACCUGCAAAUCAUACCCAUAGAGAAUGUUGGGUCUUCAAGCAGUCCGGCAAACUCAACGCCUAACACAAGGGGCAGGAUACACCAAGUGAAGACGAGGACGAGCCUCGCAAGCAAAGCAUUGGGGAACAGAAGAAAUUCCCACCAGAAGUCAAAACAGUAAAUGUGUUACACGUGAUGAAGGGGAGAAACAAAGCGGCACUCCUAGAGACACAUGCCCCAGGUCUAUCACCGCGGAGUUCUGCCACUGGUCGUCCAAACCGAUCACCUUUGACCAUCGGGAUUACUCGGCAAGUAUCCAGCAUGCAGGAUGGGCUGCCUUGGUGUUAGACACGAUAAUUGACGGAUACCACUUCACACGAGUCCUGAUGGACGGCGGCAGUAGUUUAAACCUGAUAUAUCAGGACACAGUCCGCAAAAUGGGGAUAGACCCAACAAAAAUCAGCCAUAGCAAUACUACCUUUAAAGGAGUAACGCGAGGCCCAGAAGACCAUUGCACGGGCUCCCUGCUACUAGAGGUUAUAUUCGGCUUUCCCGAUAACUUCCGCAGCGAAAAGUUAACCUUCCACAUCGCUCCGUUCUAAAGUGGCUAUCAAGCACUACUCGGACGCGAAGCUUUCGCUCGCUUUAACGCAAUACCGCAUUACGCUUCUCCCAUGCUUAAGAUGACCGGUCCACGUGGCAUCAUUACAGUAAAUGAAAAUAUUGAGUGCUCCUUGCGCGUGGAAGACCGUGCGGCUGCCUUGGCAGCCGCACACUAGACAGCCUCACCAACUAGAGCAUCUGACAGGUCGUUAAGACCACGGACACGGUUAGACGAGUCCAAUGUAGCUAUAUAUAAUUAAUACAGGUUUGAUGGCUAUACCCCUACAACAAUACAAGGGGCUCAACGCGUGUAAACAAGUGACAAUUAGGCUCAACUUUACUCAACUGGAACUAUACAUGGUUUAUUUAGUAUAACCUACCUUUUGCACGACAACUUUUCAACUAAGUUCCUCUCUUUUACAGAUGACCAUCGUGCUACACCCGUCCAGGAUACGGCACAACGAAGACACAGGCGCAGACGGGCAGCAGGGACCCGUCCCAAGGAUUCUUUUUAGAUUAAGACCCUACGUAAACCUUUUUUACUGUCUCUUGUUGAUACACAUCCCCCGGAUUCUCAAUAUAACUGAGAAGGAUGCUGACAUAUUGGCAUGUGGCCACGUCAGAAUAUUGCAUGUACCUGGACACCAGGGGCUUACUACAAAGAGCAUUGUUUAGCCCGGUUUACAUCAUAAAGACCGUAUACCUUAGGGAGUGUUCGGCGUCGCGAGUUUGGCCUUAUAUGCAUCAGCUUCGAAUCAUCUUUGGUCAAAUGUUGGGUUUGCUCGGCUCCUGUGUUUUGCUGCCUUACGUUCCGCUCUAUCGGCUAGGGCGGCACCAAGAGAACUACUGCGAUUGUGUCAUGGUUCAUCCGGACGAGCACCUCAGUAGAGAAAGCCGAAAACUGACUGUCAUGAUAUAGCGUGAGACUGGUCAAUCACUUGAUGACCUAGCGGAAUCUUCGGGAUUCCUCCGCCUUAACGAAGGGACGUUUCCCGUCCAGGCAUGUACGCACCCCGAAUUUGAAUGAGCGCGGAGCCACCAGGGGCUAUAUAGUAGCCCCACUAUCAAACUCCUCUAGCUAAGUGAAAGUGUUAAAGCAUUAUAGUCCGAUUGCCUAGUUCGCUGCGCUAUCACCUCCUUAAUGGACCAAUACAUUGGAGCAAGUGUGAACAUGCGUCUUCUGCGAGCACCCCCACAUUAUAUGUGUGGGGGCUGACUUUCAGGUUAUAUACAUAUAUACAUAAACGGCCGCACAGGAGGCAUCAUAGUACUUUUGGGCAAAAGUAUAAAUACAGCCUUGAUAAACUCAAUAAAACAUUGUUUUUACAAUAGGAAUACAAUGUCACUAGAACAUAAUAUUCUUCGAGCACUGAGCCUCUAUCGAACGAGCACCUUCAAGGACUUCCUCAAAGUAGUGCUCAGCAGCCACUCGGCCUACGGCCGAACCCUGUGUCGCAACAGUGGUGGCUUCCAUCUCCGCCCAGUAUGUCUUGACAUGGACAAAGGCCAUCCGCGCACCCUCUAUGCAUGCCAAUCUCUUUACAGCAUCGAUGCGUGGCACAACACCAAGGAACUGCUGCACCAAACUAAAAUAAUUGUUCGGCUUUGGCCUUUCCGGCCACAGAUGAUCCACAACAGACCUCAUGGCGAGUCCGGACAGUCUAUUCAGCUCGGCCCAUUCGGUCAACCGAUCAGUCAAUGGAAGCGGACACUCUGGAACGUUAAAUUGUGACCAGAAUAGCUUUUCCACUUCGCGAUCUUUUUGAUCUCGGAAGUAUUCGGCUGCAUCAGCAGCACUCGCCGCUAAGUCCAGAUAUGCAUCUACAGAACUCCACAGCCGGUCCAAAGGGGCGUACCUAGGAUCUCUGAACUUCAUCUGCAGCAUAAAGGGCUUCCCAGCCGCGAUAUCCCCGGCUUGACGCAGCUCCUCCUUCAUCGCUCUCAUUGCAGAGCUGGUGUCUUUGGUCGCCAUCGUGGCCUUCUCCAGGUCUGUCCUCUUCGCUCGAUCUUCGUAUUCAAGAAUCUCGUAACGGUCAGCGGCAUUCUUCAAUUCCACAGCCAUCCUGGCUAUUUCCUCCUUGCUUUGACAGUGAGUAGCUUGUUCGGCUUUCAGCUCCUCGAUUGCCUUUAGGGCAGCCGCAUCGCUUUUCCUGGCUUGUUCUUUGGCUCGGGAAAGUUACGCCCGAAGGUUCUCCAUGGCCGCAGCUUCAUCUGCAUUCACACAUAUUAUAGGUACUGACAUCAUGCUCCUCUUCCCAUGUGUCACUGGAGGAAUCACAUACCCUGUGCCUCGUCAAGCCGCGUGUUGACAAGUACGAUGUCGGCGUCUGCCACGCCAAGCUGCCGCUUUAGCUCAGCAAACUCAUCAGUCCGGCUGGCCACCGGACCCUCCGCCACCUGCAUAUUAAGGCGGCACGAUUAUUCCUGGGACUAUGAUCCUUUGUGCGAUGUCGUCUUCGACACCACCCAGAGUCUCAGGGGCUACUAUCUACACAGGGCACAUCUAAAAAUGUGGGGUACUGUCAAAAAUAUACAUCAUUUCGCGUACCUCAAAACCCGUCAGUAGACUCAUAAAGGCUUCAUGCAACCCACUUUCGGCGGACGAAAUCCUUUCAAUCACCGUACCCAUCAACGUGCGGUGCUCUUCUGAGAUAGCUGCUUGCUCUAGCAGAUCCCUCAGUACGUUCGACCGUACACCAGACGGUGCCGGACUCUUUCGAUUGCCUUCUUCAAGAGCCGGAUACUGAGGACUUCGGGUGGCCAUAGGAUUACCUUCUGGCCUUGCCAGAUCAGGAGAAACCCUCCACGACGACACCUCGGGGUCGCCCACCUCAUGAGGCGGUAUGGCAGGAGGAGGCAUUUCACUCUCCAUCAUCUCUGGAAGAAGAUCCCCUAAGGACGAGCUCUGCUAAGAAGGGCUAAGAUCCGGACUGCAAGAUAAAUGCUUCGGUUAUUUUCCUCAUAAGUAAAGCGAGAUAUUUUCAUUAUUAAGUACCCUUUUACUUACGGCUCGAUGGAGGGCUGAUCCCCUUGAGGGCAUAGUGCGGUCAGGGUAUCCCCCAGGGCAGGACCCUCCAGCGAAGAUUUCUUCCCCCGUUUGGAGAUCAUGGUCUCCGGGUCCUCAGAGGCGGUCCUCUUCCUUCCUUGGGGAGAGGAAGUUUCGGUUCCUCCUCCCCGGUUAACCUCCUUCGCGGAGGCGCUANNNNNNNNNNNNNNNNNNNNNNNNNNNNNNNNNNNNNNNNNNNNNNNNNNNNNNNNNNNNNNNNNNNNNNNNNNNNNNNNNNNNNNNNNNNNNNNNNNNNNNNNNNNNNNNNNNNNNNNNNNNNNNNNNNNNNNNNNNNNNNNNNNNNNNNNNNNNNNNNNNNNNNNNNNNNNNNNNNNNNNNNNNNNNNNNNNNNNNNNNNNNNNNNNNNNNNNNNNNNNNNNNNNNNNNNNGAUAAGGCGCGAUCUCCAGCAUCCUGGUUAGCACGGGAUUUGGUGAUGUCUCAGGGAGGGGGCCAGACACCUGAUCAACUUUGCCUUCGCUAUCCAAUCCUGGUCAAAGAGCGGAUUUUUUAGGGCGACGUUGUGAUAAAUAAACGGACAGUGUGUUCGGAUGUGGGGCUACUUACUUGGGUAUCCAGGCGAUUGCAGCUCAGACCUGCAUCCUCAGUGAUGUCCGGACACAUUAUUUGUGGUCCGAAGAACAAUUUGUACAUCUCCUCGGGCAUCAUGCCAAGGAAGUGUUGAAUAGCUCGCGGUCCUUCCGGGUUGAAUUCCCACAUGCGAAGGGGCCGGCGUUUGCAAGGCUGGACUCGAUGAACUAGCAUAACUUGCACUACCAUAACCAGACUGAAAUCUCUCUCAAAGAGAUCUCAGAUACAACUUUGCAGUAUUGGCACGUCCUUGGCUGGACCCCAGCUCAGCCUCCUGUUGAUCCAUGACAUCAGUUGUGGUGGGGGGCCUAAGCGAAAGGUGGGGGCAGCUACCCACUUGGCACUUCGGGGAGCUGUGAUGUAGAACCACUCCCGCUGCCACAAUCCGGACACCUCUGGGAAGCUACCCUCGGGCCAGGGAGCGUCAGCGAUUUUGCUUAUUAAAGUGCAUCCGCACGCUGCAUGCUGCCCCUCGAUCAUCUUCGGCUUCACAUCGAAGGUAUUGAGCCACAGGCCGAAGUGAGGGUAAUGCGGAGGAAGGCCUCACAUACGACAAUAAAUGACGAAAUGUGAAGAAGGGAAUCCGGGGCCAGAUCAUGAAAAUCUAGCCCAUAAUAGAACAUAAGACCCCUAACAAAGGGAUCCAGAGCGAGGCCUAGUCCUCGGAGGAAGUGGGAGACGAACACGACGCUCUCGUUGGGUUCGGGAGUAGGGACGACCUGCCCUCGGGCAGGCAGCCGAUGCGAAAUUUCGGCGGUUAGAGAUCUGGCCUCUCUCAACUUCUUGAUGUCCUCCUCCAUGAUGGAGGAAGGCAUCCACCGACCUUGAAGGUUGGAUCCGGACAUAGUUCAAGGUCCGAAGAACCUGACCUGAGUUUUGGGUGUUAGAACUCGAGGCGGGGGAAGGAUUUGAUUGAGCACGAGAGGGAAAAAAGAAAAGGCCUUGUCCCCUUUAUAAAGAGGGUGAAUAUCAAGCGCCCUCCUCGUGGCCGUUUGGGACUUGCCUAAGAUCUAGGAGUCUUACCAAUAGGCACGGUUGGUUUACCGAUGUCCGUAUUGAUGAGAAUCCCAUGAUAAGGGGGACACGAUCUCUGCUUUGACAAGACGUGCCAAGGAAACCCCCUCGCGAAACACGCUGAGAUGGGUUAUGAAAAACAAUUCGAAUAAAGACCUGGUUGUGGUGUGAUGUCACACUACGGGGUACGUCAGCAGAUUAGAUUUGUGGAAAUAUUAUUCUCUCUGCGGUGGUAUGUGGAACUCGUUUUGCAGAGCCGGACACGAUCCUCGUGUUCAAGAUCUUCUAUGAAGUAUUCGGAGGAGGAACCCGCCUUGCAAUGCCGAAGACACUGUGCGCUGGACUCAUUGUCAUUGAAUCCUGGUUCAGGGGCUACUGAGGGAGUCCUGGAUUAGGGGGUAUCCGGACAGCCAUACUAUAUCCUUUGGCCGGACUAUUGAACUAUGAAGAUACAAGAUUGAAGACUUCGUCCCGUGUCCGGAUGGGACUCUCCUUGGCGUGGAAGGCAAGCUUGGCAGUACGGAUAUGUAGAUCUACUUCCUUGUAACUGACUCUGUGUAACCCUAGCCCCCUCCGGUGUCUAUAUAAACCGAAGGGUUUAGUCCGUAGGACAAAGAACAACAAUCAUACCAUAGGCUAGCUUCUAGGGUUUAGCCUCUUCGAUCUCGUGGUAGAUCAACUCUUGUAAUACUCAUAUCAUCAAGAUCAAUCAAGCAGGAGUAGGGUUUUACCUCCAUCGAGAGGGCCCGAACCUGGGUAAAAACAUCGUGUCCCACGUCUCUUGUUACCAUCCGCCUAGACGCAUAGUUCGGGACCCACUACCCGAGAUCCGCCGGUUUUGACACCAACACUCCACCUACCAAAACCAGCUGCAAGCCAGGGACAAUCAACAGGUUUCUCCGCCCGUAGCAUCUAUCACCAAAAGAAGUUCAGACUAUAGUCUUGUAGUUCAAAAUUUUGUAAUAACAAGCACUACUAGGUUGCUUUUGUUUGUACCUCUUCAUUCUGUACAACCCAUGGAACUAAAAAUGCAUUGGUCAUUCUUUGGUCUAUACAACCAAUGCAACCAAAAAUGCAUUGGGCUUUUCUUUGUACAUCUUCGGGUUCCACAACCAAUGCAACAAAAAAUCCAUUGGGCAGUCUUCCAUUCUAGUCGGGCACCAAUAGUUAAACGAGGAGCUAAACAAUGUUGGAGUCUAAAACUACAUACAAUCAUGAAGCAGAGAGAGGCGACUUGGAAGAUGUGCUCCUGUGAGCUCAUAUUUUUUUAGACAAAAAGUAAUAUUUGUAUUUUGAAGUGGGAAAAAUCCUAAAAAGGGAUGUUUUGCGGGUUAUAACUUACUAUUUUGGGUCCUGGGAUGCAGGAAGGUCGUAAAAAAUCAAUGUGUUUUCCCAUUCAUGCAUGUUUCUUGGGUUAUAGGUCACGCUUUUCGUGUCCUAGGGAGAUCACUUCCCCGGUCAAGAACAUUAGGUGAUGAUUUUUAGCAAAACUCAUUGUUUUAGCCUAACUAGUUUCGAGGAUUCGUGGAUGAGAUUAUCAUGGAACAAAGUGACAACCUUCCUUUUCUUCAUGCCUAAUAUAAACUUAGCAGUCAGCUAAAAGUAACUAGCGAUAUCACAAAAUGUUUUUUGUCAAAAGUAGAUACCACUUUAGGAUUCAACUCCGUUAGUUCAAUCACAGACAUGUUAAGAGCAGGAUUUACAACUAACUGCAUAGGGAACAUCUCCUUUUAUCGCCCACUAUCUGUAUUCGCACUUUGGUUUUCCCGUAGCAACACACAAAGCACUUUGUUAGUGCCAAUAAUGUGCUCCAACUCUACAUACUAAUCAUCUUGAAUUCUUCUACUGAUGUCGAACAAUGUUAUAUCUUGAAUUCUUCUAACGAGUUCGGAUUAGACUACAUGGGCAAUUUAUCUGGUCCCUGAGAUGCAAGGUCGAUGAACAAUCGCUUCGUCUUAUGACAACGGAUUGUGUUUGCCUAAGAAACCAAUACAUAUAACUUCGACACCAGAUUAAUAAAUGGUAAAACCUAAAUAAAUUAGAUCACGAGCUAAACCAUUUACUUUUGUAUGCAUUUAAACUUUUGAUACAUAUAAGCUUGUUAAGAUGUUCGCAUAAAUACCAUGGUGAUUUGAAGCAAGACAAAGUAAACUUGAACCGCUUGAGCCAUUGACUUAAUAAGAACCUCCUUUCCCAUGGCAGAGAUUGUUUUUAAUACAUCCACUCACUUUGGCCCAUAGUUUGUCUUUGAGAUACUUAAAAGCACUAGACAUAGAAUUGCCAAUAUUAGAAGGCAAGCCCAAAUAUUUCUCAUUUAGUGUUUCUACUUGGACACUGAGACCACCUUUGACCUCAUUUUUGACAUUCUCUGUACAAUCCUUGCUGAGAAACACUGAAGGCUUCCUAUUUAUUUAUUCUUUGACCUAAAACUUGAUCGUGUCAUGUUUACUUAUUCUCCAGCCGAUGAAUAUGCAAGCUUCGUUGCGUCUUGCCUUGGUCUUGCACUGCUUGCGGCACAAUACGCCUUUGGAACUGUCGUUCCGAAUUCAGAGUGCCGAAGGUGGUAUGACGAUGUUGAGAUACCGUACAUGUUCGGUAGUGAUUCGGGUUGAUCAUUCAGAGUAGACUUUGACAAUAGCUGCAAGGACAAGAUUGCAUUAGGGAGCCUUUCAAGUACACCUUAGAGGUGCUCAGCAUCUUCUUGAUGAACAACAUGGUCCUAGUGUUGAAUAAUAUCAUAUGGGGUAGUUCUACAACAACUCCACCACAAGCAUGGAGGAAUUUAGCAAAUUCCAUCAGUACUAGGAAAAAGCCCAGUAGCAACGCAGGGUAAAGGACUACUAGUAGCGCGGGUGCCCACACUAUUACUAGGGCGCUACAGCUAACUAGUAGUAGUAGCGCGGGUGCCACCCUGCGCUACUACUAUGUCUGUUAGUAUAGUAGCGCGGGUGUCACCCGCACUACUACUAGUUAUCUGUAGCCCGGGUCUGACCCCGCGCUACUACUAACUAAUAAGGAAUUAAAAAUAAAUUCCAUCUGUGGUUGCUGCUGCUGGGCGUCAUCGUCCUCUCCGUCCAUGGCUGAUGUUGGUCCUGGAGGGGAUGACGUCGUCCAUGGUGAUGGUACUUCCUCACCCAAAUCGUCCCCACACCUCUCCUAUGCUAUUGCUACAAAAUAAGAGAAAACGAUUAGAAGAGGAAGAGAGAUAUUGAGAGGAGUAGGAGGAGCAACUGACCAGUGGCCGCCGGAGUUGGAGCUGAUGCCCGAAACCCUAGACGAUGCCCGGUGACCCGUUGCUUCUUUUCCGGGGACCUCAUGUCCUCACAAGGCCAUGUCUCAGCAAGGAAGUGCAAGUGGUUGCGUGGCAGAUCUGUCCAUCGCCAUUGGUGGCGCUCUGCUGGAUCUCCCUCUCCUUCUAGCACCGGAGAAGGAGGAGGAAGGAGGCGAAGGUGAGGCGUAAGUCAGUGGCCCAAACUUUUUAUAUAGAUGAGCUUCUUAAGAUGCUCGCAUAAUCCCCGUGGUAAUUGGAAGCAAGACAUAGAGUAAACUAGAACUGCUUGAGCCACUAACUUAAUGAGAACCUCCUUUCCCGUAGGAGAUAUCAUUUUUUCAAUCAAUCCAUUCACUUUGUCCCAUAGUAUGUCUUUGAGAUACUAAAAAGCAGUAGAUUAGAAUUACCAAUAUCAUAAGGCAAGCCCAAAUAUUUCUCAUUUAGUGUUUCUGUUGGACAUUGAGAACACCUUUGACAUCAUAUCUAACAUUCUCUACACAACCCUUGCUGAGAAACACUGAAGACUUGCUAUUAUUUAUUCUCUGACCUGAAACUUGGCAAUAGGUUUGACACAUCUGUCGCCCCUGAAACAUUUGCCUUGAAAAACAGCAGACUGUCAUCUGCAAAUAACAAGUGGUUAACUGAUGCCACCAAAGGAGCUACUUGGAUUCCAGUAAACUGGGAUGACUAGUCUCUAGAUUUGAGGAGGCUCAAAAGGCCAUAUACUGCUAACAGGAAAAUCAAGGUGAAUUGGAUCUCGCUGCCGAAUACCACGGGUAGGUUUGAGCUCAUCAAGUUUCUUGCUCUUGAAUAAAAUUGAAUAAGAUACAGAAGCUACCAUGCUCAUUUCUAUGGAGGCCCAUUUAACAGAGAAUCCAAACUUGAGCUUUAUCACCUCCAAAUACGCCCAUUCAACUAGAUUAUAAGCCUUCAUCAUAUCCAAUUUUAGAGUACAAUGGCGAUGUUACAAUGACUUAUUCCUUUUCAUGAAAUGUAAGCACUCGUAGGCCACGAUUAUAUUGUCAGUGAUAAGGCGACCCGGAACAGAAGCCGACUAUUCACUCAAUAUUAUCUCCGGAAGGGCCCCUUUUAGCCGGUUAGCCAGAACUUUGGGUGUUAUUUGUAAAGUAAGUUGCAUAGGCUAAUACGACAGAACUGGCUUAGGAAAGUACCAUUUUGUACCUCAUCACUAUCCUCGCCUUCCACAAUACAAAGGACAACCCUUGUUACCUCCUGGCUGCAAAUAUCCCAAUGUUUCUCAAAGAAAUGUUCAGAGAAUCAGUUCGGGCCCAAGGCCUUCAUGCGGAACAUUUGAAACAAUACAGUUUAAACCUUGUUGUAGAAUACUUAGCGUCAAGGAAGGCAUUCAUCGCAUCACUGACCUUUACUGGAACCAAGUCAGGAAAGUCAUACAUAUUAGAAACAGUCUCAGAAGUGAAAAGCUCCGAGUAAAACUAUGUUGUGAUCUCUUCCAAUUCAUUAAGAACACUGAUAACAUCACAUUAGGUUGCUACAAUGAUUUGGUCAAAUUAUUUCGCCUUCUCAUCGAAGCCCUUAAGUGAAAGAAGCAUGUGGUCUUGUCCCCACUAAUCAGCCACUUAGUCUGAGAUCUAGUAGGCAAGAUGAGUGACGGGGAAGUGGUUCGGAACAAUUUCCUUUUAUUCACUUCUAAAACAAUUUUUCGGUUUUUGUCGUUCCUAAGCCAGGGAUUUGAUAAAUAGUCAUAAAUUUUUAAAAUGUUCACCAAUAUUAGAAACAUCAUGAUUUAAAAAAACAUGAUUUUUAAACAAAAUGAUAAAUAUGAAAUUUGCCAAUUUUUUAAAUUAUUCUCGAAAUUUUAAAAUAAAAUCAUGAAUUUUGAAAGAAUUUUCAAAAUUUUGAUAAAUAUCUGCGAAUUUUACAAAUUUGAUGAAUUUUAGAAACAAACCAUAACAAAAAAAAGCUAGCAAGUUCGAUCCUAAAAAAAUGCCUUUCCUUCUACUAUGCGUAGCGUGCAUGGACAGCCCGACCUAGACGCCCCAGACCGAAAACCCUACAUCUGGGCCGGGCCGGGGCUCCAUUUUUUGGCCCAAAGCCCAGCCCAAAAAGGCAGAAAUGGUAAGAAAUGUAUGCUUUAUUCAAAAUAUAGGUAUAUUAUAUUAUUUUAAUAUCUCAAAUAACUAUUUCAAUUGAAAAAUGUCGUUGUUCAUGUGUUUCUGGACGGGCCAGGCCAGGCUCAUCCUUGGGAUUUUGGCUUCGGGCUUUGACAAGCCUGGCCCGGGGUAUGAUCAGGUUCAGCAUGGCCCAGUCACACACCCUUGUACAACAUUUUGUUGUAGAGAGCGGCAAAUAUAAUUUUCCCAAUCUAAUAUUGCUUGCUAUAAGUCUAUAUCUAUACUUUUUUCUAUACCCCUACUAAUAAAGCAAGGUGCGUUUCGCCAAGUUUUUCAUCCAUUCACUUUCGAAAACAAUUAUGUUUUCUAUCCGAGGUGGUCCGAAAUUCUUAUGCGUUCAUCUGCUAAAAGAAAGGCUUUUCCGGAAUUUCUUAGGUGGGCUGCGCGCUAUGGCCAGUAAAGUCAGUCCACUUAUUUUUCUGCCCAUGCAGCUGCGAAAAUUCUAUUUUCCGUACAAGGCAAGAAAUAGUCGGCACUUCGCACUGGAAAACAAAUAAUGGGCUAGCCCAUUUUUCUUUGUUUAUGUGUUUUAUUUCUAUUUUUAUUCUCCUUCCCCUAUUUCUUUUUUCACUUCCAAGUUUAUUUUUCUUAUAGAAUUUAUUUAAUAAAUUCAAAAUUCUCAAAAAACAUAGAGAAUUUUAAAAAAUAAAAUAUGGAAAAUGUUCCUAACUCCAAUUUUUUGCUAUUUUAAAAAAUAUCAGAACUUGAAAUUUUUUUCCUUUUUCCGAAAAUUUUAUUGUUUUUAAAAAUUGUUAGAGAUUUCUAAAAAAAAUGGAAAUUUAAAAAGUCCUCCAAAUUCGAAAAAAAUCAUGUUUUAGUGAAAUUUUCACAAUUCAAAAUAUUGUUAAAAAAUACACAUUUUAAAAAAUUAAGGAUUUUCGAUACAUGUUCCUGUUCUAAAAAAUUGUUGACAAAUUCAAAUAAUGUUCAUGUUUUUAUUUUAAAAGUUUGUGUUUUCAAAAAAAAUUGUAAAUUUUAAAAGAUGUUCCUAUUUCAUAUUUUGUUCAUGUUUUUCUGAAAGUGUACCUAAUUUUCAAAAAACUGUUCAGGAUUUAAAAAAUGGUUCAUGUUGCCUACAAUAUUCGGAAACUUCAUACCUUAAAAUCUCCUCGAUUAAAGGAAAAAUACAUUGAAUAAUUCAUGGGCAUUCUCCGGUGUACGAUGACGUAGCAAAACUCUUAAAUGCCCUCAAUCAAUGAAUGGAAAAAUAGCGAAUUGAUUACUUCACACCCGGCGAAACAAAGAAGCUAAAUGCUCCCUUUUUACGUGCACAUAGGGUUUUGUUUGCACAAAUAAUUCUCACUAACUUCAAAUCCAUACUAAUUUUUCUCCCAUUGCAAAGCACGGGCAUAUGUACUAGUUACUAAUAAAGCAAGGUGCGUUUCUCCAUUAUUUUUCAUCCGUUCACCUUCAAAUAAAUAUGUUUUAUCCACGGUGGUACUAAAUUUUUUUGAGUCCAUCUGCUACAAAAAGGAAAACAGUUUUGUCAAAAAUUUCGUACGUGGGCCGCGCGUGCUGUGGCCCAGCGAAGCCGGCCCAUUUAUUUCCGGCCGAAGCAGCUGCGAAUCCUUAUUUAACGCUUGGGGCGGUAAAUAGACAAAGUUUGGCAUAGGGCGCCCAAUAUUUGGUCGGCCCAUAUUUGUUUUUUCUCUAUUUCUUUUCUUUUUUUUCUUUUCCUUUCUCUUUUUCUUCUCUCUUUACUUUUUCUUUUUUACCUUUCAAGUUUAUUUUUCUUUUCUCCUUUUUCAUAAAUUAAAUUUUUCAAUAUUUCAGAAUUUUAAUUUUGGAUUAAAUUUUCGUAAAAUCUUCAUAAUUAUUUUUUGCCCAUUUUGAAUUGUUUUUAAACUAUAUUUUUUUCUUCUUCUUCUUCCAAAAUUUAUUCAAAACUAUAGAAUAAAGUUUGCAUAUUAAUUUUUUUAUGCUUUCCAAAAUUGUUUGAUAUUUACAAAAUAUAUUGCAUUAAAAAAUUAAAUAUGUAUAUUUUAUUGAAAUGUUCAAAAAUUCAAAGUAAUGUUUGUGUUUAAAAACAUGUUUUUCAAAAUUCUUUUCAAUGUCCAAAACAUGUUUUCAUUUUUUAAAAAAAUCAUGUAUUCAAAACAUGUUUGCUUUGUUAUAAUAGGUUCAUAUUUUCAAAAAACGUAAAUUUCGAAAAAUUGUCACAUCUUAAAGAAUAUUCGAAAUAUCGUAAUUAUUACUUUAUUUUUUGAAAAAAAUCAAGAAAAACAGAAAAAAAAAUUGUAUGUUACGCUACAGUAUAUUUUUAAACUUUCGCCCUGGCCAUUUGUUAGCAUGAGCUGUUUGUUCGAGUGGCUAGCAGCACGUGGUCGAGUUUUUGAGGUCAUGAGUUUGAUCCUUCAACUCAGUAGUUGUUUUGAAUUUUUAUUCACGCCUUACAAAUACAAGUCAUUUUGGUACCUGCCAGCGGCCUGGCCAGACUCGAACUGUCGUGCAUCCGACGUGCUAUUUGACGAUAAAAGAGAUUAUGUUACUUGACUAUAAUUAAAAAAAUGUGGGCACAUGCCAAUAAAAGAGGAUAUGCUGGUUUGGCUCCGAUUAAAAAAAUGUUGGCAAGUGAGCGUCGAAAUAAUUAAAGAGAAUAAACGCUGGCAAAGUAGGGGCUACCUGGUUACGUGCUUAUUAUACCAAAGAAACGGGAUUUCCUGCAAUUAGUACUUCAUCUGGUUACACCAUCAUAGGAGAGAGUAGUCGAAGCAACUAUGUCAUGAAGGUCGCCGUGCUGCACAAAAUGAGGAGGCAACCGCAACCUAGACACGGAAGCAGACUCGGAGAAAAAAAGCGCAAGUUGGGUGGUGGCCACCACUCCACCAACCCCAUCACUAUCAAGAACUCGUGGGCCAAACAUGAUCUCGAGAACAUCGCCGGGGAGACCUUUUGAUGGACACAUCAAUUAUCUCUCCUGAUACUUCUCGUUAAAAAUAUCUAUCUAGUUCUAACACACGGGCAUAUGUGCUAGUGAUAUAUAAAAUAUGUUGUGCCAAUGAGCACACGGGCUAGCGAGACUCGCCCUGCUUUCAUGUCAUACCGGAGUCCAAACACUCGACUGGAGGGUCCAACCUUAGCGACAGAGUCUUCUUUUGUUGGGAGAAUCUAUAUAUCCGCGAGUGUUAUAUCUCGCAUCUGGUUUACGCGCAGUGCACCUAACCACUAGGCUUUGCCUUACAUUCAUGACAGAGUAGUAAAGCUAGAUUGUUUAAGUCCACACGAGUCAAGGUUUUCAAUGUUUCUUCUCCAUUUUUUUCAUUUUUUCAUUUUUGUUUUUAUAUUUAUUUCUGUCGGGUUUGUUUGAUCCCUUUCGAGGGCAUAAUAGAGGAACCACACCGUGGUGAUGUGGAUGGGUUUAUAGAUACCAUCACUGUAGGGGAAACGAGGAAGGUUUCCGAUGCACGAAUCACUAGCAUACAUUUUCAUGUUUUACGCUAAUUUGCAAUAUUUGCUAGUCGUUGCUUAAUUGGUCGCGGAAACUAUGGAAAUCUUAGUGUUCCUGAUAUUAUUAUUUUGUUCCACGGUUUAUUCUGUGAUAACUCUAUUAGUAUGGGCGGUAUUAUUGCUAAACGGUUAAGUCUGAACUGUACAAAGGGCCCCAUCUUUGGAGGCAUCUAUGCUUCACGCCUAGCUGCGCAUUUUAACAUAGCUAUUAGGCAUUAUGAGAAGGAAGAAAAAUUGCUACCCCCUGUUUAUUUAGAUUAUAAUAGUAUGGUGGCACACGAUUUUAUUGUUAAGAAUAGGGAAGGGGAGCUUAAAUACAAAUUGUUCUUUGAUAAACAUCAUUCUGAGACUAUUACCCUGUCUGCUCCUUCCUUGUUUGAUUUAUCUGCAGGCAAGUACCUCGUUCCAUCAGAGGCUAUUCACGCCUACCGAAAUCCUACAUCAGCCAUAGAGCCAGAGUCGGAACCACAAGUUGAUUCUCCACGACAGUCUAAUUACCAUUGGGAUCCAGAAAUAAUUGCCACCAGUGGCAAUCAGAGUCUUCUUCGCAGUACGACCCCAACUAUUACUAUGGAUAUCCGCCAGGCCAGCCGUGGCCAUAGACCAACUUAGGUCAAAAGCCUAAGCUUGGGGGAGUACGUAUUUCCCACCGACAUUACAUUCAUGUUCGCACACUCAUUGCUAGAUGUCGGUGCUCAUACUUUUUCAUUGUAUCAUCCAUACUAGUUCAUUUCCUUUUUAAGCUUUCUUCUUGUGUGUUUAAUAAACCUUAAGAAAAACCAAAAACAUUAGUUGUAGCUUUUAGCUAGUUUUAAUUUCCAUGCUUGUAGUAGUAAUUAAAAAGAAAACCCAAAAAAAAAUUCAUGUUCUUCUUUUGCUUGUUGGGAGCUUUCCCGUGUAAAUAGUUUUAUUUUUUUUCUUUUCUUUGGGGGUCGAUAGGAGAAGACCAUGAUUAAAUUGUUGAAGUGACUCUUAUAUGUAUUUCUGUUGAUCUGACAAAAGAGCCCAUAUUGCCUCGACUUCUUCUGUUUAUUGAAUGCUUGCAGAUUCCAGCUUAGUCCAAUGCACGUGCACUAUUAUUAUUAUCCACAAAAUUAAAUUUCAUAAAGAGAAAAAAUGAAUGGUACGAAUACUUUUUAAAAUUAGGUGAUUUUUUUACAUUUUCAUGAACAGUUUUAAGAAAUGUCAUGAACAUGUAUUAAACAAUUGAACCUUUUUUAAGACACAAACAUAUUUUUACAGGCAUGAAUAUUUUUUCAAAAUUGUGUUAAUAAUUUCUUACAUUUCAUAGACAUUUCUUUAAUACACGUUUAAAUUUUCUGGAGAAAUUAUUUAAAGUAAUUUUUUAAUACAGUUUUUUGAUAUUUCAAUAUAUAAACAAAAGAAAAAAUCAAAAAAAUAAAAAUAAAUUAACAAUUACCAGGUCACCCACUGUAGACCCUCAUUUAGGCGAGGCGAAUGCCUAUGUCUUAAUAAGGCGAGGCGCCAUCCAUAUCUCGCUUGGAACGAGAAGUACACACGCCUUAAAUAUAUACAUUAAAGUAUUUGUAUUUUAAAUAUUUAAUAAAUAUAUUUUUAUGUAUUGAAAUGUUUAUCAGGUAUUCAAGAAAUAUUUAUCAGGUAUUAAAAUGGUUUAUUCUGUUUGAAAAAUAGGAUAAUUUUGAUACUAUUUUUAGUAAUCAAAAUAAUAAGAUGCAGAGGUACAAAACUAAAAAAGAUAAAAUAAGAUUUAAAACAGAGCAAGUGGAAAAGGUUACAAAUCGAAGAAAGUUUUCUACCCAAAAAAGGUUUUUUUUUUGUUCUGACAAACUUGAAAAACCAUUGCGAACUGAUAAAAAAUGCUUUUCAAAAAAUCUUUAUAUACUGUUCAUUUUUCUGAAAGAAGUAGAAAAAAGAAUUGGACAAAAGAAAAGCAGGAAUGAGAGAACCGGAAGGAAUAGCGAAAACCAAACAAAACCCCGGUUCCUAGAAAAAACUGCAAUAAAAACCAAUGUAAGAUGCACAAAAUAAUCGAUGAAGAAAACCAAACAGUAUUGCGCCAGCCCGUGUUUGGUGCGGUUGUAGGCGAGCAUGACUUCGGACUCGCACUAGGCCAGAUAAGAAGGACCUUGAUAAGUUCCACACUUGUGGCAUGAACACAUGGCAACUCCGAACAUUUUAUUUGACAAGUUUAGUGACGCAAGGAUGACAACUUUAGUCAUCAAGCACGACAACUUUCCUUUGGGUUGGCAAGUUUUAGGGUUUUUUUUUCCUUUUCGGAUGACAACUUAGUUGUAAGAAACGUCAGUACCGGGGUGCUUUGUGCCACAUGUGUGGCACUUAUCAUUUGGAAAAAAGAAACCAGACAUAGCCUUUCCGCUUCUUGUCCACCUCAGCGACAGUGGAUUGGUUGGUUCCAUUGAAUCCUUUGCAAAUAUGAUUGAACUCUAGAUAUGAAGGCGAAACCGACGUCAGAUUGAUGUGAAAGGUUAGUAUUUGCGCACAUGUGAUUAACAAGCUAGAGGGGAAUUUGAAACAAAGAUUGCAAGCGUCCAAGAAGAAGAAGAAGAAACAUCUAUCCGUGUAAAGUGUAACAAAGGGAGCAGUACGUAUGUGGAAUAUUCUUGUCAUUGUAUUUGAAUUUUCUUAGCCAUCCAAGAUUAGAAUAAAUAAUUGCUAACUAGUAGGUGUGCGCGUGCGUAGAAUGGUGACCCCCACACGGACGCAAAGGGGAGACAACACACCUAAGGCUAGGUAGCACCUAGCUUCACACCACUGCAUAUUGCCUGCACGAAAAACUCAAGGCCAGCAACAAGGCUGCUUGAUCGUGGGACCAUGAAAAGCAUUUCCAUAACACAUUUCGUUGUUACCUCUCGAGCAUACGUGUAGCACACACCAAGGUUUACAAUGUCUGCAACAUGCAAAUUGCGGGCCUUAUCGACCAAUUUCAGACAUAUUUAUUUAUUUGGAUUUUCAAAAUUCUCUAAAUUUAAGUCUUGCUGGAAUUUGGCCGAAUAAUUCAAGGGUAAAUAUAUUCCGGCGCCCACCGAGGAAUCUACUGGAAUUUCGUCAAAAUUUCGGUCGAUGUCUGUUUACGUACAGUACAUACGGACGGACGGACAAACACAAAAGAAGAAUUGGUCCAUGUGAUGGGAAGAAGAAAAGAGAAAAUGAAAUGGGCUCUUGCAUUGGUAGUAACUUAGCAAGGUGGAUAAUGUUGUUGCAUGCUUGUGAAACUUGGAAUCCUUUUUGAAAAUCAACAUGAGAGAGUAGGUUGAGAUGUUGAGGUAAGUAACUAACUUACUUGCAUGCCCUACCUUCCUUUUUGAAUUUUGAGCAAGCCGCUAGCUUUGCUUCCACUGUUGGAAGUCCCCAAGCACAAAACUCAUGCACCCUACGUCCACCCCAAGCAACCCCUCUCCUCUCCAAGAAAUAUUCUUCCUCUUCUUCUUCUUCUUCUUCCCUCUCAGCUCGUCUCUCUAGCUUAGCAUGCAUGCGUGCUCCCGCCAUUUGAUCGUCAAAGCUUAUAUAUACACGGUACACCAGGCUCCUCCGACAAGACAAGAUCAUCCCUUCUCCCAUCCUUGCCCUCCUCCAUUGAUCCAUUCCUUCAAGCAAGAAACAAACAAACAAACAGAGCUCCACCGCCGAGAAACCUCCACCAAUGGCGACCACCAAGAAGAGGGAGAUGGUGUUCUUCGACGUGGAGGCGGCGCAGUCCCCGUCGCCGCCCGGCGAGUGCCGCCUGCUGGAGUUCGCUGCCACCCUCGUCUGCCCGCGCCGCCUCGUCGAGGUCUCCAGCUACUCCACCCUCAUCCGUCCCGACGACGUCGCCAACGACGGCAGUGUCCACCUCCCCUCCUCGGCCCCCUCGUUCGAGGACGUCUUCCCGGACAUCUUCGAGCUGCUGGACGGCCGCGUGUGGGCGGGCCACGGCAUCCGGCGCUCGGGCUGCCUGCGGGUGCGCGAGGCCUUCGCCGCCUUCGGCCUGCCCGCGCCGGAGCCCGUGGGCGUCGUCGACUCGCUCGACGUGCUCCUCGCGCAGGGCAGCUUCGGGCGGGCCGUCGCCGGGGACGACGGUCAGGACGAUGAGGCGGCGUCGGCGGCCCUGGCGGAGCACUUCGGGAUCGGCGCGCGGCGGGCGCGGGGGCUCCGGUGCCUGGACGGCGCCCGCGUGAGCCUCGAGGUGCUCAAGCACUGCGCCGGCGUGCUGCUGCUCGAAUCCAGCCUCCGCGGCGACGUGCCCGCCGGCGCCAGCCGCAGGAGCACGCCCACGCCUAGCAGCAGCAACAACAACAACACGUUGGAGAAGGCGUUUGCCCGCGCGUCGGCCAAGACGACGACGCCGGCGAAGGCGGCCACCGCUCCUACUCCUCCGUCUCCUGCUGCUGCUUCUCCGGCGGCUGUUCAGAAGGUGAGUACGAGCACGGGGAAGAGGGACAGCACGGGGAAGGUGGUGGUGGUGGUGAAGAAGGGAGCGACAGCGGCAACUGUGACGACAACGACGGCUACCGGAGGUCGCCGGGUGCGGCCGCCGGCGCCGCCGUUCAGCAUGAUCCUCAGGCACUCGAGGGCCGUCAUCAGAUGAGAUGAUGAUGAUACAACCAAUCAUCUCAUCUCACCACUGAUUAUUGCACAGCUUAAUUGUAGUUCUGAUCCAUUAAUUUAUUCACAUUUGCAUUCCUUCGUUCAUUUGUAAAUUGUACACACCUGUAAAUUGGCUAGGCUGUGUUCAUAGUUAUCCUUAACUCAGGUUUAGUUUGACAGCAAUGAUUGUUGUAACCAUCACCAUCAUCAUCAUGUUGUAAAAAGACAGUCCAUUUCAUUUUAUUUGUAAAUAAAUGAUGCAUUUCAUUUCAUUUGCCUCAAUCUAUGAAUAGCAAUUCAUCAUUCAUCUCUGGGUUUCUUGUUUCUGUUCUGUCUGAGUGGUUAGAUCAGGCUAUUCACAUGGAUUGUAUCUAGAGUAUUUUAUCCCCUUUGAUUCCUACCAUAAGAAUCGAGCCUAGAAAAAACAAGAAGCAAGAACAAGAACACGAAUUUGAGGCAAUUGUUGUUGUAACCAUCAUCAUCAAGAUGUUCUUCUCCCUCAAUUGGAGCAUCACCAAUUUGCUAAUACUGUAUUAUUAUUGCAAGAUGAGAUGUAACCAGUUCUUGUACAGGAGUAACAAGAAUAGCAAUUCAUCAUUCAAUUAUUGGUUAUGUUUUGUUAGGCUAUUCAUAUGGAUUGUAUCUCUUGAUGAUUCCUUCCUGGAGGUAGUUUUGUUUAUUUGAUGGUGAUUCCUAGGACAAGAAAAUAUUGAACAGAGACAAAACAAAAAGCAAGAACAAGAACAAACGUCUGUCUCAUCUUUGUCCAUCACCAUCGGCAUCAGAUUCAUCCACACCAACUAGAAUUGAGCAGCAUCCCAUCAACAUCCAAAGGAAAGACAACAAGAAUUCUUCAUCUCAUCUCACCCUUGCUUGGGACCAAACAAAACAACACUCCAUAUACAUAUAUAAAGUUUCAUUUCACUACACAUCAGCAUCAGCUUUGCAACAAACACCCUCCAAAGGGCAACAAGAAUUGAUAGUCUCUUGGCCAACAACACUUUGAUUUCAAAAGGAUACUAACAAGGCCAGACAAAGUACAAUUCAAGGGCAACACAAGAUUGUCCAUCUUUUGGCCCACAACACCUCAUUUGCUACAAUAAGAGGUUAACCAAAGCCAGACAAGGUACAAUUCAUGUUACAGCAGUAUUGUGCAUACAGAUUGGACCAAGUUCAUCUAAAAAUAAGGGUCCGUGAAAAUUACAUCGAGCCAAGAAGUGUGCACACAAAAGCCCCACCACAGGCUGCAAACACAAAAUGAACCAGGGCGGCUGAUGCUGCCUAAGAACUGUGUAAAGAAAACUAUAUGAUGACAGCUGAAUGUCAACAUCAAAAUUCACAGAUAGAUGCUAUGAUAAUACCACAGGAACAAAGAGGAUUUAAUAUAAUAAUAUAAUAGUUUCUUAAUUAUGCAUCUGAAUGCAGGGCAGACGGUAUUUACAGACUCUGAACACACCAUGGACUGGGACACUUGCUAGACUCUGAACACACCCAUGGACUGGGGACACUUGCUAGACACAAGACACACACACAUUACACAAGAUGUAGAUACAGGACACAACGGACGGGAGACCUCGCCUAUGUACAUAACCGAAAGCUCUCUGCGAUUGCGCAGUUUCAAAAGCGACAACCAGGCGGGCGACGAUGAGGACUCAACUCAACUCAACUAGAUAAACUCUGACUCGAAUAGGUACUACUAGCUUAGCUUAGGAUUAAAGGGACUAGCUGUAUCUCGGGGGCGGAAAAUUUACAUGUUGGGGGGGUGGGGUGCGGGUGCAAAAUGGCGCUAAUGGUCAAUGGUGAAUUGGUGGUAUGGCGAAAAUGCUCUCAGGCAAAGCCUUCAAUCCUCACUUUCGGGCUACUACUCGCCCCGCAAGACGGAGAGCCUACUUCAGCUCUUCCACCAAGCAUCUUGCUGAAUGGGCUCCCUAGAGGAGAAAAACAGGGGGUAUUCCUACCAAACUGCGGAUCAUUCACAAUGGGGUUGUUAGUGCGGACGGGAGGCGAGCCACAGAAAAAGCCCGCCUGGCCGUUGGAAUCGGUAUCAACAUCAGGGUCAUUCUGAAAGGCAAGAUACAAACAAUCUCGUAUCAGAUAUCAAUGAUGUGGUGCUGUAUAUGAUAAACAGGAACUGGCGAUUUAAAGCACCAAGGUUACCUUGCUGAGGAUGAGAUCAAGGAUAUCAGAGGCGGAGUCUGUUCUAUACACCGGUAGCGUCCUGCAAAAAUCAAAGCAACAUAGGUCAGACUCGCUUGAUUUGUCGCUACUGAACUUUUGUAACGGUACCCAGACGGUUAUGAAAUGUGCCGUGCAAAUGGUAUAUAACUCUAAAUUAUGUCCCCUGCCUACUUUGUCGGGACAUACAACCGUAUGCUGUUUGCAUACUAUGCCGUUGCAUGCUUAUGCUUCUAGUUAAGCAUUUAGUGUUGUCUCAUGAAAGAAGCUAUCGACCGUUAUAGCCUUAUAUGUCAAGUCUGUUCUACUUCACUAAUUUUUGUUGGUUCAAUUGAGGCAUGGUGUGCUCGCAAGAUGCAAACCCUAAACCAACUUUGUUGCCUACUUUGUCAUCGUACGUGCACGCUUUGCUGUCUGCAGGUUCUGAUAACGUGUGCAUGCUUCGCUGCCUUCCUAGCUUCUGGUAAGGUAUAGUUAGUGAUGUCCCAUGUAAUAAUCUCUCGACCGUUAUAAGCACCCUACAUCAUGUUUCUUUUCCCUCCAAAAAAAAAUCCUAGCUACCUUGCAUGCUUAUGCCUACUUGCUGCUGCACAAGAUUAAUAAUAGAGUGUACGCCUUAUUACACAAUCAUGAUUCUAACAAGAUCAUAUGCAACCUCGUAGCUGACUACGCUAAUACCACAUAUCAAUCAGCAAUUCAAGUUAAAUUAACUAAACACACAACAACAUGUAUGCAAGCAACUGGAUGAUGAUGAUGAUGAGAGAGUUACCACACCCACCCGUUGUUAGGCCUGGAGGUGGCCCUGCCGAAGGGCUCGACGGGGUGUGGAGGACGGGCCGGGCGUCGCGGCAGCGGGCAUAUGACCUCGAUGCGGGCCGGCUGUGCCGCCACGGCCACGUCCAUCUGCCAGAACCUCGACCUUCGGUCAGGCGCCGCCACCAUCAGGGGCUCUCCCCAGGGGCAGAGCUGCUGCUGCUGCUGCUGCUGGGUGGGCGUGGCCCCUCCGCCCGCGCUGAGCCUCAUGGUGUAGUGCUCCAUGCCUGCCUCCUUGCGACGUUCGGCCUCCUGCAACUGCAAGAAGAAGAAGAAACAGAGUAGUUGAUCAAGACGCAGGAAAUUUGUCUGUUGUUGGCAGCGGUAGAUUGCGCUGCGUGUAGAAUAGUAGUUGAUCCGCAGGUGAAAUCACGCACGCGUGCAUAAAAUAAGAAGCGGAUUCUUGCGCUGCGGAUAAAAUUAUUUUCUUGGUCAACAUGCAUACAUGGAGGAGGAAAUCUUGCACAUGGUGGCGGUGGUGGGGAAAGUGGUAUUUUAAUUUACUAAUUUUUUUGGAUACAAGUGUGAGCGGAUCUGCUGUUGGUGCGGGGGAAGCGUUAGGUGGGAUUCUUGGGAAAUCCGGGAGGGGAACCUCAGAUCCGCCCCGCUCGCGCCAGAAAUCGGCGGAGCGGGGAGCCGAGGACAAUGGAGGGCCGACAGGAAAAAUCCACGCAGCGGAGAAAUCGAAGAAGGUGGGAGGGUGGGAGGGGGGACAUGAAGGAGCAUGGAGAGAAGAAGAAGGGAACACUGAAAUUUGAAAAUCCAAGAGCGGCAUGGAUAGAUCCGGUUCAGAGAGAGGCGCUCACCGGGAAGGCGCUAGCAGAUCCGCCCCUGGACGCUCCUCCUUCUCCUCGUCGUCGGCGUCGUACGGUCUUCUUGUUCCAGGCCGAAAGAAACCCUACCUACCUACCUACCUACCUAGCAGCAGCAGCAGCAGCAGCACCUCCUCGCCAUGGCCCUGCCGCCGCUGCACAUGUAUUACCAAGGUGUGGGUCGGGUCGGGGCGGAGUGAAGGGGGUGAGGGGAGGGAGGGAGGGGGUCUGGCUGGCUGUUCCGGCCUUGCGACGGCCACACGCCCCGCGGCCCCUUCUUAUCGCGGCCUACACCGGAUGACACGUCACCCUCUUCCUGCCUGCGGUUUCUCUCUUUCCGCCCCCUCCUCCUCCCCCUCCCCCGCGCCCGCCCAAAGUAUACGCGGUUAAUACGAGCAAGCAAUCCUGUACAAUCAAUGCACUCCACUAUACAAAUACUACUCACAAAUGCAUAUACAUAUACAAACUUCAUCACUCCAUUAACAACUCCACUUUCGGCAGGCGGUAAAUACUCCACCGUCAAAUCAAAUCAAAUCAAAUCAAAUCAAAUCAUACACACACACACAUUGAUCCUCCACCAUCAAUGUGUGCAUGCAUUGCACACACACACAUCAUCAUCUCACAAAAAUUGUAUAUCUCCAAAGAUACGGAUAGCGCAUACAUUUCCACACAACACAUAUACGCUUCGCGCGCUUUCGAAACAAUAAAUUUAUGCGCGCGUGCCUUUCUAUUUUAUUCUAUAUAUGCCUCGCAUGCGCGCUUUUGAUGGGUACAUUUGUGUGUACGCGUGCGUGCGUGCGUGCGUGCGUGCGUGUAGGUUAACACCCACCGCGCAUUGUGCGUGCGGUGGAGCCAACGGCUCGAAAGCGAGGGUUUUGGUAUAUACGUCUGACUGACUUACUUACGCACUGCUAGUAUACUACACUAGUGGUGGUGCUAAACCGUUGCUUUCGCCCGCGGAUGAGCUGGGCACAAGUGUGUGCGUCGGUUUAUUCUAUUACUUCCAUGCCAUGUUGUUACCGGGAUUGUUUGUCGUUUCUUCGUUGACGGGGACAUCGCAAAACCUUCGUCUCUCCGGAGCUUUUCUUUCCUCUUCUAGCUAGGUACAAGCGGGUGGGCAUGGGUGGUUGCAUGUGUCGGUUACUACCAGGGUCGGUGGUGCGGUGUUUCCCUUCCCUCGUGCACAAUGAUGAUUGUCGUUCACUGUUAUUGCUUAUGUUCCCUGCCUUCUUAUACACUUUUUGUUGCACCUUGCGUGUUUUUGAAACUAAGCUCGAAAGCAAGGGUUUCGAACGUUCUAGGGUUGUGUGGUUGGUAUCACCUCUAGCCUAUUAGGGUUCUGGGGCGGACCAGUUAGCCUUCAUGUAGGCUUGCGUUGCGUCAUACACGUACUGAAACUGGGCUCGAAAAGCGAGGUUUUUCACCCGUCUACAAUCAUAGUGGAUAAUGGAUGUGUUUGUCGCAUAUGGAUGGAAACAUCUAACCCAUCUUGUCUAGGUUUUUUCUGACUAGGCAGAAACAACGGUUGCGCAUUCGCUUCACGCGUUCAUUGUCGCUAGUCUCGGUAAUGCGCUAUAUCUUCUUGGCUGCCCUUGCGACGGACGGCCACACGCCCCCCCCCCCUUCUUAUCGCAGUGGGAGCGGGCUGCAUCGGUUGACACGUGGGGGCGGCCACCUGGCCCUGGCUAUGGCCCGCACGUCACCCCCCUUUCCUGUCUGCGGUUUAUUCCUUCCGGGUAAACGACCGGGCCACCGCCACAGCCCCCGCGCCCGCCCAAAGUAUUGUACGCUCCUCCGAGGCGAUUAAUACUCGUCCUCUCUCAGUUUAUAGGGCGUGUGCGUACCCCUAGGCUAUCAAUUUGACCAACCUGAUACAAAUCAUAUAUUACAAAAAAUAUAUCAAUAUAAACUUUAGAUUUUCUAUUUUCAAACGGUAUAAUUUUUGUGUUAUAUAGUUUAUAUUAGAGUGAUAAAAUUGGCAACCUAGGUAUACAUGCAGGGCUUGUAAACUGAAACGAAGGGAGUACACGCAAUAUGUACAAUCAAUGCAGUCAGCCUAUACAAAUACAAAUGCAUAUAUACGCUUUCAUUAUUACCCAACUCCACUCUCAGCAGGUGGUAAAACCAUCAAAUCAAAUGCUACACACAAUCUCCCACCAUCAAUAUGUGUACAUAUCGCACACAAAUCAUAAUAUAUACUAUAUCACACACACAUCAUCAAUAUAUCACACACAAAUCAUCAAUCAAUAUAUGUUCCGCAAAAAAAUCAAUAUAUAUCAAAUGCCACGAUCUCCCACCAUCAAUGCAGUCUAUACAAAUGCAUAUAUACUCCAUAUAUACGCUUCCAUUAACAUCUCCACUUUCGGCAGCUAGUAAAACCAUCAAAUAAAAUGGUACAUACAAUCUUCCACCAUCAAUAUGUGUGUGUGUGUGCGCGCGCGUGUGUGUAUUGCACAUACAUAUCAUCUCAUAAAAUUUAUGUAUGUGUGUAUACUACACGCAUCCUCUCGAAAGAUAUGCUAUGCACAUACAUUUCCACACAGCAUAUAUACACUUUGGUGUGCGCUUUUAAAACAAAAAAAAAUUAUGCGCAUGUCUUGUGCUCUAUUUGUUUCAUGGGUAGGUUUGUGUGUACAUGUAUGUGUAGAUUAACGUCCACCACGUACGGUGGAGCCAACGGCUCGAAAGCGAGGAUUUUUGGAUGGCCUUGUACUAUGAUGUUGGUAUCUACGUCUGACUUACUUACGCACUACUAGUAUACUAGUGUUAAACCGUUGCUUUCGCACGCGGAUGCGCUAGGCACAAGUGUGUGCAAUGUUUAUUCUGCUACUUCCAUGCCAUGUUGUUAACGGAUUCGUUUGACGUUUCUUGAUGGACGGGGACAUCGCGAACCUUCGUCUCUCCAGAUGUUUCUUUUUCUUCUUCUAGCUAGGUAGAAGUGGGUGGACACGAGUGGUUGCACGUGUCGGUUACUAUCGGGGUCAGCAGUUGCGUCGUAUCCCUCCCUUCGUGUCGAAUGGUGACUGUCGUUAACUGUUCUUACUUAUGUUCCCUAACUUCUUAUGCGCUUAUGUUGCACCUUGCGUGUAUUUGAAACUGAGCUCGAAAGCGAGGGUUCCGAAGGUUUUAGGGUUGUGUAGCUGGUAUCAACUCUAGCCUAUCAGCGUUCUGGAGCGGACCAGUUAGCCUUCAUGUAGGCUUGCAUUGUGUCAAACACGUACUGAAACUGAGCUCAAAAAGCGAGGGUUUUGACCGGUCUAGGAUGUAUACUGGCUAAUAGAUAUGUUUGUCGCAUAUGGAUGGAAACAUCUAACCCAUCUCGUCUAGGGUUUCUCUGGCAAGGCGGAAACAACGACUGCACAUUGGUUUCACGUGUCCGUUAUUGCUAGUCUCGAUAAUGUGUCGUAUCUCCUGCGUGCAAUGAUGACGGGCGUUUUUUGUCAAUAUUGUCGACUCUCGGUUGGCUUUGCCUACUUGUUUUCGUGAUAUCCGAGGGUCCCACUUGGCAACGCUAGCCGUUCCAAAAUAGUUAGAUAAAUUAUCACAUUUUUCAUGUUGGUAACGAGUCUAUUUAUCGUCAAUCGAUGCAAAAAAUCGUAACUCUAACGGAAACAAAGGUUCUCUUGCAACUCCUACAAAAAAAGGGUUCUCUAACUAGGCGGAAACAAGGAGCACAAGUUUGGCUGCAUGCAUCAAUUACCGCCACAAACAGAUUGGCUUCCCAAUCGAAUGGCGAUUGGCAUUUCUUUUUGUUUCUAUUUUUUAUAGCAUCGGCUCUUGGUUGGCUUUCCUUACUCGUUUUGUCGAUGUUUGAGGGUGCCACUUGGCAACAUGAGUCCUUCCAAAGCAUAUAGAUAAAUUAUUGCACCCAUCGUGUUGGUAAUGGAUUUGUUUGUCGUCUAUGGGCGGAGACAUCGUAAUCCAUUCGUCGCAUCUAGGGUUUCUUCUCACUAUGCAGAAACCAUGGGAGACAUGGUUGUUUGCAUGCGCUCAUUACAUUGAUACUAGGCAGUGCAGUGUAUCCUUCGUGUGGGAUGAUGAUUAGUAUUUUGUUUAUGCCUCAUGUUUUGUUUGUAUCGUCAACUCUCGCUUGACUUUUCGUACUAGUUUCUGCAAUGUCUACUUGGCAAUGCGAACCCUUUCAAAUGAAAUAGAUAAAUCUAAUGCCUUUUCAACUGCUCCCGAAUCAUACUAACAUGAAGAAAAUAUUGGCUUGGUUUUUUCACUAUUAAACACAACAUGUUAUUAUAAUUCAACAAGCAUGUCUAUUUCACUCAUUUUUCACCGCUCACAGUUUUGCCCCCCCCCCCCAUUAUUCAAAUUAGUACAAUGGUGUUUAGAUUAUUUAUACAUUGUUGACUCGAGAUUCUCAAGGACGUACUAAAUUAGAAUUGAGAGGGACAACAAGGUUUAGGUAAUUACACCAGAUUUAUACAUUAUUGUAGUCAUUCUAGAACAAAUCAUUGCUUCUAGUGAACAGAUCGUUGCACAUGUUUGUUGAAUUGUAUAACCUCUAUAGCAAGUUAGUGGUCUACUGGUGGACAUAUCAUAAUCCAUUGCUUUUGGAUUUUUCCCGUACAAUGUUAGGGAGAGUGUGAUUGGGUGCAUGCUUCCAUUCAUCGGUUACAACUGAGCUCGGCAAUGUCAACUACCUCUCGCAUGGGAUAGUGAUUGUUGUUAUGUUUUUGUUUUCAUUUUGACCAUAUCAUCAAAUCUAUCACGUAGUGCUUGUCUCGGUGAUGUCUAAUGGUGCCACUUGGCAACACGAGUCCUUCGAAAGCAACUAAACAACAUACUGUAUGAUUGGUUGCAUCACUGAGUUUUAAUGAGAAGUUGGCUAUGUUCGCGUGAUGAUGAUGAACAAUAUGUUUAUGUUUUUUAUCAUCGGCAACUCAAUGAUGCCCGACCCUGGCAUUGUUUGCAAUGUGAAUCCUUCCAGAAAAAUAAAUACAUUCAAUGGUUCUUGCACUCAUGCAACUUCGAGAAGCGCAUUUGGUAGUUUUUUUACAGGCAAAUAGAACACAUCAUCGUAAUCACAUUCCAGUUUUGUAACUUCUGAUACUAUGAUUGUUUUGUAUAGAGAAUUAUCUUAACCCACCAUAGGGGAAGAUAUUAUAUAUGAGAGAAGAAGCAUCAGAUAACAAUAUUGAUAUCCUUCCAUUUUAUUUACACCAUAGAGCACCGACCUACAAUCAAACUCAACACAACCAAUGUACACAGUACAGUAAACCAUCCACUAACGUGCCAUCAGCCCUUGAAUCAUAGCAAAACUUUGCAGUCUCAUGUGCCAUGCUAUUCACAUCUCUAUUAACGUUUAAUGACUUGAAAUGCAAUAGUAUUUUCACCAUUGUAGUCGCCUUAUUCUUCAAAUCAACUAAGGUGUGGAUCUAUCAGUAGUGUCAGAUAGGAAAUUAAACACAUACCGUAUUUAGUCUCCAGAACAACCUGCUUCUGCACAGGCACUACGAUAUACAAAUCAGAUAUGCACGUAACUCAGCCUCCUCCACAAUUGAAAAAAGGCAUCUUCACCAUGCGCCUGCGCUCGCCGCACAUUACCGAGGUGUGUGUGUGUGUGUGUGUGUGUGUGUGUGUGUGUGUGUGUGUGGAACAGGGAGGCCUUCUUCUUUUUCCUUGGGCUGGGGGCGGGGGCAAAAGGAGUGGUGAAGGGUGAGAGGGGGAGAUGAAGGAAAUAUGCCCUAGAGGCAAUAAUAAAGUUGUUAUUUAUAUUUCCUUAUAUUAUGAUAAAUGUUUAUAUUCAUGCUAGAAUUGUAUUAACCGGAAACUUAGUACAUGUGUGAAUACAUAGACAAACAGAAUGUCACUAGUAUGCCUCUACUUGACUAGCUCGUUGAAUCAAUGAUGGUUAUGUUUCCUAACCAUAGACAUGAGUUGUCAUUUGAUUAACGGGAUCACAUCAUUAGAGAAUGAUGUGAUUGACUUGACCCAUCCAUUAGCUUAGCACGAUGAUCGUUUAGUUUGUUGCUAUUGCUUUCUCCAUAACUUAUACAUGUUCCUAUGACUAUGAGAUCAUGCAACUCCUGAAUACCGGAGGAACACUUUGUGUGCUACCAAACGUCAAAUGUAACUGGGUGAUUAUAAAGGUGCUCUACAGGUGUCUCCGAUGGUGUUUGUUGAGUUGGCAUAGAUCGAGAUUAGGAUUUGUCACUCCGAUUGUCGGAGAGGUAUCUCUGGGCCCUCACAUCAAUAUAAGCCUUGCAAGCAAUGUGACUAAUGAGUUAGUUGCAGGAUGAUGCAUUACAGAAUGAGUAAAGAGACUUGCCGAUAACGAGAUUGAACUAGGUAUUGAGAUACCGAUGAUCGAAUCUCAAGCAAAUAACAUAUCAAUGACAAAGGGAACAACGUAUGCGGUUUGACCGAUAAAGAUAUUCGUAGAAUAUGUGAGAGCCAAUAUGAACAUCCAGGUUCCUCUAUUGGUUAUUGACCGGAGACAUGUCUCGGUCAUGUCUACAUAGUUCUCGAACCCGUAGGGUCCGCACGCUUAAUGUUCAGUGACGAUCGGUAUUAUGAGUUUAUGUGUUUUGAUGUAUCGAAGGUAGUUCGGAGUCCCGGAUUUGAUCACGGACAUGUCGAGAAGUCUCGAAAUGGUCGAGACGUAAAGAUCGAUAUAUUGGAAGCCUAUGUUUGGACAUCGAAUUGGUUCCGGAUGAGUUCGGGCAUUUUCCAGAGUACCGGGAGGUUACCGGAACCCCCGGGGAGUAUAUGGGCCUUAUUGGGCCUUAAUGGAAUAGAGGAGAGGGAGGGAAAAGGUGUGAGGCGCGCCCCCUAGCCCAAUCCAAAUUGGGUGGGGGCUGCCCCCCCUUCCUUUCCCCUCUCCUCCCCUUCCUUCUCUCCUACUCCUACUACUUGGAAGGGGGGAAUCCUACUCCCGGUGGGAGUAGGACUCCCCUAGGGCGCGCCAUAGAGGGCUAGCCCUCCCCCCUCCUCCACUCCUUUAUAUACGGGGGAGGGGGCACCCCAUAGACACACAAGUUGAUCAUUGAUCCCUUAGCCGUGUGCGGUGCCCCCUCCAUCAUAAUCCACCUCGGUCAUAUCAUCAUAGUGCUUAGGCGAAGCCCUGCGACAGUAGCAUCAUCAUCCCCAUCAUCACGCCGUCGUGCUGACGAAGCUCUCCCUCGACACUCAACUGGAUCGAGAGUUCGUGGGACGUCACCGAGCUGAACGUGUGAAGAUCGUGGAGGUGCCGUACUUUCGGUAUUCGGAUCGGUCGAUCAUGAAGACGUACGACUACAUCAACCGCGUUGUCAUAACGCUUCCGCUUACGGUCUACGAGGGUACGCGGACAACACUCUUCCCCUCUCGUUGCUAUGCAUCACCAUGAUCCUGCGUGUGCAUAGGAUUUUUUUUAAAUUACUGCGUUCCCCAAUAGGAGAGGCCUUCUUCUUCGAGGGAGGGAGUCUGGCUGCNNNNNNNNNNNNNNNNNNNNNNNNNNNNNNNNNNNNNNNNNNNNNNNNNNNNNNNNNNNNNNNNNNNNNNNNNNNNNNNNNNNNNNNNNNNNNNNNNNNNNNNNNNNNNNNNNNNNNNNNNNNNNNNNNNNNNNNNNNGAGUAAACGGCCAGGCCCCUCCCCCGCGCCUGGCGAAAGAAAGUAUACGCCGUAGGGGCGAUUAAUACAAGCAAUCAUAUCUAAUCAAUGGCAGUCUAUACAAACACAUAUACGCUUUCAUUAACAUCUCCACUUUUAAGCAACCCUGUACUAUCAAUGCAGUCUAUACAAAUGCAUAUAUAUAAGCUUCCAUUAUUAGCAACUUAAAACCCAUUGAUGCUUUUCACAUUGGGCAGGUUGUAAACAUACGUAACAAAUGCCACAAUCUUCCACCAUCAAUGCAUAGGUAUUGCACAUGUAUCAUCUCGCAUAAAUUAUAUACACCACACACAUCCUCUACAAAGAUACACAUAGCACAUACGCUCCCUCACAUAGUCCUACCACUGGACCCCAAAAAGGCAUAGUCCUACGGAAAACACAUGUAAGCACAUGGUUUCUACUUCUGGCACACGCGCACACAUAUACAUUUUUGUGAGGUUUAACAAAAGAUAUGCAUGCAUUUUUUAUCCGACUGUCGUACACGUGUAGUUUGAUGGAUAUGUACAUUUGUGUGUAGAUUAACGCCAACCAUGUAUGUAUUGUGAAGCCGAGCUCAAAAGCGAGGGAUUCUGGACGACUUUGCACUAUGUUGUUGGUAUACACGUCUGGCUUAAGCAGUGGUAGUAUACUACUUGCCUGUGAAGUUUGAUGGAUGAAUUUAUAUAUAGAUUAGCAUCCACCACGUAUCGGAGCCGAGGGCUCAAAAGCGAGGGUUUUGGGAUGGCCGGCCUUGGAUUGUGUGGUUUAGCAUAUACGUCUGACUUGCACAGUGCUAGUAUGCUAGUGUUAAAACGUCGCCUUUAGAUGUGGAUGUGCUAGGCACAAGUGGGCACAAACAGUUGCACAUGCUGAUUACAACCAAGCUCGGCGGUGCGUUGUACUCCUCGUGUGGGAAGGUAUGUGAUUGCCAUUGAUCGUUGUGUUUCUGGUCACUGGCUUUUUGAUACGCUUAUGUUGCAUCUUACGUGUAUUGAAACUGAGCUUUAAAGCAAGGAUUUUGCCCGGUCAAGGGUUAGGUGGUCCGUAUCAUCUUUGAAUUUUUUAUACGCAUAUGUUGCAUCUUACAUGUAUUAAAACUGAGCUGUAAAGCAAGAGUUUUUUCCUAGUAAGGGUUAUCUGGUCCGUAUCACCUCUCGUCUAGUAGCAAUCUAGGUUAUACCAAUGCUUUUCGGUUAUGAGCGUAUCACAUACAGGUACAAAAUUGUUGCAUCAUUGGUAUUGGUAAUGGUUUUUUUGAUCGUGUGUCCAAAGAAACAUUUAACGAGUCGCAUCUAAGGUUUUUUCUGGCUAGGCGGAAACAAGGGACGCAAAAUGGCUACGCUUGUUCAUUACGGCAGCCUCAGCUAUGUGACAUAUCUCCCGUGUGGAAUGAUAGCUAGUGUUUUGUUUGCCAGUAUUUUUGACUCCUGAUUAGCUUUGCUUGAUGUUUGAAGGUCCCACUUGGCAACGCGAGCCCUUCCAAAAGAAAUAGAUAAAUUAUUAUAUUUUUCACAUUGGUAAUAGAUUUUUUUGUCAUUAAACAAUGGAGAAAACGUAAUCCAUGACACAUAGGGUUCCCUAGCUAAGCAAAGACAAGGGGGCGUGAGAUUGGUUGGAUGAAUCGAUUACCACCACACUCAAUGGUGAGGGCGUAUCUGUAGGGGAACGUUGCAGAAA
rnacentral:lncRNA from 1 species